GCAUUGUAAAUGACAAACUUUUAACAUCAUAUGCUUCCAAAACUCAUUGGAAACACACUAUCUCAUUGAAAAUGCACUAUCUCAUUCUCUUCAAUUUCCAAGGAAAAAAUAACAUACAACUUCUAUCUCUGCACAUAUCUCAUACCUUCUCUCUCAAUUGAUCUUCAUUCAUCUUCUUGAAUGCUCUCUCUCUCUCUCACACAAUUUUUAUAUUAUUGUUCUCUCAUAGGCCAAACUGUUCAGUCUUCUUCCUCUGCGCAAGCUUCUCCAUUGUUAUCUCCUUCGGCUCCAGUCACUGUCGCCUCAUGGUUUGUGUUCUUUCAUUCCAUUAUUCUAUAAUCUUUCUCUUUGAUCUUUGCUCUCUCUCUCUCUCUCUAUUUAUUCCUUCUCAUUUGAAUUGAAUUGAUCCAACCAAGACUCAUAUUAUCAUAUCAUCCAAGGAAUCGGUGAUGGUGCUUUUGUUUCCUUUGGUUUUGACCACUUCUAAUCUCUUUUAACAACUUCUUUUAAAUCUCCUUUGUUUCCUAGGAUUUUACCAAUCUCUUUUAUUUUCUGGGAUAUGCAUAUUCACUAUCGAGAGCCCAUGAAUUUGUGGUCGAGUACUACCUAUCCACACCACAUCCAUAUCAAGGACGAAGAUCGAUAUAAGAGUAGUAACAAUUUUGAUUUAAGGAUCCAGGAGACCUUUUGUUUAAAUUUUCACCAAUUCGGUUUCAUAUUGGAGUUUCACCAACUAUAUAUGUUUUGUAGUUAAUUUUAUGAAUAUAUAUAGUUGAAUUUUUAUGCUAACUUGCAAAGAUUAUUUGAAGUUUUCAAAUUGGAAUCAUAAUUUCAAUACUCAGUUUUGUCUAUUCUCUAUUGAAGUUUACUUAGAGUUUUCAAUACUCAGUGUAGGAUGUUUUAAGGAGCCAGGGGACCUUUUGUUUAUUGGAUGGAAUGAAUGCUAGCAAAACUUUAACAAAUAUGUCUUCCUAUCAUUAGUUAAGAGAUCCUUCCUUUUUUUUAAACUUUGACUCUUUGUUUGGUUUGGUCUCCUUUUCAAUGUGCUUAUGUAGAUUAACAUGAUCGUAAAUGUUCUCGGUUGGCCUUCCAUUAACUUCCUUCUUUCCACCCCUUGAAAAGGUUUUUAAGAAGAUAUAUGUUUCUAUCACUUUUAGCUAUGAUCAUGUUAUGGAGCCUGUUCUUGAUAACUUUUUUGUUGAGUACUCCCUCCGUUCUUUUUUAAGUGUCUUUUUAGAGUGAAUUUUUUGUUCCUAUUUAACUCUUCUUGAUAUUUUAUAGGUACGAUUUUUCAAUUACUCUUAUCUUUUUUAAUAAAAUUAAUUAAUUCUAUUUAUUAGAAGAUAUGUUUUGGAUGUCUCGUUUUUCAAAUAUUUAUUUGGAGGUAGACUUAUUCAUGGAAAAGGCUCUAACUCGAUCUCAUACUUGAAAAGCUAUUCUCAAAGUCUUGAACCUAUGCAGUGAGGUUUACUUUCAAGAUUGAAGAUGGAAACACUAACAUGUGGUUUAGAUCAUGGGUUUUAAAACAACCCUGCCUCAACUUAUUUUUCCCCAUUUCAUUUUAAUCCCUUAAUUUACAAAUAUCAACAUUUAUUAAUUAUAUGUUUCUAUAUAAUUUUUUGUCACUUCUAUUAUAUUAAAAAAUAAUCUAUCUUUUCAAUUGAUAACAAUUUUUCAAAUGUUUCAACCUAAUAUUGUGAAAUUAUUUCUAUCGGUCACCAUAUUAUAUAUUUAUGUGAAUUAUUUUUAUUUUGAGGGAAAUAUUUAUGUGAAUUAUUAAUUAGUUGACUAAAAUAUUUUUAAUGUGUAUUAUAAUCAAACCCCUGCAACGACGGGCUUCCUCCUAGUAAUAUACUAUUAUGCAGAACCUCUUUUAUUCCCCAUUCUUCUUUGCUGGUAGUUUCACAUGUUGAUGGUUUAACUCUUUUUCCCAUUUCAAAUCGAUAAUGGUUCAAAACAGAAAGCUAUUAUCAUACAAAUUGAAAUAUGGAAAGAACUAACAAUAAGAGAAGGGACGAGAAAAUCCAAAGUUGAUGCUUAAUGGAAAAUCUCAAAACCACAUGAAAAACAAUAUCUGAACAUUGAAGAAGUUUAUUAAAUAAAUAUAUCUAGUACAUACAUUAUUAUAACAAAAGAAGAGGGACAAAGUUUGAAACAAAAACUUGUAAAAUUAGAGUUGUCCAGCAAAAUCGCCAAAGCUUCGUGUUAGAUAUAAAACUUUUAAUGACUCCUCUCUCCAGAAAAUUUCUCUUGGCCUCUCUACAUCUAACCUUUCUACGGACGCAUCUCCCCGCUUAAGUUUAAAGCAUAUUUUUUCCAAUGUAGACUACAUGAGUGGUGGUGCGAUGAGAAUCACCAUUCGCACCACCGUUGACCCUAUUUCCAGAUCUUCAACAGGCUUCAACUUCGGUUCCUGAUAGGCAUACAACUUCACACUUCACAUUGGAUGUCGCAAUAUCUAAUUUAAGCCCCAUGAUCUUGUCCUCUACCUCACCAUACUCCUAUUUAUUCUCUCUUUUAUCAAAAUUCCCAUCCACCCUUCCGAGGGACCAUUUCUCAAACUUCUUUCAAUAACAUAAUUAAAUUCUUUAUUAGCAAGCCAAUAAUUAUGAGACGGAAUUUCUCAAGACCCCAAUCAUGGUAAUAAUAACGAUUUACAAUUGGGAUAUGAUCCGAUAAAUCUCUAUUCAACUCCCAAACACUUGAGUCCCCCAAUUCUAGUAGCCAUUGAUGGGAAAUCAAGACUCUAUGACAAAGUUUUACAACUUGAGAGUUUACCUCAACUCGUUUUAGCUAUGUAAACUCGAAUCGUAAACUCGUAUUUAAAAUUACAAGUAAUAUAUUUGAAUGAUUUCAAAACAAUCAAUAAUAACAAGCUUCUGAAUGCAUUCCCUAAAAUUCAAUGUAUGUCAUUCUCACGCAUUGGCGUAGCUUCUGUACAUAACAAGCAUGAAAAAACCGAGUUAUGUUAACCGUAAAGGCAACAUUUCAACACCUUGGGAUUAAAAAAAUAAUUUGGAUUUUGAAAGAAAAUGAGACAAAAAAAAAAAACCAAAAAUAAAAAAAUAAAAAAAAUUCAAAGGUAAACUCGGACGAGUUUACUCCGAGUUUACACGAGUUUACCGAGUUUAACACGUGUUAACUCGGUCAAACUUUCCGAUUUCACCAAAAACCGAGUUUACCUCCGACUUAACACGUUUUUGCCACCUAAAAACGUAAACUCGGACGAGUUUACGUGUUAACACUCGAUUUGUGGAACAGUGACUCUAUCAAUCCGACUCAAGCAUUCUCUAACCUUCCUUACCGACACCCUCGCCCCAAUCAUCCUCUAACAUUCCAACAGCAUACUAUCAUUAAUCACUUGCUUCUUCAAACAAAACGUUGAGCACUUCAUCCCUUUCUUCUUCCAAAGUAUCCUUUGAAUUUUCCUCUAGGCUGAGAAGCCUGUGAUAUGUUUCUCAUUACUUGUGACUCAUAAAUUCCUUCCAAUGUUAAAACGUCAUUUUGUUUCAAUUUGUUUAUUUUUAAUAUUUAUGUUUGGCAUACCAUAACAAUCUUCCUCCGUUAAAACUAAAUGACGUAUUUGCCACCCUAACAUUGGUUGAGGCGUCAAGCUUCCAUUAUUUUUCUAAUUUUGUUUAUUUUUCAGGUAUUUUUAUUCAGUAAAAAAUGCAACAAAAAAAAAAAGUGAAAUGAUGGACCAAAAAAAAAGAGAAAAAAAAAUCAAAAGUCCACAUCAAUUUUUUUUUUUUAAUAACUUGUAUUUGUCAGAUGUCAGUUGUGUCAGUUCUCAGUUUGAUUCUCUUUUAUUGUAACUUUAAUUGUUUGUUUGUUUACUAUUAAUGAAUUUUCUUGUUUCUUGAUAUUUUCCAGUUUGAUAACAGUUUGUUUCAUCAAUGAUGACAUCAAAUUUUAUAAGGAGUGACUUGAUAUUUCAAAGGCGAAGUGUACCGCAUAUGUGAUAGGUAGCCACAAAUACCAGAAAUCUAACACUGUAAGGCUCAUGGCUGAAUGUUAUUUUUCAAUUUACUUAUAUAGAGUGUUCCGUGCAACUACAUUUCUAGAACUUUCAUUGUUUCUUUACUGUUGAUUGAUCUUUGUCAUAUUCACACUGAGACAAAAGUGGUUGGUGUUGUAAGCCUUUUGAAGCCUACCCUUAGUUUAAUUGAAAUAUAUCCUUUUUGAAAGCCAAUUUGAGCCGGUCGGUUUAGAUCCUUUGUUCGGUGACAAACUAAAUCUUAAGCCUAGAGACUUUUAGAAAAUAACCCAAAAUGUUAUAUUUGAGUUAGGCUAUGUAGGGUGUUGCUAAACAAUAAGUUUGGGGUUGCUUUCAAAAUUUUCAACCAACUAAGUUUGGGGUCGGGGUACUAGAGAACAAAGAACAAAGCAUACAAAAAAAAAAAAUACACAUAAAAAUGGUGUAUUCAAAAACAAAAAUAGAAUGAAUAGCAAAGGGGACAAAAAAUGAAAAAUCUGAGUGAUUUCAAACUUGAUUUCCCGAUAGUUAUAAAUGUUCUCUAGUACUUUUACAAUUGUUGUUUCAAGGGUAAAUGAGGGAAUAAUCCGUGUUUCAAAUUUGUAGGAGUGCCUAACUCAAAUUUUGUGUAGCCUAGUUAUCCAAAUAUUGUCCGUAGGAGUGCCUACUUAUUCAAAGUGUGUAUUGACAUUGAUUUUGAUUGACGUUUAGAAACUUUUCAAGCAUAUGGUAAUAUGUAGACUUGCAUGUCGACUUUGUGAAACCCUUAUCAAAUUUUUGCGUGGAGUUGUGAAUGAUGGAUGCAAGCAAGUCAAACUGACUCAUCAUAUGGCUAGUAGGGAGAUAAACUUUAAGGUUACCAUUGGUUGGUAAGCUGUUACUGUCAUUUUUUAUUUAACAAGUUUGUUUCUUGAGGACAAGUAACAGUUUAAGUUUGAGGUUGUGAUGACAGUCAGUCAUACACUAUUUUUAUAGUCAUAUUUAAAUAAGUUUUUGGUCUAUUUUUAUUAGUUUAGUAUUUAAUUUAGAGUCAUUUUAAAUAAAUUUUUAUUUUAAUUUAUUGAGUCAAAUAGUGUAUUUUUAUCUAUUAUCAGAUGAAAUUUGUGCAACACAAUCUUUGUUCUAAAUGUUUUCAACAAAAAAGGUUCAAUGCAUGGUUCUCUUGAGCUAGAUAUCAAAUUUCACUAAAGAUCAUAUAAAUUUGAUGUGUCGGGAAUGGAAGACCAUAAAAUGUGUUGACAAUGACUAAUCUCUAUGUGAAACAAAAUUAUUGGUUGUUGAAAUAAUAUCGAGCUCCUUAACAAAUAAUUUUUUUUGAAGGCGAGCUCCUUGACAAAUAAAUAACUUGAACCAAAUGACUAACAUAUUUUGUUUUUCUUUUUUUGGUAAAGAGACAAUUUGUGUACGGAAAAUGUUGCACCACAUAUGUGGAAAACACUUGGGUGACAUUGAAGUGCCAAUGUCAUGUGAUAUUGGCCAACUACAAUGUUACAAGUGUACAAAAAGACAAAAAUUUCUUGUAAGUGAGAGAGAAGAAAGCCAUGAUUUUUAUUUUGUACACGUGUGAUAUUGUAGUUGGCAAAUGCCACAUAACAUUGACACCCCAAUGUCGCCAAGUUUUUUCCAUAUAGGUGUGGUCACAAGCGCACAAAAAACUUCUAUCUUGCUAUUAUUAGUUGGUAUGGUCAUAUACGUUGCUUCCUCUCUUAAAUUUAAUUCAAUCGGAAAUCAUGUUGUUCCUCAUCACCUAAAAAGUCAUAUCUACAAUACGAUAAAUAGUCGUCACUUCUUUAGGUUUAUGUACACGUUGAUAUCGUUAUUAAAGUGGAGACUUAGACUUUCACAUGUAAUUCAAAAGAGUCAUGUUUGAAAUUCCUUAAUGGUUAUUUAAAUGAACAAAUUUCAAACAUGAAGCGUAGAAGUUAACCACAUACCCUAAUUUUCUCUAAUUGAUUAAAGAAAUUAGGGUAAAGAUCACAUGCAAUGGUUCAUACUAGAGCUAGUCAUAAGCUUCCAACUCUAUUCUAUGGUUAAAUCACACAUGCUAGGUAUGUCGCACUUCCUGGUGCGUGAAGGCAAUAAAAAGUACGAAACAUCUGAAAAUUAAACAUAGCUAAUAUCAUAACUAAAUAAAAGACUUGCAUUCAACAAAUAAAUAGAAAUUCAUUUUAGAAUUCUAAUCAAUGAAUUUUUAAUUACUCAUGAUAACAAAAAGACAUAAUACAAAAGAAAUGAAACAUACUCUUGUGACAAAACGGAGGAUGAUUGAGACUCCCACUUGAUGCUCAUAACGAUUGCCCUCCUCUUAAACUACCAACUUCUGAAUGAAUGUUAUUGUGCAGAAUACAACUCAAAAUUAGUUGUCUAUUGCGGUUACAGCUCAAAAUUCCCACAUUACUCUUCGCUGCCGUUUGACUACUAUUAAUUUUGGAUUACUUCCCAUCUCUUGAGUGUGCAUUUUGUAACACCAGCAAAAUCCCCUCCAUUAAUUCCGCAGUUGACCUUUUUAGAAAUAUUAUUUGUCUGCAAUUUGCAUGAUGUGGUCGAGUGUUUUUUGGUAGGGCUAGAGAAAGAUUGAACAGUUGGCGAUUUGGUAAUUGUUUUUCGGAUACUUUUUAAAUCGAUUGAUUAAAAAAUACUCAAAUGACAAUUAACUACCGUUUAACAUGUUUUAGGUAUUUAUGAGCAUUUCUUAAGUGUUUAUAUUGAACAAUCUUCUUACAUUUGCUCAAGUGUAUGGCCUUUUGCUACCUAUGAGUUUUUUUUGGGGCAAUUAGUUUUUUUUUUUUUUUUAAAAAUCAAAGUAGUUUAUCUAACUCGAAAGAAUCGAACUUAAGAUUUUGAGAAGAAAAUUCUCCAAAGUUUUAAGCAACCACUAUCAGGCCAAUCUAAAGAGGUUGUUUUAGGGCGAUUAGUUAACACAGAAUGUAUAUAAAUAUGAUACGAUGCUAUGUAGGACAUAAAAAAAAUAAAGUCAACGUAACAUUUCUUUUCAUUUCUAUUAUUCACAUGUCUUGCACUCCAUUUCAAUGCAUUAAUUUUUCAAAUUAACCACUAUAAGAACACCAUGAUAGCUCUCUUAUCAAAAAUCAUGCGAAACAUCUAUACUCCCUCAAAAAUGGAUAUUUUCCUUUCGCAACCAAUAAAUACAGUACUAGCAAUACUUUUAGUACUUCUAUACAACAUAUGGAAGAUCAAAAAACCUAGUAACAAAUUCAAGGGUAUGAAACCACCAGAACCAUUAUUUGCAUUACCAUUAAUAGGUCAGCUCCAUCUACUAGGAAAAUAAAUCUCUCUUGCAAGAAACUUUGCUUCAUUUUCUGACAAAUAUGGUCCUAUCUUCCAAAUCCGUUUAGGAGCAUGCCCUGCACUUAUUAUUUCCAACCAAAAUGCAAUCAAACAAUGUUUCACCACAAAUGACAAAAUCUUAGCCUCAAAACCAAAAUGAAGCCGACGGUACCUUUAAAUUAUAAUUUCUAUUAAAAAUAAAUUUUCGGCGUGUAAAUUGAUUAGUUUUCAAACGAAGUUUUGAAGUUGUAAGGCGUACACGCGAAAGCGGUCGAAUAGAUUACAAAGUCAAAAUUCGGUGUCCUACACACGAAAGUUGGCGACCACUUUAAUUUAAUUCUUUUUACGUGCGAAAAUAUUGUCCUGUUACAAUAAUAAAAUAUAACUUAACAAGCACUCAUGGUUGACACAAAUUAUAUUCCGGACUCUCGUCAUUUAAAGUAAUUAAAAACAAGUUAUUUUUCAAAUUUUGCAACCAAAUUAAUUUGUAUCGCCUUAGAUAAACGACGUGAUAAUAGAUAACGGUACUUGACGUUGGUCCCUGUGGGAUUCGACAUCUUUUAUACUGAAACGGAUAUUUCCGUGCACUUGCGCACCUAUCAGUACAAUCUUGACUUUGGAGUGGAGUUUGAAAAUUUCUGCAAAAUGCAUCACCGUAAUAUGUUUAACACGUUGUCAAUAAUCUAACUGAUAUGCCUCGUGAUACAUUUGCUGUCAGAAAUCAGAAUCUUGUAUUUAUCCAUCGGUAAUAUCCUUUGCUAAAACUUGAGACAUCACGCUAUACUCUCUGUUUUAUGUAUCUGAACCAAAUACAUCAAUUUUAUUUGACUAAAGGGAGGUAUCUAUGUAAACUCGUGUAUUUAGGUAGUGGCAGAUGAUAUGAUUUUCGGUUUUAAUUUGGUAGGAAACCAUGACUUUAUAAUAUCUAUAAUAUCCCUGUAAGCUUCAGAUUUUAAUUUGAUAAUCUCCAUGUAUGAUAUACUUAUAUCACAAUUUAUAGCUCUUUGUCCCUUUUAAAAAAUGAGUUAUGUAUAGAUCAAACCACCAUCAUCCACCUACAAACUCAACAUUGUCUAACCAAUUGAACUAUACCUAUUAAGUUAAGAAAAAUUUAUUUAUUCAAUAUUUACUUUGAUAUAUUAAACUUCUUUUUUUAUAAGAUAUUUUGAUAUAUAAACUUAAAAUAUAAAUUUUCAGAUGAAAUUUGUGCAACACAAUCUUUGUUCUAAAUGUUUUCAACAAAAUAGGUUCAAUGCAUGGUUCUCUUGAGCUAGAUAUCAAAUUUCACUAAAGAUAGAAAUUUGAUGUGUUGACAAUGAUUAAUCUCUAUGUGAAUAACUAAAUUAUUGGUUUUUGAAAUAAUAUCGAGCUCCUUGACAAAUAAAUAACUUGAACCAAAUGACUAACAUAUAUUUUGUUUUUCUUUUUUGGGUAAAGACACAAUUUGUGUACUGAAAAUGCUGCACUACACAUAUGUGGAAAACAUUUGGGUGACAUUGAGGUGCCAAUGUCAUGUGAUAUUGGCCAAUUACAAUGUUACAAGUGUAUAAAAUGACAAAAAUUCCUUGUAAGUGAGACAGAAGAAAGCCAUGAUUUUUAUUUUGUACACAUGUGACAUUGUGGUUGACAAAUGUCACAUAACAUUGACACCCCAAUGUCGCCCAAGUGUUUUCCACAUAUGUGUGGUGCAGCAUUUUCCCUACACAAAUUGUCUUUAUCAAAAAAAGAAAAACAAAAUAUGCUAGUCAUUUGGUUCAAAUUAACCACUAUUAUUCACAUGUCUUGCACUCCAUUUCAAUGCAUUAAUUUUUCAAAUUACCCACUAUAAGAACACCAUGAUAGCUCUCUUGUCAAAAAUCAUGCGAAACAUCUAUACUCCCUCAAAAAUGGAUAUUUUCCUUUCACAGCCAAUAAAUAUAGUACUAGCUAUACUUUUAGUGCUUAUAUACAACAUAUGGAAGAUCAAAAAACCUAGUAACAAAUUCAAGGGUAUGAAACCACCAGAACCAUUAUUUGCAUUACCUUUAAUAGGUCACCUCCAUCUACUAGGAAAACAAAUCCCUCUUGCAAGAAUCUUUGCUUCAUUUUCUGACAAAUAUGGUCCUGUCUUCCAAAUCCGUUUAGGAGCAUACCCUGCACUUAUUAUUUCCAACAAAGAAGCAAUCAAAGAAUGUUUCACCACAAAUGACAAAAUCUUAGCCUCAAGACCAAAGUCAAGUCAUGGAAUUCACCUAGGUUAUAACUAUGCUGGAUUUAGUUUUGCACCUUCUGGCCCAUAUUUUUCAAAGCUAAAGAAAAUAACCAUGGUUGAAUUACUUUCGUCUCGCCGCCUCGAAUCAUUGAGGCAUGUUUAUGAAUCGGAGAUUCAUACUUGGAUUAAGGAUCUUUCAUUUUAUGUUAAGGGAAACAACAAUGUUAAGGUUGUAAUUAGUGAAUGGUUGAAAAGGUUAUCAUUUAAUACAAUCACAAAGAUGAUUGGUGGGAAAAGGUAUUUUGAGAAUUUGAAUGUGGAAGAUGUAGAAGCACAUGGUAAUAUUGUGAAUCUUAUAAGAGAAUUUAUGCUUAUUGCUGGUGAUUUUGUUCCUAAGGACUUGAUUCCAAUUAUUGGUUGGUUUGGUUUUGAAGGACAAGUGCUUAAAUCUAUGAAAAGAGUUGGUAAAGAUUUGGAAACACUUGUUGGAAGCUGGAUUGAAGAACAUAUUGUUAAUAAUUCAAAUGAGAAACAUGAUUUCAUUGAUGUGAUGCUCUCUGUGAUUGAAGAUGAUCGUGUUUAUGGUCAUAACCGUGAUACUAUUAUCAAAGCAAAUAUUACGGUGUGCAUUUUCUCAUAAUAUGAAUAUUUUAAAUAAUUUCUUUUAAUGAAUCAUGGAGUCAUUAAAAUUAAACUCAUAAAAGGUACAGCCAAAUAAAAUAGGUGCAAUCGUAGAGAGUCGGAUAAGACUUGGACGACAAAACUCUUCCCAGAGUUUCAAAUUUAUUUAAAAUUCACAAAUGUAGAUAGAUUACAACAAUUAUUAAUAUCUUUUUUUACAAGCUAGAAAUUUAUUUAAGAAAACAAAUGGAGACAUAUAUAAACCUAACUCAGUUCAAGAAAACCAAUCCUCGUAAACAUAACGAAUUAGAAGAUAUGACAUUGCUAUGCAUGAUCCUUUCAACUCUAAGUUAUUAUUAUUAUUAUUAUUAGGGUUUGCAACUAAUAACAAAUCAACAUUUUACUUUAUUCAGGAUCUUAUGUUAGCUGGGUCAGACUCAACAUCCACAACAUUGACAUGGAUCGUAGCCUUAUUGUUGAAUAAUAGGAAUGUUUUAAAACGUGCACAAGAGGAGAUAGACCAUCAUAUAGGUAAGGGCAGAAGGGUAGAAUCGUCGGACAUAAAAAACUUGGUUUAUUUGCAAGCAAUUUUAAAAGAAACUUUGAGGUUAUACCCAGCAGCUCCACUACUAGCACCCCAUGAAGCCACAGAAGAUUGUAACAUUCAAGGCUAUUAUGUACCAAAAGGAACACGUGUAUUUUUCAAUGUAUGGAAAUUACAUAGAGAUCCAAGUAUUUGGUCAGAGCCUGAAAAGUUUUUACCUGAAAGGUUUAUUAAUGAGAAUGGAGAAAUUGAUCAUGAAAGUCAUCAUUUUGAGUACCUUCCUUUUGGAUUAGGGAGAAGAGCUUGUCCUGGAUCUUUGUUUGCUACACAAAAUAGUCUCAUUACACUUGCAUGUCUUCUUCAUGGGUUUGAUUUGGAAGUGCCAAUGGAUGAAGUUGUUGAUAUGAGAGAAGGUUUGGGAAUAACUUUACCUAAGUUAACUCCAUUGCAAGUUGUUUUGACCCCACGAUUACCCUUUGAACUCUAUCAAUGAUACGCAUUAUUAUUAUUAUUAUGCAAAUAAAGUAUCAUCCGCGUACAAUUGUGAAGACUGAUUUUUCAAAACAUAUAAGAUCACAACAAAUAACAAAGUACGCUACGAUGGUUUAAACAAUAAUACAUAGCUUAGAUCCCAAGACUUCUUGUUAAGCUGGUAAAGAUUCAAACCAUAUCAGCAAAGCAAGCGCAUUUGGGUUUGUGUGUCAUUGUGUAUUUUUUAUUUUUUUACUUAUUCCUUGUGUAUUGCUAAGUAUGUAUAUUAUUGCAUGAAAUAUAUAAACAAUAGUUGAUGCUAUCAUUGAAUGAAGAUCAUAGAGAAUAUAUUUUUUGUUUGUCAGGGCAUCAACUAAUUAUUGUUUUUUCGCUUUCUUUGUGACUUGAUCGUUUGUAUAUUUUUAAUGUCUUUAUUGGUACAUUGUGUGCUAUUAAGGAUACUCAGUUGUUCGUAAUAUAUCUCAUUUUGACUUGUAAAAAAAAUAUAAAAUAAAAUAUAAAUAUUAAAUUUCAUAAAAAUAAAAUAAAAUAUUGGACAGCUGAUUAAAAUUGAUAAAAUAAUCUAAUUAAAAUUAAAUUUUAUAUUAUAAAAUCUAUAAGACGGGAGGUGAGUGUAAAUUAAGCAUCUUAGAGGUGAGGGGAGUAUGAAGCAUCUCAUAUGAGAGAAAAUUAUAGUUUUUUUUUCUAUAUAUUUAACUUUUUUUUCUUCUGUUAAUCAAGGGUUACCGGUAGAAAAAGAUUAUGGUAAUUCAAAAUUCGACAAAAAGAUAUAUAAAUUCCGUCUUAAAGUAGUUGUUAUACUUAGAAAUCAAACUUCACUUCUUCCAAACAAUUCAUAAUUUAUGAAGCUAAUAAUAUUUGAUUGCAAUUGCUUGGCAUAUACUCUCUCGGUCCCUUAAUAAGUGAUCUUUUUGUUAAAAAAUAUUAUCCUAAUAUAACCAUCCAUUUCACUUUUCGAUGCAAUAUUAAUUAUUUUUUUCAAUUAUAACACUAAUUAAUUUCUCAUUCAUCUUUUUCAAUACAAUAUAUUCCACUUUACAUAUAUAAUAAUGGAAAAUACACCAAUACUUAAACAAAAAAAUUUAAAACCAUUUUUCUCUCUCAUUCACAUAUAUAUUUUUCUUAAUAAAUAUAUGAAAUAUGAAACGAGCAAAUGACUUACUUAAUUUAAGACUAGGAGAUGACAUUUUUAAUUGCACGUGGGCGGGGAGAAAUAUUAGUUGUCUGCUGCGAUUACAGCUCAAAAUUCCCACAUUACUCUUCGCCUCAGUUUGACUACUAUUAAUUUUGGAUUACUUCCCAUCUCUUGAGUGUGCAUUUUGUAACACCAGCAAAAUCCCUUCCAUUAAUUCCGCAGUUGACCUUUUUAGAAAUAUUAUUUGUCUGCAAUUUGCAUGAUGUGGUCGAGUGUUUUUUGGUAGGGUUAGAAAAAGAUUGAACAGCGCCUGGCGAUUUGGUAAUUGUUUUUCGGAUACUUUUUAAAUCGAUUGAUUAAAAAAUACUCAAAUGACAAUUAACUACCGUUUAACAUGUUUUAGGUAUUUAUGAGCAUUUGUUAAGUGUUUAUAUUGAACAAUCUUCUUACAUUUGCUUAAGUGUAUGGCCUUUUGCUACCUAUGAAUUUUUUUUGGGGCAAUUAGUUUUAUUUUAAGAAGUCAAAGUAAUUCAUCUAACUCAAAAGAAUCGAAUUUAAGAUCUUGAGAAAAAAAUUCUUCAAAAUUUUAAGCAAACACUAUCAGGCCAAUCUAAAGAGGUUGUUUUAGGGCGAUUAGUUAACACAGAAUGUAUAUAAAUAUGAUACGAUGCUAUGUUGGACAUAAAAAAAUAAAGUCAACGUAACAUUUCUAUUAUUCACAUGUCUUGCACUCCAUUUCAAUGCAUUAAUUUUUCAAAUUAACCACUAUAAGAACACCAUGAUAGCUCUCUUGUCAAAAAUCAUGCGAAACAUCUAUACUCCCUCAAAAAUGGAUAUUUUCCUUUCACAACCAAUAAAUACAGUACUAGCUAUACUUUUAGUGCUUAUAUACAACAUAUGGAAGAUCAAAAAACCUAGUAACAAAUUCAAGGGUAUGAAACCACCAGAACCAUUAUAUGCAUUACCUUUAAUAGGUCACCUCCAUCUACUAGGAAAACAAAUCCCUCUUGCAAGAAUCUUUGCUUCAUUUUCUGACAAAUAUGGUCCUAUCUUCCAAAUCCGUUUAGGAGCAUACCCUGCACUUAUUAUUUCCAACCAAAAUGCAAUCAAAGAAUGUUUCACCACAAAUGACAAAAUCUUAUCCUCAAGACCAAAAUCAAGCCGACGGUACCUUUAAAUUAAAAUUUCUAAUAAAAAUAACUCUUCGGCAUGUAAAUUGAUUAGUUUUCACAAACGGAGUUUUGAAGUUGUAAGGCGUACACGCGAAAGCGGUCGAAUAGUUUACAAAGUCAAAAUUCGGUGUUGUACACACGAAAGCUGGCGACCCCUUUAAUUUAAUUCUUUUUACGCGUGAAAAUAUUGUCCUGUUACAAUAAUAAUAUAUAACUUAACAAGCACUCACAGUCGGCACAAAUUAUAUUUCGGGCUCUCGUCAUUUAAAGUAAUUAAAAACAAGUUAUUUUCCAAAUUUUGCAACCAAAUUAAUUUGCAUCGCCUUAGAUAAACAAUGUGACAAUAUAUAACGGUACUUGACGUUGGUCUCUGUGGGAUUCGACAUCUUUUAUACUAAAACCGAUAUUUCCAUGCACUUGCGGACCUAUCAGUACAAUCUUGACUUUGGAAUGGAGUUUGAAAAUUUCUGCAAAUUGCAUCACUGUAAUAUGUUUAACACGUUGUCAAUAAUCUAACUGAUAUGCCUCGUGAUACAUUUGCUGUCAGAAAUCAGAAUCUUGUAUUUAUCCAUUGGUGAUAUCCUUUGCUAAAACCUGAGAGACUUCACGCUAUACUCUCUAUUUUAUGUAUUUGAACUAAAUACAUCAAUUUUAUUUGACUAAAGGGAGGUAUCUAUGUAAACUCGUGUAUUUAGGUAGUGGCGGAUGAUAUGAUUUUCGGUUUUAAUUUGGUAGGAAACCAUGACUUUGUAAUAUCUAUAAUAUCCCUGUAAGCUUCAUAUUUUAAUUUGAUAAUCUCCAUGUAUGAUAUACUUAUAUCACAAUUUAUAGCUCUUUGUCCCUUUUAAAAAAUGAGUUAUGUAUAGAUCAAACCACCAUCAUCCACCUACAAACUCAACAUUGUCUAACCAAUUGAACUAUACCUAUUAAGUUGAGAUAAAUUUAUUUAUUCAAUAUUUACUUUGAUAUAUUAAACUUCUUUUUUAUAAGAUAUAUUGAUAUAUAAACUUAAAAUAUAAAUUUUCAGAUGGAAUUUGUGCAACAUAAUCUUUGUUCUAAAUGUUUUCAACAAAAAAGGUUCAAUGCAUGGUUCUCUUGAGCUAGAUAUCAAAUUUCAUUAAAGAUAUAAAUUUGAUGUGUCGGGAAUGGAAGACCAUAAAAUGUGUUGACAAUGACUAAUCUCUAUGUGAAACAAAAUUAUUGGUUGUUGAAAUAAUAUCGAGCUCCUUAACAAAUAAUUUUUUUUGAAGGAAAGCUCCUUAACAAAUAAAUAACUUGAACCAAAUGACUAACAUAUUUUGUUUUUCUUUUUUUGGUAAAGACAAUUUGUGUACGGAGAAUGCUGCACCACACAUAUGUGGAAAGCACUUGGGUUGUGACCCCCUAAAUCUCAUAAUAAUUACUACAUCUGUCCCUAAUUAUAGGGCCUUUUAUUAAAAAUAACGAGAAUUAAGAAAAUUGAUAGUGAUAAUAAAUUUGUUGGUAAUUACUUUACAAUUUUAUCCUUAAGAGAGAGAGUUAAUUUAUGUUUUCAAUAUAGUUUUUAAUAUUGAUUGAAGAAAAAUAUACAAAAUAAAUAGGGGUAUGAUGGUGAAAAAUUAAUGCACUUGGAAAUAACAAAGGGGUAUUAUAAUAAGAGACAAAAAAAUUCUCAAAAGGGUCUUAUAUUUAGGGACGGAGGUAGUAUUACUAUUAUUUAUUCAAAAAUUGAGUAAUAUUCGUAACGGGGAGUGUCAAAUAAAAACUUUCAAACUAAUAUAAGAAUUUUUCCACAAGAUUUAAGAUACCACAUUGACUCAUAGCAAACAUAAUUCACAUUUCACUUCCUUGAAAAUUAUAAUAAUAUUAACACCGAAUCUUUUUCUUUUGAAAAUACUUUCUUUUACAUCAUAAACAAUGGUUUUCUUAUACAAAACUAAAUAAGUAAGCAUAUCCCUUUUCCCGUGUCACUAUCAGAGCGGUGCUUUCUCCCAAAUUAACAGACAACGUGUACUUGACUCCAAGACUCAUAACCUAUAGAACUACGGUUUCGCGACCACAGGGCCAAGCGAGCAAACACAAACAACGAAGGGGUGAGUUUCGAGAACAUGUAAUAAUAUAAAAUAAUGAGAAGAACACGUAAGCAAUUAAGUCAAAGUCAUAUCACAUCACAAACAUAAUAUUCUAAACUUGAAGAAUAUACUAGAUCAACUCAAUCCAAGUUAGUAAAAAAAAGAAUAUCAAUACAACAUAAGAACCAAGAUCUUCACAAACACAAUGUCAAAAUUCAAUUCAAAAAUAGUCGCAACACAUAUAGUCACCAAUAACCAUCUUCAUAAGAACAUCGACAUACAAUCACCUUUAUCGUUUCACGUAGUUACACUUAUUCACCAAAUACAAAUCAUCAUCAAUUUUUAUGCAUAUAAACUCAAUCCUAAGACCUAUAUGAAUGUGGUACCACACCUACUCAUCGUUUUGCCAGAGUUAUAUUAGUGGACUUUUCUCAACAUAGUUGCUAGAGAUAUGUUAUAGGACUUUUCUCAACAUAGUUGCCAGAAGUAUGUUAGUGAACUUUUCUCCCACAUAUGCAAGACUUAUGCUCUAGACUCUAUAUGAACGCAAGGAAUUAAAUUCGACAAGUAUUACACAUAUACACAUAGUCACAUAUUCCACCUAUGAAUGCAAGAGUCCUCCUAAAAUGCACGACUCUAAUACAAGCACACAAAUCAUCACCACUGACAUCAUCAUCAUAGAAACCAUCGGCAUCAUGAAAAUACAUCAUCAUUCACACCACAAAUUUUAAUCGACAUCAUUAUUCUCAUCAUCAAACUAUUUUAAGCCUCGUCAUUUGCAUAGAAAAACAAACAGAUUGAUGACUCUUGACAACAAUAUAGAAGUGGAUUUAUUAAAAAAAAAUGUAUAUAAAAUCUAAGACAUUUUUAAUAUUUCUUAGAAUACCACUAUAGCCAAUUUCAUACAGAUGUGGAACACAACAUUUUACAAGGAACAGUAGACACAAUCCUUACACUCAUAGAUUAGCCCAUAAUUAAUUUCUAUAGCACCAAAUUGGCAGAAGCAAAACAAUUAUCUACUAAACAUCAACUAUCUUGUACUAGUUAUUCAAUCAAUUAAUAUACAUAAUUUAUCAAUUCAAAUAAUUGUGGCAAAUCAAACAUGAGCGCAUGCACAAAAUUUAUUAUUGACAUCAAAUACCAUUCACAUAAUUUAAAUCAAACAACACCCCAAUAAUGUUUCUAAUUCAUCUUUUAACCUCGCACUUCUAAAUUUACACAUUAAAUUAAUUAUUCUCUCCAAGGGCUACAACCGUCGCGGUAAGCCCGAACAAACUUUGGGAAAUACGACUUUCCCCUUCAUCUCAGUUUAAUUUACACUCAUGAUCUCGAACUCUUCUCUCUCACCCCAUACCUGAAUUGAAGCCUUCACAGUAGACAUCCAACUCAAGGGCAGCGAUAAAUCUAAACAGUUUAACAAUUGUGUCUUCUUUUCUCCAGCCUAGCGACUUGUGAAAGAAAGUAGCUUAAUUGAUCCUUUUCCUCAAAGCUAGAUCCUAUCUCUAUGAGGUCUUCUCUCUUUGCAAUACGAUGAUGUUUUACCAAAGACCUCUCUCACUCUCUUAUGUCUAGGGUUUCCUUUAUUUGUACAUAUUGUCAUCGCCGAUCUCUAUUGGCUAUUAAGUUAGCGACUUAUAGUGUAUAAAUAUAUAUACGUAUAUACAAGGGGCAUGCUUACUAGUAUUACGGCCUUGAGAAGGGGAUGGGUUGUUGGAUCAUAUACAUACAUAUGCUGAUGGAUCAAGCUUCUUAGAUUAAGGUGUGCGUUGGAAUAAGUUAAUUAAGUGAGGUACAUAAAGGCAUAUUAGGAUAUAAACACUAGCACUAUCUUCCAACAUCUCUCAUAAUUUUACUAUAUUAUUUAUUUAAUAUAAAGAACUCACAUGAUCAUCAGUUUUAUAAAUUAAAAAUAAGCUUAAACAUUCUAGAUCUAAUCAUCAAUAAAAAGAUAGUAUUCUUAAAGUAGUAGCAAUCUAAAAAUCACAACCACAAAUAUAUAUAUAUAUAUAUAUAUAUAUAUAUAUAUAUAUAUACAUGCACAAUAAUAAUUUAUCUUUAAUAUUAUCAAAAUAUUUUUGAUAAGAAAUUUGGGGUGUUACAACUCUACCCCCUUAAAAGAAUUUCGUCUUCGAAAUUCAGAGUACAAGAGAAAAUGAAUUUAAUUCUUGCUUAAAUAUCUUAAGCUACAAAUUAUUUCAAACACCAACUCACCAUAAGCCUCACUAUAAUACAACAGAAAAUCAAAACAACUUUUGCGCUAAAGACUCCCAACAACGAAGGGAAGAACUUCAAAAUUCAGAAAGGAAAAUAAAUCAGCCAUAAAGCCCCAACACCAGGCUUAAACAACUAAAUUCAUGACAACAACAAACGAGUAGAUAAAAAUGAGAGUUACCAACCAUCAUAGUUUCACUCAUAACAAACAUACGCUAUAACCCUAAUAUAAAUUAUGAUUUUCAACAAAUAGAGAACCGAAUAGCGCAUCAAUACUUCACUUUCUACACCGUAACACAUAGAAUCCCUGAAUAUAAAAUUGUAUCCUUUUAUAAAAUCUAGGGAAUUGUAGUACAUGUAUCUUUUUUUUUUUAAAGAAAAAUAUAAAAUUGUAGUAAAACAUUUUCAAGCAAAUAUCAUAUCAACAUGUUCUUUCAAUAAAAGAAGGAAUUCAUUAAGAAAAUAGGAAUAUACAUAUAUGAAAGAAUUAAAAACUAAUUAGUAUCCAGUAGGAGACGACACAAAUAAAAAUACAACUAUAAAAUAUUUUUUUCUUCUUCUUCUUCUUUUUUUUUUUGGAUUAAUAGUGUUUUUCACCCUUGUAAUAUAUAUCAUUUCCGGUUUUCGCCCUUAUAAAAUUUUCGGUUUGACUUGCACCCUUGUAAAAUUUUUAUUUUCUGGAAAACACCCUUAAUAGGCCAUUCAAAAACCAAAAUUUCUUGAAAAAAAAUUCUGAAAAAGGCCUAUUAGAGGUGUUUUCCAGAAAAUAAAAAUUUUACGAGGGUGCAAAUCAAACCAAAAAUUUUAUAAGGACGAAAACCAGAAAUGACAUAUAUUACAGAGGUGAAAAACACUAUUAACUUUUUUUUUUCCUUCACAUAAGCAAUCAAGAAAAUGAUGAUCAGUCAUAGGUUCACUUCACAACCAAAACUAAAGACAUAAAAAAGACAACCAACCAAAGUAGAGAAUUAGGCUAUCACAAAAACAACCCAGAAACUAAUCCCAAAAUACCCACAGUAGCUACAAACAAAGACCUUAUCCUUAACUCUAUAAAUAAAUCUUAAAAUUCAUUAACCUAAACAAAAUAAUGGAUUAUGGUUUUCCUAAAAUAAAACAAGCACUCACCUAAACUGGUUAAAUAUUUUGCCACAUUUUCUAUCGAAAAGUUUUGAACUUGCUAAAAUUUUGACGUCACCGUGCAAUAGAGAAGACUAUCAAAACACGUGAAUUGUUUAAUGGGUGUUGCUAACCGGUGUCUCUAGGGCACGAGUUAAGCAUACCAUAAAAGGGAAUUAUUACCAUAAAAGGAAACUGUUUUUGACUUUAUUAUAAAUUAAUUACACAAUUUUAAUGCAUUAAUUACUAUAUAAUUUUCUUUUUCAUAUCCUUAACCAGUGCCCUGGGGGCACCGGUUAGCAUUUCCCUUGUUUAAUAGCCAGUUAUUUCCAUAUGCACCCUGCAUAAACACGUCACAAAACCAUUAGAAAAUUAUUUUGGUUUCUCAUAGAAGACUAUCAAAACCAUUAAACCAUAAUUAUGGUUUCAGUAAUAAUUUCAAUGUACAUCUUAAUCAUUAUUUAAAACCAUGUAAAAAUAAUAAUUUCAUUAAAAAUCAUUACACAAUUAUCUUGGUUUUACAUACAAGACUAUCAAAAUCAUUAAACCACACUUAUGGUUUCAGUUAUCCAUACCCUGAAGUUUGUAUCAAUUCAUCAACAACCCUUUCUGCAAAUCAAAUGUAUCGUAUGACCACGAUGGAAAAUGGAAAUUGAUGUGGUGUGUUGUUACUGUUGAGUGUUCCUCAUUUGAUGUGUUCGUAUCGAUGUCGCUGUGAACACUGGAUUGUUAUGCAAAUGUUGACGGUUACCAAGUUAUGCAUAUGUAUAUAUUGUUUUGCUAAAAGCUUAAUCCAAAAAUUAAAGACUUGUGCAUAUAUGUGUUGCCAUGACCACAUAUCAAUAAAGUCAACACACACUAUGCUAUAGCAAGACUGGAUAUUAUAAACAACUCUUAGAAGGUAUUCACCUAAUAAAGUAGGAAUGUAAAAUACACAAUGCAGUAAAAUUUAUGUAUUGUCAUUUAUUGCACUCCCUUAAGAUUUUGGCAAUAAAAUUGUAAAAUAUGCUUGAAAUUUUUUUUUUUUUUUUAAAUAUUUACAUAACGUGAGACUCUCCUCUAUUUCAAUUGAUAAUUUAGGACUAAGAAAUUAUUUGAAAAAUUAAUCCAAGUUGGUUAGUUGAGGUUUCAACCUUCACACCGAAAUUAACAUAAAGGAGAGAGUAAACGAAACUUUGAUGUAGAUUAACUAUUUAACUAUUGAUUUUUGGGUUAAUUAUGUUUUAGGUCCCUAUAAAUAGGCGUGUUUUCAACAUUAAUCCCUACUUAAAUUUUAUUAAAUUUUUGGUCCCAAUAUUUUUUGCCGUUUGCAAAAUUUGUCCUCACCGUAAAAUGUUGCUGAUUCAGCUAACGGAAAAUCACAUGUGGCUUCAAUUAUAAUACACGUGAGACAAUUGUUUUUUAUUCAAUAAAUAAUAAAAUGGUUAAUAAUAUUUUUUAAUUAAAAGAACCCUUAAAAAUUCCAAUAUAAAAACCCCUUAACCCUUAUCUUAUCAGUUUCUUACACUUUUCUCUACCCACACUAAUCCUAGCCGCUCGAUACCCUUCUCCGUUUUCGAAAAACUUCAGAUCGUUGUCUUCUACUGUUUGGGAAUCUUAGUUUGUGGUCCAAUGGUUCGAUUUUGUGGUGACACUUUGCUUGGUGGUCCCGAGGUUGAAGAAGAAGAUUCUCAUGGUAUGAAUCUUUUCGUUUUUUUUAUUUCAGUUCUGUUGUCUUUUUGUUAGUGAAAACAUGUAAAGUAAUACAUUAUUGGGAUAUAAGCAUGUGGGUAUUGUUUAUUACUAGGGUUUUGCAACAGUUUCGAUUUAAGCAUGUGGGGUAUAGGAAUUUGACUUUUAUGGAAUAAGUUGAAUGCAAGUGGGUUGGUGUGUCUUUAAUCAGGUAACGAGGAGUCUCCAAGGUGUGUGGAGGGUGUUGAACUCUAUGGUGCUGGUGCAGGCAAAUCUGACUACAAAGGGAAAGGGAUUGCUGCUGAGGGUGAAGAUGUUUCAGAAAAUGAGCAUGCUGUUGGGAAUUGGUUGGGAUCCCUUGUAGGCAUGCUGUUGCAACUAUUGUGAUGAAGGGUGAUGAUCUUGCACAAUAUGUGCAUGAGUACUAUAGCAAGGUGUAUUAUGAGGAUUGCUAUGCUCAGGUUAUAUCCCCUAUUAAUGGGCAGAAUAAAUGGCCUAAAACUGAUUUUGUUGAGGUCUUGCCCCCUAUCUACAAGCGUGGGCCUGGCAGGCCCAAAAAGCUGAGAAGAAGAGAGCCUGAUGAGGACAGGAUGGAGAAUGGGAAGUGGCAAAGGGGUUACACUACUAACAGAUGCAAGAAAUGUUUGCAUUAUGGACACAAUCAAAGAACCUGCAUAAAUCCGGCUGUUGUUGUUCCAACUCAAACAUCUCAGACUAGUGCAACUCCUGCUGUUGUUUUCCAUGAACAAGCACCAACUACUCAGAAAAGUAUGAGAAGCAAUCUUGCAGUUGUACUCCAACAACCAACAAUUCAGGCAAGUCAAAGUAGCCAAUCUGCAGUAGCCCCUAAGAAAAGGGUAUACAUUAUGAUUCUUUUUAGUAAACUUAUUGAUAUUGAUUAUGUUUUUUUUUUCUUCAUUUUAAUUGAUUUAAAAAUAUUUAUCAUUGUUUCUUACUUAGGGGAGACCUGUUGGAUCUGGUAAGAAGCAGUCUAAGGGAGUUCCAAUGCCAAAAAAAACAAAGAAGAUUGUUGAACUGGGUAGUAGUUCUAUGACUGUCAACACAUCUCAACCAGCUUCUGCUCAAGCAAAAACUACUGCCAAUGAUGUUGAUAUGAUGCUAAAUGGCUUGAAGGCACUUCCACCAAACCAGCUAGAUGAAAUUAUUAGGCCGUUGAACAAAGGAAAAAGAGAUGAUGUUGAAGACAUUGUAGCAAAGGAGUAGUUUGUUAUGAUGUCAUGUUUUUUUGCUAGCACCUUUUGGUGUGCACCUUUUGAACUGUUUUGGUGCUAUAUGCUGUUUUUUAUUUGUAUUAAGUUGACUAAGACUUGUCUUUUUACUAGCACCUUUUGGUGUGCACCUUUUGAACUUAAUUGGUGCAAUAUGCUAUUUUCUAUAUGUACUAGUGUGCACUUCUAAGAUACUUAAAUGCACAUUUUAAUGCACAAACUGUUUUGGUGCUUUAUGAUCUACUCUUAUUCUAUUAUAGCAUAUUUUGUGAUCAAUUCUUGUGCUCUUCCGUGUGUGUAUUAAUUUGUUUCAAAGGUAAAAUCUAAGAUUAUUUUCUCUAUUGCGAUUAUAACAAAAAGUAGUGAUACCAUAACAUGUCAUUACAAAGAGCACUACUUUUGUGAUGUUUUAAUGCACCUUAUUACAAGAUAAAUUUGCAAAAUAAAUUGAUAACAUAACAUGUCACUUUCGAUACCAAGUUUUGACAAGAUAAAUUGAUACCAUAACAUUACUGUUCUCACCAAUAUUACAAGAUUUUCAUACCAUAACAUUACUUCUUACUAAUAAACCACUGAUACAUCAUUUUAUACAUCAGCAGUGCCUAAAAGUCUAGAACCUUAUCUUCAUUACAAACACCUAAAAUCUUAGAACAUUAACUUCAUAACAAGGACAAGAUUGAUAAUCAAUGACACAAUUAGCAGUGUCAAGGUAACUUUUCCUUUCAGCCUUUCUUGGUUAAACCUCGUGUAAAGCUUUACAUUCUUCCUCCUAGCUUCCUCAGCAAUUCCUAAAGCAAUGACACUUACAUCUUUACCUCCAGCAUCAUCAACAUCCUCAAUCUCAUCAGUGUCAUCAAUCUCUUCUACUUCAUCAGCCCAGAUAAACAUGUUGCAAGUAUCCUUCAUCUUCAUACAAUUAACAGAUGUCAGAAUUAAACACAAAAACAUAUGAAAAGAAAAGAGAACUGGUAAAUGAGAAGAAAAAUGAAAACGUUUUCAUAAGUACCAUCCAAUAUGGACAUCUCCAGAACUGUCUUCCUAUAUGUUUCCCUCUUGUAGCUGUCAUCAAAAUGGUUCGAAUACCACAACCACAUUUUUGUCCCCUAGGUCGAGUUGAAGAAGAUGUAACACUGUUUGAGUACAAACGAUUCUUUCGGCGAUUUAUGCUUCCUUGUCGUUCCAUGGUUCUCCAAUUUUGAACUCAGAUCUGAAGUGUUUGAAAAAAAAUCAAUUUGGGAAUUUAGAGUUUUUUAUUUCGGCAGAGAGGAAGAAGAUGAUGGUAACUGGUUUUUUUUAUGGGUCAGACUGGGUCAUAAUCAUACUCGGGUCGGGUCGUGGCCCAGUAUUAGAUUAAUUGUACUUCAAACAAAAAAAAUCUGAACUGGCAGCCACAUGUGAUUUCUCGUUAGCUGAAUCAGCAACAUUUCACGGUGAGGACCAAUUUUGCAAACGGCAAAAAACGUUGGGGACCAAAAAUUUAAUAAAAUUUAAGUAGGGACUAAUGUUGAAAACACGCCUAUUUAUAGGGACUUAAAACAUAAUUAACCCUUGAUUUUUUAUAUGUUAUAAGUUUGUAAUCUAUGUUGCUGCAUUCAUAGCAAGGCAUGGAACCUAUAUUCAAUAAAGGAAACCAAAACUAAAAUUACCUAUGAAGAACAUAGAUAUGAAGAGACACUAAUAAAAUUGUAUUAUGCUUUGUUUUCUUUAAAACUUUAAUAAAUAGGGUUAAUUAAAUUUUUGGUCCCUAUAAAUAUCUGCAGUUUUGUUUUUAGUUUCUAUAAAAAUAAAUAACACUUUUUAGUCCCUACAAAAUUUUCUGUUAGUGUUUUUAGUCCUUGUUAAAUUAAAAUUUGUUUAAUUAUGCUUAAACUCCUAAAUUUUUGAAAGAUUUUUUACAUAUACAUGUUCAUAAAAUAAAUAGUCAAAACCAUUUUUUACAUGAAUGUUUAGUAUAUAAAGUUAAAAUAUGGUAGUGUUUGAACUAAUAACAUUUUUAUAAGUUUUGCACAAACAAUUUAAUGAUAAUUGAUACAAUUUUUUUCAUCGACUUUAAAAUGGUAUAAUUAAACACUGAAUUCAUGAAUCCAAAACCAUUCAUCAUAUUAUUAUAUAUAGUAUUCAAAUGGUACAACAUAAAUAGUCAACUGUUGGAAACUCAACUCUUCUCACCCACCAGCCAUCGUCGAUGGCACAAAUUAUGCAUAUACCACAUGCAUGCUUAUUAAACAAUAUAACAAAAUUUACAAAUACACAAAGAUAGAAUGAAAAUCAUAAUAAGUCUAAAUUAAUUAGCACGUUCUUGCAUAUUCUUAAUUUUUUUUUUUUGAUACUAGGUUGUUGGUCAUCAUGAAGUUCUGAUCUUCAAGGACUAGCAGAAUCAAGACGAGGAUAGUAUCGCUCCGGUAUACAAUUGCAGAGGCUGGGUCCGUAAACCCAUUCAACGCAACCUGUCGGACAUCCCCAACCGGCAACAAUGCAAGUAAUACAAAUUCCGCUCGAGUCUUCACACUCCGGAGCACACUGAUUCCAAAUGUCGAAAUUAUCUUGAGCGUAUGCUGCAAUAUAUGUAAUAAUAAUAUCAUUAAAAUAAAUUAAACAAGUACUAUUCAAUAACAAAACUAAACAGAAGUAUGAAAGAAAACUAUCGACUCGACAUAAAUAACAAAUAACCUGAUCCAGCAAGCAAGAGAAAAGCGAGGAAGACGAUGGCAGUAGAGGAUGACUUAUUAGCCAUUAUUAACAAUGAACUUGUAUUGAUGAUGAACUUGCAUGUCAAAAACAUAAUAAGAAGUCUAUUAUUUAUAGGAAGGCACUGCAACCUGCCAGACGAACUGUAUGAUAAUUUAUCAAGAGCCUUGUGGCUUUUGUCUUAUAAAGGGGAGGAAGUGAGUGAAUAUCCUUCUACAAAAACAUUAUUAAUCAUUGUUGUCAAAACUGCGACUUACGAAUUUAUUCACCUACAUGGAUCUAAAUCCAUUGUAGACUCCAAAGAAAGACAGAAUCCUAGUAAAAUUGCACCGAGAUCACAAAAAAUCAUGAAAUCCAUGCAAAAUCGCAGGUUUUUUACAGUAUUUUGAAAGCUUUUUAGAAUUUGUUUAUACGGGUCAAUUUUGGUCCGGUUGGUCUAAAAUCGUCGGUUUCCCUUGCAUUUAGGUUUUGAGUCAUUUAUGUAUAAGUAUUUUGUGGACCUCAAACUUUGAGUCAUUUAUGACCAUUUGCAAAUGUAUAAAAAUAUUUAGCAUUAUUUUUGUGGAUACCACACUUUAAAAAUGAAUUUCACAUAAAAUGGUGGAUCUGCAUGAGUUAAAGUAAGUGUUGAAAUUAUAGUGUUCCCAACACUCACCACAAUAAAACUGCAUUUUAGUAGUGGAUUUCACAUAAACUGCAUUUCACCGUUAUAAAAAUCACUUAAUUUUUAAAAACUAAUUUAUUAGAUUGAGUUUUUAAAAGACUAUUUUAACAUAAAAAGUCUGGAAGAUUUUAAUUAAAAGAUUUUCUAAGAGUUUAUGGGAUUUUAAGAUUUUUUAAAAGACUUUUUAAAAUUAGGAUUCUAUAAUUUGGAUUUAGAGGGAUUUUAACUCAAAGACUUUUAAGAUUUUAAAUGACUUUAUUGAUUUAUAAAACAUGAAAUGACUUUGUAUUUUUAUCUAAUCCAUCGAACAAAAUAUCAAACUUUGUCAUAAAAUUUUCAGUUUCUAAUUUUUUAUUCUAGUUGGUGUUCUUCAAUCGAUUACAAUAAUCCUUGCGGUUGUUGCCUCAGCUAGCUUUGUUGCUUUGAACCUAAGGUCUUUUUAUAGGAAAUAAUCUUGCAGUGGCCAUAAUUGCAGCAAGUUAUCUCAAGCCACCAUUAUCACUACCACACCCCAAUGGCUAAUUAUAUGUUGUUUGUGUUUUAUUGUUAGAUGGAUUCAAAGAGUUAACAACGUAAUGUGAAUUUUUCUCCAUGAAUCAACUUUGGUGACCACCUUUGGCCAAAAACUUGUGAUCGACCAGUAUUUGGGAAGGUGAAGAAGUGCAAAUAUUGAUGGAAUGUUUGAGUUCACUUCAAAAUUUUGUAAUAUCAAACAUUGCAUUUCUGAAAGUGAAGAUGGUAUAUCCCAGUGGAGUAGGAAAAGAUAAUGCAAAGAACCUACAUGACAUAUGUUCUACGUCACGAAUCACCACGAUAUUUUGUAUCCAGCAUGCCAAUGAAGAAAAUGUCUUUUCAAAAGUGUAUAUGUAUCUUUUAAAAAAAAUGUCAUAGCUAUGUGUGGAAGACAGAAAAGUCUCACAAAAUCUAUUACUCACAACAAUGCAUUAAAAUCCGUAGAAUUUUGAAUAUCAAUAGACAAUUUUUAAGUUGUGCAAAAUCUCAAUUGAAUACCAGUGCACUUUAUUGAACUCAUUAAAAAAUCUUGAAAAUCCUAAUUGAAUACCACAAGAAUGUUUUACAUUCCUUUAAAAUCUUGAUUGAACACCACAAACUUUUUUAAAACAAAAAAAUAUUUUAAAAUCAUAUGAAAUCUCAAUUCAAUACACCCGCCUUAGUUUGUUUGGAUACAAUACAACUAUAUAAAAUAAUUUUUUUUCUACAAAAUUAGUUUAAUCUUUUAAAACAUAUUUUCUCUUUCCUCUAAAAAAAAUAUCAUUUGAAGUUGUUUAUAUAUUUUUUGCCAAAUACCUCCCCGGGUCAUUUAAGUUUCAUGUUUGUUUCAGAUAGAUCCUUUAAGUUUGAAGUUUGUUUCGGAUAGUUCCUUUAAGUUUCUAAGGUUUCAGAUGAGUCAUUUAAGUUUCAAGUUUGUUUCAGAUAGGUCAUUUCUAUCGACCUCCGUUAAGCCAAAGUUGAUUUGAUAGAAAGAACUUAUCAGAAACAAACUCUAAACUUAAAGACCUAUCUGAAACCUUAGAAACUUAAAAGACCCAGAUAGGUAUUUGACCUAUAUAUUUUUUAAAAAGAUUGUAACAAAAGCAUUCAAUAAUCUUGAGUGAUUUAUUUUUCAUCUUAAAUAAAAAAACUAUAACAAACCACUCCGAAAUAAGAGUUUCCUUAAAACAAAAAAACCUAAAUAAGAGUUUAUCAAUCGAAAAAGUAAAAGUUUGAAGUCUGGCUCUUAUCCUUGUUGGCCCUUUUAAUGUAAAUACCUUCCAACCAACCAUCCUUGAUUCAUUUGUUCAGCUAUGAAGAAACGGAGAAGGGAACGAGAAGCAUCCACAGCAAAAGAAGAGAGGCUUUUUUCAUCUAGUGUUUCUUCUCCUUCGGUUCAGGUUAAUUUGUUCAUCCCUUGUUAGGUUUGCGCAACUCUAUUUCCUAUGUCUUUUCAUAUUGAUGAUUGGAUAAUUCUUUGUAGCUAGAUUCCCUUGUUUAAAAACUGAAAACGGUUCUUAAAUAGCUCUACUUCUUUGAGAUAGAGGAUUUGGUGGAGAAUAUCAAGGUUCUUGCUUGGUAUUGGAGUAUGAGUAAGCUGAUAAUAGCGACGUGUUUGUAUUAUGAGUGGUGUUCGAAUUCUUGGGAUUGUUACUUAGAUAGGAUUGUCUGUUUUUUGGUGUUUCUUGGGGCUGUUGCUGUCAGAUGUGGGCUACUGCUGUUCUUCUGAUGGGUUGCGCUCAUUUUGGGUGUUUUUCUGCUUCUGCAGUAGCUGCUGCUGCGCGCUAUUAUGUGGGCAGGACAGUAGGUGUUUUACAUGGUGCUGUCACGUUUUGGUGGUGUGGUUUUGUCCGGUAUUGGGCCGCCCUGUAUUGCUUAUACGCUGGGGUAUUCUAUUCUAUUUUUUCGGGGCCUUUUUUCUCGGCUUGGGAGUUGUGGUUGCUAAUAAUAAUAUUGGGUGUUCAAAUAAAAAAAAACCGAAAUCGAAAGUUAAAAUAACAUGAUAUUUGUGAUUUUAACCAUAAAAGCUGACGUGCCCGGCUAGUUACUCUUGUAGUAAUUAUCAUAGUUUUCAUUGAUAGACAGCAACUAAUCAAAUAUAUUUUCGUAGCAGGCACUCUACGAUCAUGAAAACAAUUUGAUGGAUAGAAUCAACAAUUUACCAGUCGAGUUAUUGUGUCACAUCCUCUCUUUUCUUCCAACAAAACUCGUAUUCACAGCAACGGCAUUUUCCAAGAAGUGGACCCCACUCUGCUAUUCACUAUCAGCUCUAGACUUUCACGAUGAAACCUUCAAAGACUUAAAGACCUUCGACGGCUUCUGUCGUUUUGUCGACAAUUUCAUGUUCUCUCCUCUUUCAACCAACCAACCUCUCAAAUCGUUUCGCCUAAACUGUUUGUCUGGAAGAAAUGACAAGCGUGAUUGUGACAUCUUCAAUGCAUGGCUUGAAGCCGCAAAACAGCGUCAUGUUGAGGAAUUACAUCUAAAUCUGUAUUUCCAAACAUUGAAUCCCAUUAUUUUCAUCUCCCAAACUCUUGUUCAUCUCAAACUUGAGUUCAUACAACUUGCAAUUGAUACUUCGUGUGUUGAUCUUCCAUCGCUCAAAACAUUGCAUUUGAAAUCCGUUCAUUUUACAAAUCGGAAUGAUUACAUCAAUUUUCUUUCUGCUUGUCCUAUUCUGGAAGAUUUACAUGCUAAAUCUAUCUACAUUCAAAAUGCGAACAUUGCACAAGAAGAAGGGUUUAAAUCUUUGACAUUUCCCAGGUUGGUUAGAGUGAAUAUCAAUUCAACAGGGGAUCCGUUUUACGGCAUUGAUAAUGUUGAUUUACUAUUCACAGUCAGCGGAUCAAUAGCUCAAGAUACUAUUUUCAAAGUCAUUCCACUGUUUCCAAACUUAGUUCAUAUAGAACUAGUGUUUUGUCGUCGCUCACUUCAUUGUUGGGAUGGUGUAUUACAACUCCUCCGCCACUGUCCCAAGCUUCAAAUUCUUUCUAUUGGGAAGGUUUGAUUAGUAGUUCGUUUGUUUACUUGGUGUUUUCUUUUUCCGUAUAUUUUGAUUAAUAUUAUUUUUUAUCUCUUGGACAGUGGAUGAAUACCAGCUCAACCAAGGAAUGGAAAUGCCCAAUUUCGGUUCCUAAAUGCAUUUCGUCUCACCUCAGAUCAUGUAUUGUUCUAAACUUUCAAGGCUCGACAAAUGAUCUUAAAUUUGUAAAAUAUAUUUUGCAGAAUGCAACUCUCUUACGAGACAUGAAAAUCCGCUUUGCUACUUAUGGAAUGCUUCUGAAAAACAGUUUGAUUAUAGAAGAAUUAUCCUCAUGUCCGACUGUAUCUCCAAGUUGCAAAAUUUCAAUUGAAUUUAUUUAAAGUUACUAGAAUUACCAGUGUUUUUAUGGAAUGUUUUUUAUUCUGUCUGGACGAUUUAAUAUUUCAAUUUUUAUUUGUUUACUUUUAAAAUUUAUUUCCUUUAUGUGUAUAACGGCUUUUCUGCAUUUGUAGUAUCAAUUGCUUGUUCAUUAUAGAUAUUUCUACCCAAUUCAUGUUUUAUGACUAUUUUUCCGAGUAGAUGUUGGUCGAAUUACAGUUAUUUGAUUUUCUUCAAAUUUUAUGCGCUUUAUUUAAUUAUUUGGUUUUCUCGUUUAAAAGAAGAAAAUGAGCACUGUUGGUGCACACAUUCGUUUAGAUCAAGGAAAUAUGAAGGUGUUGGGUGAUCUUGCAAGGAAAGGAAGAUGGGUUGUACUUAUAAAUUUUGAUUCCCAUGUUAUAAAUAUACUUCAUUUUUGAAUAUUGUAUCCUGUUCGUAUCCAAUGAACAAAAGCAAAAAUGUUGUUGAAUGCUUGUAUGAUAGCUAAAAAGUGGUACACCUCUUAAAUUUUGCUGCAGUCAUAUGCAGUUGAUUUGCAUACAUUUUCUGAAAUUCUUGGACAUUGGCACUGUCUUUACAAUCUGUUUAAAAUACAUUUAUUUCUUCUUCUAAUGAAAUGUUUUCUUCGUCUUCUUCGUAGAAAGAGUAAUCAGCUGCAUAGUUUCAAAGGGACACAUUAUUGUGGUUGUUGCUCGUUCUAUCAUUCGCUUUCGUUAUCUGCAAGUUCCUUCUUAUUAUGAUUUCACCGAAGGUUCCUUCGACUGACAUUGAUGCUUCCGAUGGAUUUCUUUGUCUCUCACUUUAAGGAUGUAAAGUUUUAGUGUAGCAUUUUCCUUCCAAUUUUAUCCUUCAUUGAAAUUUUUAUUUACCAUCUAUUAUUUUAACCUAAUCAAAUAAUUAAUCAAAUUUUUUUAUAAUGAGAAAUUUUGUCAAUAAAGUCCAACCUAAUAUCAUAUUAAGAAAACUUUACCAACUGAAAGGUUGCAAACAACUUAUUAUUUCAUUAGCAACCCACUUGGGUUGGCCUAACAGUGUUGACUUGAGACCUCUGAAUGUGCUCCUCGAAAGAUCUCAGGUUCGAGAUUUCAAUGGGCUAGUCUGACUUCAUGAAAAAAAAAUUAUUAUACCAUUUGCCUGAAAGUUGGACUUAGUACAAAAUCUAUAGAGUAAUACAACUCCAAUGGGGCAACACCAAUUGGCCGCAAACUGUCACAAGCCAGAGGUUCAAAAUAUCAACCAAAUAGUGAACACCGUAGGACAUUAAGCAGAUGCACCAAUUGUCUUGGUAAGAAAAUAUUAUGUAAUGUAUAAGAUCCUUAAAAUCAAAAUGUUCGGAACCAUACUUUGCAACAUCAUGAUUACAUAUAAAAUAGUAAUGACAAAAGGAAGUUAUAAAUUAUCAUUGUCAAUCGUUGUCAUUAUAAUUAUUAUUAUGAUUAUUAUUUCAAUUUAUACUUAACAUAUCGAUUAUUAAUUCUAUAAAAAUUAAUAGAUUAAUCAAUAGUCAAUGACAUCUGCGAAUGAUUCUUGAUUCACAAGUUUAAUCCCAACCAUCAAUCAAGUAUACUUUUGUCAUGAUAUGUGAAGCCGAACAAAUAGCAAAACCAUGUUCUUGAGCUGCCUGAUAAUUGGCAGUAUAUCCAAAGAUAGCAGAACCCCUUGGUCCUUAUGUUUUUGAGCUGCCACAAACAAAGCUGAAGAAACAAAAUUUUGUAACUUAAAUUCGAAACAAAGAAAGAAAAAAAUCAUUCAGAAUUCUUAUGGUUGGUUGAAAAAGAGAUUGGGUGGUUUCCAUCAAUUUCUCCCAUGAAGUACCAUGAAUGUGCCAACUUCCUUGAGUUUGAAGAAGAAUCUAGGAAUUCAUGUUUUAGAUUCUCCCUCUGUAGAGUUAGUAAACUUGAUUUGUUUUAUUUAAUAAGGAUAUUAAUUAAUAUAUUAUUAUGGAGAAGCUCUUUUAUUUCGCAUUCUUUUAGAUUCAACUCUUUCUCCUAUUUCAAAUCGCUGAUGGUUCAAAACAGAAAGCAAUUAUAAUACAGUAAAAAUCUGAAAGAACUAAUUAAUAAUAAGAGAAGGGGCAAGGAAAUCCAAAGUUGAUGCUUAAUGGAAAAUCUACAAAAACAAAAUAAAAACAAUACAUUAUUAAAACAAAAGAAGAGGGAGAAAGUUUGAAACAGACUCUCGUAGAAUCAUAGUUGGCCACCAAAAUUGCUGAAGCUCCGUGUUAGAUAUAAAACCUUUAAUGGCUCCUUCAUUCUCUACAUCUAACCUUUUUACGUCCGCGCCUCUCCCCUCAAAUUUAAAGCAUCUUUUGUCCAAUGUAGACUACACGAGUGGUGGUGCGAUGAGAAUCACUCUCCGCACCACCAUUGACCCUAUUUCCUGUUCGACGACCCCCGUUCUAGAUCUUCAACAGGUGUCAACUUCGGUUUUUGAAGAAGAAUUUGAGUUAGGUUACCUUUUUGAGCUGGAAUUUGAGACAGACGUUGAAGAUAGCGAUUGAGAGACAGCGAUGGAGAUAGCGAUUGACGUUUGCAGAGAGCGAUUGCAGAGAGACAGCGAUUGAAGAUUGGAGAUUGAUUGCAGAGAGACAGCGAUUCAAUAUCAACCUUCAAGAAUGGAGGAAAAGGGAUAACAAUUGAGAACGGUGCAGGUUUGGGGUUUGGAGUUCGAUCGAUUGGUGUUUGGUGGAGUUCGAUUGGUGUUUGGUGGAGUUCGAUCUCGUGAAGUUGCUUGUGGAGUUCGAUCGAUUUGGUGGAGAAAAGGGAAAAGUGGGAGGGAUAAUGAAAAAGUGAAAUUUUUUUAGGAGGGACACUUGGCCCUUUACACUUGGUUUGGAAACUUUGAAUUUUGACAAAUACUUUUAAAAUGGGGUCAAACGAUUUAAUAUCAUUACAAGUUAAAAACUUUCCUUGCACCCAGCUUUUUAAGUCAUGUGGAUAGCAACCCAUUUAAAAUCCUUGAUUUAAUAAGUAUAUUUUGUACUAGUGUAAUAUCUAAUUUAAGCCCCAUCUUAUCCUCUACCUCACCAUACUCCGCCCCAUCCACCCUUAUGAGGGACCAUUUCUCCAACUUCUUUCAAUAAUAAAAUUAAAUUAUUUAUAUAGCAAGCCAAUAAUUAUGAUACGGAAUUUCUUAGGACCCCAAUCAUGGUAAUCCUAACGCCUUACAAUUGGGAAAUGAUCCGACACAUCUCUAACACUCGAGUCCCCCACUACCACUAGCCAUUGAUUAGAAACCAAGACUCUAUCAAUCUGACUCAAGCAUCUAAUAUUCGGUUGAAACCAAGUAAAUUUUCUACCCAAUAGAGGAAGAUCAAUCAAGCCCCGUGACUCCAAAAAAUUAUUUAAACUUAGAGAAUCUCCAUCACCCGAACCACGAAUUACAACAUUUGCUCUCUACCCUAUUUCUUAUAGCAUAAAAUUCUCCCAUUACACACGACAAGUCCACUAACCACCUACUCCAUAAGUCCAAAAUAUCCAAUGACCCCCCACAAUCUCCUUUUUUAAAACGAUACCGCAAAAGAGCAUGAAUAUUAACCCCCACACUUACUUCAUUUAAGGCCGUCAUUCUACUAAAACUCAUAGAAAUCCAUUCCCUUGAAAAGAAUGUUUGUGGUUGCCUUUUGAACCAUCCCACAAAGACAAAAUCCCCCCCACUUCUACCAAAAGUCAGACGAAAUGCCCAAUUAAAUCAACCCCCACGUAACCGGGCAUAAAAUUUUCUAUCCAGUACAUCCAAUUUAGUUCAAUUGCAAGGCCAAACAAUCAACCUUUUUGCUCCUAAUUUAGUUCACCCUCGCCCAACUCUUUUAACAUUUCAAAAGCAUACUAUCAUUAAACUCUUGCUUCUUGUUAAAAAAAAAAUCAUUAAUCAUUUACUUCAUCCCUUUCUUCUUCCAAAGUAUCCUCCGAGCUCUCCUCUAGGUUGAGAAGCCUCUCUAUCAUUUUGAGUUUGUUGAUUAUACCCCCUUUGAACUUCCACCCUCAAUUAACCCAUAACUAGAUCGCACACCCGUGCGACGCACGGGUGAAUUAUAUGUAAAAUACAUUGUUGUCAUUAAUUGACUUGAAUAAAUUCAGUUGUGCAUCCAAUUUAAAACCAAUUACUUAUUGGUUCAAAAUUAUUAUUAUUAUUAUUAUUAUUAUUAUUAUUAUUUUUGGUCAAGUAGCUUAGUGGCUAGAACUCACACAAUUAAAUUGUGGAGAAGUGGAGUGUCCAGGGUUCAAACCCCGGCCCCUGCAUAUAAUAUGCAAUAUCCCUACCAACUGAGCUAAGCUCACGGGGAUAAAUUAUUUUUCUUUAAACCAAACUAAUUCGUUACAUCGGCCCCCCUUUUAUUCUCAGAAUAAAAGUUCAAUUAAAAAUGACAACAUCAUAAACUUGCAUACAUACAAAAAUACCUAUAUAUUCAGCAACCACUGAAGGAAAAUCAAAUGAGGGACCGUCUGUUACAAUUGCUAUUAAAAAUGGUUCUUAAAGUAUUUCAUCAUUUUGUUAUAAUUUUUUUAAAAGAUAAUUUUUUAAAGAAAACUUCAAAUGAAACGUUGGAUUAAACAAUUUUACAAUAUCAUUUAAAACAAAUGUUUAAAUGAAAAGUUAUUUGAGUAGUUUCUAAUAAAAAAUCGUUUUUGAGAAGUCUCUAUUUGAAAAAUAUGUAAUUUUUAUAUCAAAUCUUCAACAAUGAAUAUCUAAGUUGCUAUAUGUCAAAAUUAAUAUUUUAGUUUAGAACAAAUGAGUUCUAAGUUGAUUUUCUAUUAUUUUUUAUAAGUUCUCAUAAAAAACUUUAUUUAAAAUAUAUAUUUAAAAUAUAUUUUUUAAUAUAUAAUAAAAGGACCUAAAUUACAAUAUCAAUUAUCUGCAGUUUGUGGUGUAAUUGGUGAACUGUAUCCAGAGUUUGAGUAGACCAACGAAAAACAGUUUAGAAAUUGAUACUUCCAUAUCACUAAGUACAUCAAUACUUCAAUGAAUUUCAAUGUUAAAAUCAUUAUUAUAACAAUUAAUGUGUUGCACAAACCCACCUCAAUUUGAACCAUCUUAUAUUUCCAUUUACUUAGUUCAGUCAACCUCACUCAACACAUACAUGUAUCUACUUGUCCUGGAUUUGCUCCAUUGUAUUUUUUAUUUUAUUUGAGAUAUUGCUCCAUUGUACUUGAUGGACCAGCACUUCGUGAAUUGGUAGUUGUAAGUUCAUUCCAAGUUCAAUACAUCACUACACAAAUAUUAUAGAACCAAGUUCAAUUAAUACUAUAACAAAUGAAGUCUCGGAUGUCAUUUUCAAAAAUAAAAAGUAACUAAUUUAUCAACCUGACUUUACUACAGCAAAUAGGAAAAAAAAACUUUUCAAAACAAAUAAAAAAAACAUAGAAAAGUUUGCUUUGAAAAGUAAAUUACUUAUGUUUACAAACCCUUUAAAAAAUGAUCUAAAUAAAGUUUAAAAAAUAGAUUAUGGUUAACGUUAAUCAUAAAUUCACUUUUUAUGUAACAAAAAUAGUGUCCAAGACUAAAGUGUUGCCAAAUCAAAGUAAGAUGAUGAUAAAUUAAAUGUUAAGUAACAAAGUAAGCAUUUUUUCUCUUGAGUUUCGACUAAAGUGUUCACGUGUAUCCCAACUGCGUUCAUCCACCAUAACAUUAUAAGUAAAAUAUACAUACCGCAAGUACACCUACAACAGAUCAACUGGGGAGACCUAAGAAAAAUGAAUGUAUUUACCAUUAGCAUAAUAUAUUUUUUUCACAUAUUAGACUCGUUCUAAGCAAAGGUUUUCCAACCAUAUGUGCCUCAUUUGGAUGCUUUGUUAACACUAUAAAGAAUAGAAAAUAAAAAUUUACAUAACGGUAAGAAAGAUCAUUGCAAUGAUAAAAAAAUUACAAUUAUGAAUUUAAUGAAAAAACAAUUGUUAUGAAUUCAAUUAAAAAAACAACAAUCAAAUAAAUAAAAAACCACUAAACAGCAUAACAUGUAAGUUCCAUAAACAAAAAUCCAUUUCCAAACAAUGAAAAUCUGUGUAUUCAAUCUUCAGAGAAUUAAAAAAUAGAGAAAAAAAUACAUGAAAAUAGGAACAACUGAAUGUUUACCGGCUUAUAAUAGUUCAAAUUUAUCAUUUAAUAAUUAAAGAAGGAAUGAGUGGCUUAACAAAAGAACUAAUAUGCUAAAUGAGGACUUGCCAAACAUGUCAGUAUGUAUAUAUCGUAAUUUGUAGAUAACAAAUUGCUCCAUCCAUAUGCAGAUCUCUCCAUGCAAACUGCAAGCAUUAUUGUAUGUUCUUUCAAAAAAAUAUUGGAUGUGAGCACUGAGUAUACAAAAUAUAUAUGAAUACCCUGAAAAAAUGCAAAUUCUCUUUAAGAGCUUAAAUACUGAUAUAUUGUUGGAGCUGAGAAAGGAUUAUGAAAUUAAUCUACCUAAAAUCUCAUAUACUCAAUUCGAGGAAAAUACUGCAACAUGAUUAAAGGAUAUUUGAUUUGUGAAAAGAGGAGUUAUUGGAACACGGAAGCUUGAAGCCUAUUGUGGGCAGAAGAACCAAGUAUUAGUAAUACUUUCAUGCAUUGGGAGCAUGCAUUUUCAAUACUUAAAUGAAUUUUCAAUUAAUGAAUGGCACAAUUUUCAUGUAUUUAUGUUUAGUGGCUCGGUACAUGAAUAAAGCAUUGGAAUGUUGGGAAGAGGUGUUUGAGUGGAAAUGUUAUUAAAUGUCACAAUAAGAUUACUCUUCUCAUGCAUCGGCAGACUUCAAGAGUUAUGGGAGGGAAAAUUUGAAUUUGAGAUUUGUGUGAUCAUUAAGAUAAGCACUUAGAAAAAUUAAAUGCUUGUACAAUGGAGGGAAAAUAUUAGGGUUAAAUUAGGGUAUGAGAUAGCUUGACCAGAUAAGCUUUAGUAAGAAAGAUGAGCACAUCAACCUAACUCACCUCAGUUCCUUUAUCCUUCACCUGUUUUUAUUUCUUCCGUUAAUGGAAUGCUUUUGGAAUUAUCUGGGAUGAUAGUCUUUUUGUAUUGACAAAUUCUAGGGUGGUCUACCAUUCUGCCUCGAUAAUUAUUCUAUUAGGAUUAAUGGUUCUAAUUUUAUUUACUCUAUUGAAUUAAAAGUGAGAAUUGUUCCAAGUCCUAUAUCUUGUCAGAUUGUUUGAUUAUACUGUUUUUUAGGGAUGUUUGAUUCUACUUUUCACUGGCAUUUGUUGGUACGAAGGAGCUGGUGAUAUUCCAAAUUUGUGUAGUUUUCUUGUUGUGGUUUCUCUUUCUUCCUAUAGACCUAAUCCUUAUGAUUUAAACAAAGUAUAAGUCUUCUUUAGCCAAGUGGUCACAUGUUCAAGAGCCAUUCUCUUUCUUACUAUGCAUGAAUGGUUUUGUAUCUAACACAAUGCUUUCAUGAUUUUGCUGGCGAACUCCAAUUUUUAUAAAUUUCUACUUCAAACUCUCUCCCUCUUCCUUUGCAUUGAUUUUUUGUCCAUACAUAGAUUAGAUAUUACUUUUUAACUUCAUAUCUCAGGUUCUGUUUUUCUUGUGCUUUUGAGAUUUUUUAUGAUGGUUAGCAUACAUUUUGUGAUAAAGAAAAAUUUUAUUUGGGAAACUUCUGUUUUAACUUCAUAUCUCAGGUUCUGUCUGACAAAUGAGGAUGAUUUGGGACGUGGUAAUAUGUAAUUGUUGCAUCUUUUGUUUAUCUGUCAUCCAAAUUAGAUGUAAUUGUCACUUCGGUGGCAGAUUUUGGGAAAACUGUCAUGGCAAAUUUUAUGAAGGAUGGCGGCGUCAUACAUCGGAUAGGGUGGCGCCAUAUAUCAGUAGUAUGUAGGAGUUUUGGCUUUAUAGCUAAAAGUUCCUUGUUAUAAUUCCAAGUUUUUUUUUUUUUUAACAAAAAAUUCAAAGUUUGUUCUUUUUCUAUUAUUAUUGAACACCCUACCCUUUAUAUGUAUGUCCCAUUAGUGUAUUUGAUCAUGUCCUAUGACAUCUCAUUAUUGUUUUUAGAAAGACAAAUUAUAUAAAGUCUCAGCAAAUUUCAUGGGCUGUGGGAUUUUUUUCUUAUCAAUGAUUCAUAAUUUUGUUUGGAAUCUUCAGUGCUUUGUUAUAGGAAAAAAAGAGAUGAGUCAUCAUCGAUGGAAACAAAAAAAAACCUAAUCAAGUUUUCUAACUACACAAGGGAAGAAUCUAAAAUAUGAAACCCUAGUUUCUUCUUUCGGAUCAAGGAAAUUGGCACAUCCAUUGAUACUUGAUGGCAGAAAGUGAUGGAAACCUCCCAACCUUUUUUCACCCAACAAAGAAUUUUGAAUGGUUUUUUUUAUCUUCUUUGUUUUAAAUUUUAGUCUAUGACUUUUGUUUAUUCAGGUUUGUUAGUUUGAGAUUAUUGCCAUUAUGAGGAAGCUUAAGAACAUGGAAUUGAACCAAGGUGUGUGCUCUAAUUUGUGGAUAUACUACAAAUUAUCAUUGGCUUCUAUGCUACAGUCAAAUUUUUCAUAUUUAGAAAAAGAAAAAGGUAAACACUGACUUGCAAGAACUCUUCUAUUCAUGAGACUGUUACUAAUUACUCCCGUUAAUUCUAUCCAUCUUAAUCCACUUAACAAUCGUAGCAUUAUCAAAACUAAAUUCUAUUCUUCUGCCACCCAAAUUAAUAUGCAUACUGGCUAAAAAACAUUAAUUUUUUAAACCACAUAAAAGUGUAAGUGGCAUCAAUUGGCAUCCCCAAAAUGAGACGAGAGAUAUUAUUUCUAGAUGUACGGAUCAAUUGGCAUCUUGCAUUGUGAGAUUUGUUACGAGACAGGUAAAUAAGGUGGCUCAUAGCAUAUCUAGAGCUUCUCUAUCUCACUCCCCAUAUUUUCGAAGAUGUACCCUCUUAUCUAUAUCCACUACUUAUUAAUGAAAUGAAAUAGUUUUGCCUUUGCUAAAAAAAAUUAAGACUUAAUAUAGAAUGGAGAAGUAACCCUACGAACAAUCUCUCUUUUUUUUUAGUAACCAAAAUUUUUUUUUUCUUACUUUUUUCUUUCACAAACCCUAUCUGUCGCAACUUUUCUUCUUCAUGAUCUAGCAAAAAGGGUGAUUUAGGGUCAAUUUUUAUCUGAAAUCACCAAUCGGAAUUGUUCUUCUUUCUCUUUUAGUUAAAUAGGUGAUUUUUACAUUUUUUUUUUAUUUUUCUUUCGUUUGUUUUUGUGAUUUCGUUGUCUAGCAUUACUUUUUUAUUUUUGUGUGGUGUGUUUUUUAUUUUCCAUCUUAAUGCGAUGUUUAUAUGAUUCACGUUAAAAUAUUAGAUCUGAUCAAGUAUAGAUUCAAUCAAUGACUUUUGCGUUGUUAAAGUUGUAGAUCUAGAAAUAGUAUUUUGGUAGCUUAAAUAUAAUCAUAUUUGUAGGCAUACAUACUCUGCAGUUUUAUGCUAUUAACCUGGAUGAUGUGAGUUUGUUCGUGGGUUCAUCCUUUUUGUUUUUUGUGACUUUGAAUUUAUAUUGUAUCUGUCAAUUUGAAUAAAUAUCGUUUACUUUUUUAAGAAAAAAAUAAAAAUAAUUAAGAUUUAGAUCAAGUUUGGGUCUUUACCUUGUUGGGCCUUCUAAUGUAAACUAUAUUUUCCACAAGGGUUCGGUCAUUCUUUCAUUCAGCCGAAGAAAAAAGUGAAGAGAGGGAGCUUUCAACUUCAUCGCACUCCUUGUUUGUUCGUUCAAGUUUAUCACUUUUACUUCUUUUGUGUAUGCGUUCUUCUUGUGCUGUUGCUGUUGUUAAAACCAAUAUGAUUAUUCAUUCGGUCUGUAUUUAUGAACCCUAAUCAAACACUCAAACAACAAGAUAUUUUUUAUUUCCACAACAAUUUAACUAACUUAUAUUUGUAAUCGUAUUUAAAUAGGAUUUUGAAUUUUAAUUUGUAUGAUCUUUCUUGUAUUAAACUAUCAUCACCUCUUAGAUAUUAUUAUUAUUAUUAUUAUUAUUAAAGAAGAUGUUGUAUUCAUUCAUAUCUUCAUUGUUUGAAAUUAGGUCAACGAAAACAUGAAGUCUAGUUUCAGCAGCACAAGAAAUAAAAAACAUGUUACUGAAUUUUCAAAAGAAGGGAAAUUGCUCUUACAAACUUUUUCUUCCUUCAUCCCGUUCCACUCAGGACUCGAAAAUGGUGGACAGAAUCAGUAGUUUACCUGAUGAGUUGUUGUCUUACAUUCUCUCUUUCCUCCCAACCAAACUCGCUUUCACUACAACCCUUCUUUCCAAACGGUGGAUCCCACUAUGCUAUUCACUCCCUGUUCUCGCCUUUGACUAUGAAGUCGACAAAAAAUAUGAAACCAAGCAAGACUAUGAAACCUUUGAUUGCUUUUGUCUUUUUGUUGACACUCUCAUCUCAUGCUCUCUCGUCCUUCAACCAAUCAACCCCUCAAAUCAUUUCACCUAAACUUUUUCUAUGGACACCCCGAUACCGUGUUUAAUGUGACAAAAUGGCUAAAAGCUGCAAAACAGCAUUGUGUUGAGGAGUUACAUCUUAGUCUGCGUUUCCACACAUUGAAUCCCGUUAUUUUCAUCUCUCAAACCCUUGUUGUUCUCAAACUUAAGAGGAUAGAUUUUUCAAUUGAUACUUCAUGUGUUCAUCUUCCAUUGCUCAAAAAACUGCAUUUGAAAUAUGUUGGUUUUAGAAAUCGAAAUGAUUACAUCAAUUUUCUUUCUGCUUCUCCUAUCUUACAUAAAUUGCAUGCUGAGCACAUCCGUCUACGUAGUGAGAUGCGUAGUGAUAAAAACAAUAUACCAGAAGAAGGUUUUAAAUCUUUGACAUUGUCUAAGUUGGUUAGAGCGAGUAUUAGUUCAAUGGAUGCUUUGUUUAAUGGUAUUGAUAAUGUUGAGUUCUUACGCAUAACCAAAGGAUUCAAAGAUCAAGAAGCAACUUUCAUAGCCAUUCCACUGUUUCCAAACUUAAAUCAUAUUGAACUAGUGUUUUGUAAUAGCUCGUUUCAUUGUUGGGAUGGUAUAGGAGAAUUGCUCCGCCAUUGUCCCAAGCUUCAAAUUCUUAUUAUUAAAAAGGUAUGUUGAGUAGUGCAUUUGUUUUUUUGAUUAUUCUUUUUUUCCUCAUAUAUUUUGACAAAUGUUUAUUUUAUCCUUUGAAAGUGGACAACAGCCAGCUCAUCCAAUGAAUGGAAACACCCUCUUUCAGUUCAUGAAUGUGUUUCGUCUCACCUUAGAUCAUGUACUAUUUUAAACUUCCAUGGCUCAGCAAAUGAUCUUCGAUUUGCAACAUAUAUUUUGCAGAAUGCAGGUCUUUUAGAAGACAUGAAAAUCGGCGUUACUACUAACCGAAUGCAUCUGGGGAAAAGUCAGAUUAAAGAAGAAUUAUCCUCUUGUCCAACGAUAUCUUCAAGAUGUAAACUUUCAUUUAAAUUUAAGUAUUGUUACUAGAUUUAUCAGUGUUAUGUAUUAGUUUCUAUUCCAAUAUGCAACCGUUUAGUUUCAUACUUUGGACAACAUAUAUAUAAUUGAUUUGAUGAUCUUCGAUAUUAAUUUGCUCUAGUACUCUAAAAGUAAUAAUUGUUCCAAAGCAUUUUUUGUUGUCGGAGUUUGUUUGAUUGUGCUUGUUAUGGAGCAUGUGAUAUUCCGAAUGUUAUCAUAUACAUAUACAUGGUGCUUGUUAGUAUAAUUAUCCAAAGAAGUUAUAAUGGACAUAUCAAAGAGUAGAUGUAUGAAUGGAUAAUAUUAUAUAUGUAAAUGAACCCUUUUUGGGUACAAAUUGGCAGAGGGGAGGGAUAUAUGUAAAUGAACUUUAAUGUACUGAUGUUGACUUGGGAUCUUGAAGUAAGCUUCUUUCAAGGUCUCAGGUUCAAUUCUUUAUGGUGCUAAUUUCGGUGGUCUAGUUUAACUUCUUUAAAAAAAAGUAAUUCAUAAAUAAACAUAUAAAUCCAUCAAUUUAAAGUAGAACCUUUUUUUUUUUUUUUUGAGAGAUAAAGUAGAAGAACUUAUUAGCAUGCUGAAGAAAUAGUAUAAACUUUGCAAGAAUUUGUGUAGAGUCUGACUUGAAAACCUCUGGUGAUAUUAUUGUUUGGAUAGUGAUAUGUAAGGUUUGAAUAGGAAGGAAUUCAUUUUGGAUUGUUUCGGAAAUUUGCUAUUCAAAUUGAGAAAUGGAGUCAGGCCUAAUUACGAGAAUUUGGGAUAAAAAUAAGUUUGGAAACUCACUAUUCGGCCGCCUAAUGACCAAUUAAUAAUAAGCCUAAAAAAUGUGAUCUUUGAAAGGAAGAAAACAUAUCAGAUCCAAUAAAAUAUUACCAAAAAAUUCUUGUUGGUCUACGGUAAAAAAAUUGAUACUCAUUCCCAUAAAAGACAACAAUAAGUGACUAAAUAUAGUUCCUAUCACAAUUUAAAUUUAAAGUAGAAAUUCUUAAUUUGUAGAGCAAUUUAGUAAAGUAAGAAUUGCGGUCUUAUCAUUUUUAUCAAGAAUAUUCACAAUGAAGACAUCUAUUUUAUUAUACUUAAAUGAGUCUCAUGUCUGCACACGCCACUCAUUUAUAAUUUUUUUAAAUAGUAAUAUCUAAUAAGUAUUCAAUCCUUCAAACAUCUUAAACAAAUUUUUUUAGGCUUAAUUACUCUUUGGUCCCUUAACUUAUUUUUUGGUUUCGUUUUGGUUCCUUAACUAUUAAAAGUUUCGUUUCGGUCCCAUAACUUAUUUUUGGGUUUUCUUUUGGUCCCUUAACUAUUAAAAGUUUUGUUUUUGUCCCUUAACUUAUUUUUUGGUUUCGUUUUGGUCCCUUAACUUAUUUUUUGGUUUCAUUUUGGUACCUUAACUCUAAUACAUUCAUCCUAACAUAAAGGANNNNNNNNNNNNNNNNNNNNNNNNNNNNNNNNNNNNNNNNNNNNNNNNNNNNNNNNNNNNNNNNNNNNNNNNNNNNNNNNNNNNNNNNNNNNNNNNNNNNNNNNNNNNNNNNNNNNNNNNNNNNNNNNNNNNNNNNNNNNNNNNNNNNNNNNNNNNNNNNNNNNNNNNNNNNNNNNNNNNNNNNNNNNNNNNNNNNNNNNNNNNNNNNNNNNNNNNNNNNNNNNNNNNNNNNNNNNNNNNNNNNNNNNNNNNNNNNNNNNNNNNNNNNNNNNNNNNNNNNNNNNNNNNNNNNNNNNNNNNNNNNNNNNNNNNNNNNNNNNNNNNNNNNNNNNNNNNNNNNNNNNNNNNNNNNNNNNNNNNNNNNNNNNNNNNNNNNNNNNNNNNNNNNNNNNNNNNNNNNNNNNNNNNNNNNNNNNNNNNNNNNNNNNNNNNNNNNNNNNNNNNNNNNNNNNNNNNNNNNNNNNNNNNNNNNNNNNNNNNNNNNNNNNNNNNNNNNNNNNNNNNNNNNNNNNNNNNNNNNNNNNNNNNNNNNNNNNNNNNNNNNNNNNNNNNNNNNNNNNNNNNNNNNNNNNNNNNNNNNNNNNNNNNNNNNNNNNNNNNNNNNNNNNNNNNNNNNNNNNNNNNNNNNNNNNNNNNNNNNNNNNNNNNNNNNNNNNNNNNNNNNNNNNNNNNNNNNNNNUUGGUGGGAAUACUUUUUCAAUUUUUGGGGUUCUAUAAAUUGGCUACAUCUAUCAACCAUGUGAUAGCACAUAACCACUUACAUUUUUUUAGAAGACAAAAAAAGGUGAUGGAGAGGAAAACACUUGCUAGCUUGUGCUUCUUUCUCAUUUUUCUCUUAGCUGCUCGUAAGUUUAUAUUAUAGUAAUUUGGGAUAUCAUUUUGUAUUUUAGUCAUUGUGUUUAACUCAUAAAACCAUUUUUUAGUACAAUACUUUUUAUUAGAAAAUAAAAACAUGUAUGCAAGCUAUAAUUUAGAGUUUAAUUUUUAUAUGUUUACGAUUUUUAAAGAAUAAUUUUUCAGUUCAGUAAUUAUAAAUAUAUAUACAUAUAUUUUUUUUGAGAGAAUGAAUAUAUCUAUAUAUGUAUGUACAUAUACAUAUAUAUAUAUAUAUAUAUAUAUAUGAUUAUUCAUGAUUGCUUGACACUUUCAAUCAGAUUUUUAAAUACUUGAUUGUAAAUUCUAAUUGAAAUAAUCUUGGUAAAAUUUACUUUUCUCUCGAUCAAAUUAUAUAUCACUAUGGCCAUCUUCCCUUAUGAAUUGAAGAAGGAAAACAUAAAAACAAAUCUUAAAUUUGAUGCAACAAUUUUUUUUCUAUUUAGAAAAAAAUAGAAAUAUAGCAUUGGAAAAUGAUGAAAAGUGAUAAAUUUAACUUUUUAAAAGUCAAAAUAUUGUUGAAACCAAUGCAGACAUGCUACUUUUGGCUUCCUUAAUCAUUGCCCCGAGGGCAAUGGUUAGCAAGACCUUAAUAAUAAUAAUAAUAAUAAUAAUAAUUUUGUCAAAAAAAAUAAUAUACUAAUAAUAAAAAAGUUUUUCUAUCAUAUGCAAAUUAAUUUAAAAUAGUAAUUUUGUUACCUAUCGAGUGAGACACCAAAUCAGCACUUCAGGGGUGCAUGUAUUGGUUCAUCUCGCAAACAAGAAUGUGACUAUGGUUGCAGGAGAGGAGUAGGCUGGAGAGGAGGUUAUUGCAAAAAGCAGAAAUGUGUUUGUGACUGUACAUGUAUUGGUGCAUGUAUAAAUUAUGAUCAUCUCCUACAUAAAUAAAUAAUCUAGCUAGAUUUUAUAUGUUCAUGGAAUAAAUCAUUGAUCAAGAGAAUUAAUUAAUAUAUGGAGUAAUAUGUGUGAUAAGAUAGCAUGUUGUCUUAAUAAAUAAAAUAUGUGUUAUUCUUCAAAAAAAAAAAUGUGUUAAUUAUAUUUGUAGUGUUUUUUUUUAAAAAAAAAAAAAAAAACAAAAUGAUAUUCAUUCAUUUAAAUCGAGAGAUUACAUCAUUCAACACCGCUAAAAACGUAAAGAAUGAAUCUGCGAACAAAGUCACAGCAUCCAAGUUAAUAGCAUAUAACUGCAUAAUGCCUACAAAAAUAUAUGAUGAAAUUAAAGUGAUCGGAAUAUCCAUUGCCUCCGGAUCUGCAACGUUGACGCCCAAAUCUUUGAUUGAACAAUCGAUCUUUUAAUAUGAAUCAAUUGAACACCGCACGAAGAUGGAAAAUCAAACAACGUCGCACAAGACGACGAACAACAAAUCACCACACUUAGAUGAUGAAAUUGCAAAGAAAAAAAAUCUAGAUCUAUGUGAAAAUCACUUAUUUAGAUUGAAAUAAAGAGAAAAAGAUGAAGAUGGGUGAUUUUAGGUCAAUAAUUGAUCCAAAACCACCCCUCAAUGAAGAAACGAAAACCUAGAGAGAGAAAACUAGAGCUGACUUGUUUAUAUUUAUAGUGUUAUAUUUCUUUGCUCAAAAUCGAUAGACCAACGUAGUGUAACAAAACUAAAAGUUAAGAACAAAAAUAUAAAUGGGCAUGUAUAAGACAAAAUAAAACAAAAAUAUGAUCAAGAUUUAUGAGAAUUGUUCAAACUCUUAAAGAUAAAAUUAUGUGGUUUGCAAUUGCAGUUGCACACAUUCAUGUUGGUCUUUUUCGAAGAAGAGAGAAAAAAUUAUUAAAAUUUCGGAAACCGUAAAAUUGUGUCAGAUGUCAAGCUUUGACAUCUGGAAAAUAUUUAUGUAAGAUAUCUCGUGGAAUUUGUACCUACAAAAUAUAGGACCCCCAGCCCGCGCCAAACAUGUCAAAUUUUUUAGCCCCGCUAAUCUCUUUGUGAUACGAUAAAUACAAAGUCACUUGCACGAGCUCUUUGAGCUAUAAGGCUUUUUCUACCUUAAAAUUGAAACACAUUUCUCUUGCCUUAAUUUCAAUACCAAAAAUGAAGUCAUAGCUAGAGUCUUCUAUUCCAUUGGUUCUUAGCUUCAUCUAAUUUCAUUUUCUGCUGUUUGAUGCGAUCAGUCUCAUUCUAAUUGCACUUUUUAGAUGUCUGAAUAACAGAUUUACAACAAAUUAAGUAAUAAACAAAGUUGAAGAAAUUCAGAACCAAUUGUAAAGACUUAACCCAUCAAUCAUUUAGGCAGAGGAUAAAGAAGUAAGCAACUCAAGCAUGCAUAAGGAGAUUGAAAAAGUUUACGAAACAUCACAAGUAAACUUAUAUCAGUAUCGACAUUAAAAUCUGCUGAAGUAUAUGCAAGAGCACCGUGAAGUGAAUCUUCUUUUCCAACACUAGGAAGCGGAAGAAAUUCCUUUCUCGCAGCAGCUUUCAAGUGGUUAAUAGUCUUUGCAUUUUCUGGAAUGUAUCCUUCUUCAUCGUAGUUAACAAAAGGUGACAAGUAAGGUGGAGGAGUGCUGUUAAUAAAAGAAAAAUUUUAGGUUUUUAACGUUUAGCAAUUAAAAUUUCAAUUAGAAACAAAUUAAUCAAACAAAAUGAAAAGAAAAAAGGAUGUGUGGAUUUGUGAUUCCACAAGAAGAUAUCCCUUGAAGAAAAAACAAAUUUUCUCAGAAUAUAAUAUAGGACACUCCUACCAUAUAAGUUUCUAUCGGAAAAAUUAUGCGUGCAUUGACACAAUCAAAUAUCAUAUAUAUUUUUGGUUUUGGUGUUUUCUCCCGUAACCUGUCUGUACGUUCGUAGUUUUUCUUUGUCUCGGCUUUCUUUAUUUUUCUGUCAUGCACUCUAAUUGUUCUAUGUUCUUCCAGCAAAGGUUCACGAUAAAGAAAGCUAACAUCUUUCAAAUGGUAAUAAGUCUGAUGAGUUCCCUUGACCUUUUUCUUAGGCUGCCGGGGUGUUACAGCUUUUGAAAUGCUUAGUUUCCUAAUAUUUGCAAAAGCCAACGUAAAAAUCGAAGUAGUAACACUUCAACACAUUAUAUAGAUGCAUUUUCCGAAUGACAACAGAUCAGUAAUGCCAGAAAUUACAAAUUUGGCAGCAUUUCCCUCCUUUUUCUUCCCCUACGAUACAAAAGUAACAACAUUAAGGGCAUGUUUGGUUUGAAUUUGUCAGAAUACAUUCAGAGCUAAAGUACUUUCCUAUAAAACAUACGUUUGUAUGGACCCUGAUACUUUUUCAUUCUCCUCUUGCCGUUUGAGUUGUUCCAUUUACCAUUUGAACAUAUAUUAUGUUGUUGCAGUAAUGCGAUUUUUUUGGUAAUUACAUAUCCAAAAGUACUUUCAAUAACUAUUAUAUCUAAAUGAAUUACCUUUCAUCAUACAUGCUUUUGACAAGGGUCCCAAACAUAAACAACGCUAGAGCUGACUCAUUUUAAUCAAACUUGAUUUUAUAAAAUGAGGCUUGAUCAAACUAAUAUAGCUAACUUUAAUCCUAACAUGCCUCAAAUAUAUGAAAAGGGCUUACUUUCGUCUAGAAAAUUUUCAUUCUUCUUUUCUAACUAGUUACGGUUAAAAACUAUAAAUUCCAAAAAAACCAAAAAAUAUAUCUACAAAUAUCUGCCUUCGACGCCAACUAAAGCAGAGAGUGUGGCAUCGACAUCGACACUUCAGAUGGAAGACAUGUCCACGCCAACACAAGUAAACACGUUUAAUCAGUGUUGAUGUGUCAGUGUCCGUGUUUGUGUUUCGUAUGCAAAAAGAAAUAACAAUUAACAAUAAGCUCCAACAUUUCAGCAGAAAAAUAUAAUAAUAGCUGAAACUUUUAAGCUUGAGACCCUAAUUUGAUUAUGAACUUUGUGGCAUUAACACUUCUAAUCGAAAGUGUGUCUGGUUUCCGAUGACGUCCGAUGCGAACGUGACUUUGACACAUAUGAUUUUAUUGAACCUUGAAAUUUGGUCAUUUUCCGGCUCUGUAGUGUUUCACCAUUGUUGUUGAUGAAAGUGAAACCACCAUUGGUGACAUUUUUAUUUGGAUGGUGAUAUGUAAGGUUUGAGUCAGGACUAAUGCUUCUUUCCAGGUUUUGAAGAGGUGAUUAGGAGAGUUUGGGAUAAAAAAUAAGUUUGGAAACUCACUAUUCGGCCGCCUAAUGAUCAAUUAAUAAUAAGCCUAAAGAAUUUGAUGUGAUCUUUGAAAGAAGAAAACAUAUCAGAUCCAAUAAAAUAUUACUAAAAUUUAUUAUCGGUCUAAGGUAAUUAAAAAAAAAUGUUGGCUAUUUUAUUGGACCGACAACAUUUAAAAUGGACACAAUUUAUUACUAUAAUUUAUUACUAAAAUUUACUAACAUUUAAAAUGGAAAUUCUUAAUUUGUGGAGCAAUUUAGUAAAGUAAGAAUUGCGGUCUUAUCACUUUUAGCAAGAAUAUUCACUAAUCAACUAUUAAUAAAUAAAUAUCACUAUAUUUCAAUUUUUCAAUAUUAAAAAAAAUGUGAAUCUUACCUAACAUUGAGGUUUAAAUGAGACAUUGAGUCUUGAAGACUCAAAAAAUAAAAAAUUCUCUUGAAUUGGCUACCAAGUCUUAAAAGUUUGAAACCUGUUAGGGAUGGUUCGGGUCACAUUCAUGGUGACUUUUCAAACAAGAAUUAGUGAUUAAAUAUAGUUCUGAUCACAAUUUAAAUUNCAUGGGGGGAGAGAAAAUUAAUCUAGUGCUAUAUGCUUCAUAUAUCCAAGGGUCAUUAAACAUUCGUGCUUGUUGUCGUGUGUUAUUGUCGUGCAUACAAUCAUUUCUCAUUUUUUAAAUGGGACUCACUCAUCAACUAUUAAUAAAUUCAUAUCACUACAUUUCAAUUUGUCAAUAUUAAAAGAAAUAUGGAUCUUACUUAACAUUUAGGUUUUAAAUGAGACAUUGAGUCUUGUAAGACUCAAAAAACUUCUCUCUCAAAUGAGGUACCUAAUAGAUAUUAAGUCUUAAAAAUUUGAAACCUAUUAGGGAUGGUAUGGGUCACAUUCAUGGUGACUUUUCAAACAAGAAUUAGUGAUUAAAUAUAGUUCUGAUCACAAUUUAAAUUGUUGGUGGGAAUACUUUUUCAAUUUUUGGGGUUCUAUAAAUUGGCUACAUCUAUCAACCAUGUGAUAGCACAUAACCACUUACAUUUUUUUAGAAGACAAAAAAAGGUGAUGGAGAGGAAAACACUUGCUAGCUUGUGCUUCUUUCUCAUUUUUCUCUUAGCUGCUCGUAAGUUUAUAUUAUAGUAAUUUGGGAUAUCAUUUUGUAUUUUAGUCAUUGUGUUUAACUCAUAAAACCAUUUUUUAGUACAAUACUUUUUAUUAGAAAAUAAAAACAUGUAUGCAAGCUAUAAUUUAGAGUUUAAUUUUUAUAUGUUUACGAUUUUUAAAGAAUAAUUUUUCAGUUCAGUAAUUAUAAAUAUAUAUACAUAUAUUUUUUUUGAGAGAAUGAAUAUAUCUAUAUAUGUAUGUACAUAUACAUAUAUAUAUAUAUAUAUAUAUAUAUGAUUAUUCAUGAUUGCUUGACACUUUCAAUCAGAUUUUUAAAUACUUGAUUGUAAAUUCUAAUUGAAAUAAUCUUGGUAAAAUUUACUUUUCUCUCGAUCAAAUUAUAUAUCACUAUGGCCAUCUUCCUUAUGAAUUGAAGAAGGAAAACAUAAAAACAAAUCUUAAAUUUGAUGCAACAAUUUUUUUUCUAUUUAGAAAAAAAUAGAAAUAUAGCAUUAGAAAAUGAUGAAAAGUGAUAAAUUUAACUUUUUAAAAGUCAAAAUAUUGUUGAAACUAAUACAGACAUGCUACUUUUGGCUUCCUUAAUCAUUGCCCCGAGGGUAAUGGUUAGCAAGACCCUAAUAAUAAUAAUAAUAAUUUUGUCAAAAAAAAUAAUAUACUAAUAAUAAAAAAGUUUUUCUAUCAUAUGCAAAUUAAUUUAAAAUAGUAAUUUUGUUACCUAUCGAGUGAGACACCAAAUCAGCACUUUUUUAUAUGUUCAUGGAAUAAAUCAUUGAUCAAGAGAAUUAAUUAAUAUAUGGAGUAAUAUGUGUGAUAAGAUAGCAUGUUGUCUUAUUAAAUAAAAUAUGUGUUAUUCUUCAAAAAAAAAAAAUGUGUUAAUUAUAUUUGUAGUGUUUUUUUUAAAAAAAAAAAACAAAAUGAUAUUCAUUCAUUCAAAUCGAGAGAUUACAUCAUUCAACACCGCUAAAAACGUAAAGAAUGAAUCUGCGAACAAAGUCACAGCAUCCAAGUUAAUAGCAUAUAACGGCAUAAUGCCUACAAAAAUAUAUGAUGAAAUUAAAGUGACCGGAAUAUCCAUUGCCUCCGGAUCUGCAACGUUGACGCCCAAAUCUUUGAUUGAACAAUCGAUCUUUCAAUAUGAAUCAAUUGAACACCGCAUGAAGAUGGAAAAUCAAACAACGCCGCACAAGACGACGAACAACAAAUCACCACACUUAGAUGAUGAAAUUGCAAAGAAAAAAAAUCUAGAUCUAUGUGAAAAUCACUUAUUUAGAUUGAAAUAAAGAGAAAAAGAUGAAGAAAGGUGAUUUCAAGUCAAUAAUUGAUCCAAAACCACCCCUCAAUGAAGAAACGAAAACCUAGAGAGAGAAAACUAGAGCUGACUUGUUUAUAUUUAUAGUGUUAUAUUUCUUUGCUCAAAAUCGAUAGACCAACGUAGUGUAACAAAACUAAAAGUUAAGAACAAAAAUAUAAAUGGGCAUGUAUAAGACAAAAUAAAACAAAAAUAUGAUCAAGAUUUAUGAGAAUUGUUCAAACUCUUAAAGAUAAAAUUAUGUGGUUUGCAAUUGCAGUUGCACACAUUCAUGUUGGUCUUUUUCCAUGAAGAGAGAAAAAAUUAUUAAAAUUUCGGAAACCGUAAAAUUGUGUCAGAUGUCAAGCUUUGACAUCUGGAAAAUAUUUAUGUAAGAUAUCUCGUGGAAUUUGUACCUACAAAAUAUAGGACCCCCAGCCCGCGCCAAACAUGUCAAAUUUUUUAGCCCCGCUAAUCUCUUUGUGAUACGAUAAAUACAAAGUCACUUGCACGAGCUCUUUGAGCUAUAAGGCUUUUUCUACCUUAAAAUUGAAACACAUUUCUCUUGCCUUAAUUUCAAUACCAAAAAUGAAGUCAUAGCUAGAGUCUUCAACUCCAUUGGUUCUUAGCUUCAUCUAAUUUCAUUUUCUGCUGUUUGAUGCGAUCAGUCUCAUUCUAAUUGCACUUUUUAGAUGUCUGAAUAACAGAUUUACAACAAAAUAAGUAAUAAACAAAGUUGAAGAAAUUCAGAACCAAUUGUAAAGACUUAACCCAUCAAUCAUUUAGGCAGAGGAUAAAGAAGUAAGCAACUCAAGCAUGCAUAAGGAGAUUGAAAAAGUUUACGAAACAUCACAAGUAAACUUAUAUCAGUAUCGACAUUAAAAUCUGCUGAAGUAUAUGCAAGAGCACCGUGAAGUGAAUCUUCUUUUCCAACACUAGGAAGCGGAAGAAAUUCCUUUCUCGCAGCAGCUUGCAAGUGGUUAAUAGUCUUUGCAUUCUCAGGAAUGUAACCUUCUUCAUCGUAGUUAACAAAAGGUGACAAGUAAGGUGGAGGAGUGCUGUUAACAAAAGAAAAAUUUUAGGUUUUUAACGUUUAGCAAUUAAAAUUUCAAUUAGAAACAAAUUAAUCAAACAAAAUGAAAAGAAAAAAGGAUGUGUGGAUUUGUGAUUCCACAAGAAGAUAUCCCUUGAAGAAAAAACAAAUUUGCUCAGAAUAUAAUAUAGGACACUCCUACCAUAUAAGUUUCUAUCGGAAAAAUUAUGCGUGCAUUGACACAAUCAAAUAUCAUAUAUAUUUUUGGUUUUGGUGUUUUCUCCCGUAACCUGUCUGUACGUUCGUAGUUUUUCUUUGUCUCGGCUUUCUUUAUUUUUCUGUCAUGCACUCUAAUUGUUCUAUGUUCUUCCAGCAAAGGUUCACGAUAAAGAAAGCUAACAUCUUUCAAAUGGUAAUAAGUCUGAUGAGUUCCCUUGACCUUUUUCUUAGGCUGCCGGGGUGUUACAGCUUUUGAAAUGCUUAGUUUCCUAAUAUUUGCAAAAGCCAACGUAAAAAUCGAAGUAGUAACACUUCAACACAUUAUAUAGAUGCAUUUUCCGAAUGACAACAGAUCAGUAAUGCCAGAAAUUACAAAUUUGGCAGCAUUUCCCUCCUUUUUCUUCCCCUACGAUACAAAAGUAACAACAUUAAGGGCAUGUUUGGUUUGAAUUUGUCAGAAUACAUUCAGAGCUAAAGUACUUUCCUAUAAAACAUACGUUUGUAUGGACCCUGAUACUUUUUCAUUCUCCUCUUGCCGUUUGAGUUGUUCCAUUUACCAUUUGAACAUAUAUUAUGUUGUUGCAGUAAUGCGAUUUUUUUGGUAAUUACAUAUCCAAAAGUACUUUCAAUAACUAUUAUAUCUAAAUGAAUUACCUUUCAUCAUACAUGCUUUUGACAAGGGUCCCAAACAUAAACAACGCUAGAGCUGACUCAUUUUAAUCAAACUUGAUUUUAUAAAAUGAGGCUUGAUCAAACUAAUAUAGCUAACUUUAAUCCUAACAUGCCUCAAAUAUAUGAAAAGGGCUGACUUUCGUCUAGAAAAUUUUCAUUCUUCUUUUCUAACUAGUUACGGUUAAAAACUAUAAAUUCCAAAAAAACCAAAAAAUAUAUCUACAAAUAUCUGCCUUCGACGCCAACUAAAGCAGAGAGUGUAGCAUCGACACUUCAGAUGGAAGACAUGUCCACGCCAACACAAGUAAACACGUUUAAUCAGUGUUGAUGUGUCAGUGUCCGUGUUUGUGUUUCGUAUGCAAAAAGAAAUAACAAUUAACAAUAAGCUCCAACAUUUCAGCAGAAAAAUAUAAUAAUAGCUGAAACUUUUAAGCUUGAGACCCUAAUUUGAUUAUGAACUUUGUGGCAUUAACACUUCUAAUCGAAAGUGUGUCUGGUUUCCGAUGACGUCCGAUGCGAACGUGACUUUGACACAUAUGAUUUUAUUGAACCUUGAAAUUUGGUCAUUUUCCGGCUCUGUAGUGUUUCACCAUUGUUGUUGAUGAAAGUGAAACCACCAUUGGUGACAUUUUUAUUUGGAUGGUGAUAUGUAAGGUUUGAGUCAGGACUAAUGCUUCUUUCCAGGUUUUGAAGAGGUGAUUAGGAGAGUUUGGGAUAAAAAAUAAGUUUGGAAACUCACUAUUCGGCCGCCUAAUGAUCAAUUAAUAAUAAGCCUAAAGAAUUUGAUGUGAUCUUUGAAAGAAGAAAACAUAUCAGAUCCAAUAAAAUAUUACUAAAAUUUAUUAUCGGUCUAAGGUAAUUAAAAAAAAAUGUUGGCUAUUUUAUUGGACCGACAACAUUUAAAAUGGACACAAUUUAUUACUAUAAUUUAUUACUAAAAUUUACUAACAUUUAAAAUGGAAAUUCUUAAUUUGUGGAGCAAUUUAGUAAAGUAAGAAUUGCGGUCUUAUCACUUUUAGCAAGAAUAUUCACUAAUCAACUAUUAAUAAAUAAAUAUCACUAUAUUUCAAUUUUUCAAUAUUAAAAAAAAUGUGAAUCUUACCUAACAUUGAGGUUUAAAUGAGACAUUGAGUCUUGAAGACUCAAAAAAUAAAAAAUUCUCUUGAAUUGGCUACCAAGUCUUAAAAGUUUGAAACCUGUUAGGGAUGGUUCGGGUCACAUUCAUGGUGACUUUUCAAACAAGAAUUAGUGAUUAAAUAUAGUUCUGAUCACAAUUUAAAUUGAUGGUGGGAAUACUUUUUCAAUUUUUGGGGUUCUAUAAAUUGGCUACAUCUAUCAACAAUGUGAUAGCACAUAACCACUUACAUUUUUUUAGAAGACAAAAAAAGGUGAUGGAGAGGAAAACACUUGCUAGCUUGUGCUUCUUUCUCAUUGUUCUCUUAGCUGCUCGUAAGUUUAUAUUAUAGUAAUUUGGGAUAUGAUUUUGUAUUUUAGUCAUUAUGUUUAACAAAUAAAACCAUUUUAUUACAAUACUUUUUAUUUGAAAAUAAAAACAUGUAUGCAAGCUAUAAUUUAGAGUUCAAUUUUUAUAUGUUUACGAUUUUUAAAGAAUAUUUUAUCAGGUUAGUAAUUCUAAAUUGACACAUAUUAUUCAUGAUUGUUUGACACUAUUUCAAUCAAAUUUUUAAAUACUUAGAUCAAAUGUGGUUAAUAAUAAGAUUCAGUUAAUAAUAAACCAUUUUAGAUAAUAUGAUUGUAAAUUCUAAUUGAAAUCAUCUUGGCAAAAUUCACUUACCUCUCGAUCAAAUUAUAUAUCACUAUGGCCCUCUUCCCUUAAGAAUUGAAGGAGGAAAACAUAAAAACAAAUCUUAAAUUUGAUGUAACAAUUUUUUUUCUUUCUAUUUACUAUCUUUAUCCCUAAAAAUUAUACACCCUCUGUUCUUUAGUUAUUUUGCAUGUAUUAAGAAAUGUAAUUCAUUUUGUAUGGAAAAGAGAUAUUAUUAGUUAUUUUACAAAAUUGUCCUUAAUAAAUAGUAUAAGAAAGAUAAAUUAAAUAAUUGAAAGAAGAGAGAGUAAUAAAUAGCUAAUGAUAUAAUAGAAAAAGUAACAUUAAUGUUUUAUUAUUAUUGUAAAACGAAAAAUAAUUUCUUCUUCAAAGGGACGUAUAAUUUGAGACAAAAGGAGUAUCUUAAAUAAAUCACGAGAAUCUAAAAGGUUGACUCUGAUAUUAUAAAUUUAUCUUCAAGAGAAUUAAUUAUCUUUCACAAAUCAUUAUCUUGAAGAGAAAUAAAUUACUGGAAUCUAUGCUUCAGUGGCAAUUGAUUUUGCUUUUACAAAUUUGGUGUUGUUGUCAUCGUGAGCUUAACUCAGUUGGUAUGGUCAAUGCAUAAAAUAUGCAAGGUACGGGACCCCGGGGCACUGGUUAAGGAGUAAUAAAUGAACAUAUUUCAUUUGUUUUACUUCAAUUAAAGUGAUAAAUAUUUUAAUUAAUUAAAAUAAAAAAGUUGUAUUUAAUACUCGGUCAAAUUUCCUUUUCCAUUACAUAUUUACAUUCUUGUAUCCUUUUCAUUAAUUAACAAUUUUUUUUUUUCGUGGAUUUUACUCAAACCAAUUUUCCUUUCCGUCAAUUUGUUGUGAAUCAUUUUUUUCUUUCAAACCAAUUCACGGAAAGCCUAUGCAUAAUUAGCAACAUAUUCAAUUAAAAUAAAGUCUAAAAUAAAUUAACAAUUCCAAAGGUAAAACAUAACCAAUUAAAAUAUCAAAUACAACUUCUCAAAAAAAUAUCAAAUACAAAAUCAUCAAAUGUGUAGAAAUUCCAUGCUUGUAUCACAAAAUAGGAAAUUUGAUAGUGUAUUGAAUGCACAUUUUUCUUAUUUUAAUUAUUUGACUUUUUUUUGAAGGAAAUUACUUAACUUAUUUCUCACUUUAAUAAAGAUAAAACAAUGGGGAUCUGAUAAUUUAUUACUCCUUAACCAGUGCCCCACAUUAAGCACCCAAUGUGGCGUGCUCUAUUGUGGUUGAUCUUAUAAAUUUGUCUUCAAGAUAAUUAAUUAUCCUUUACCAAUAAUUAUCUUGAAUAGAAAUAAAUUACGGGAAUCUAUGCUUCAAUGGCAAUUGAUUUUGCUUUUACAAAUUUAUCUUCAAUAGAAAUAAUUAGCUAAUGUUUUCUUCAUAGUAUUUAUUUCAUAUCAAACAAACAUAUGUAACAUAAUAUACUAAUAAUAAAAAAGUUUUUCUAUCAUGUGCAAAUGUAAUUUUGUUAACUAUCGAGUGUUGAAGAUAUAUUGCUUAUGAAAAAUAAUAUUGUUCUUUUGGAAAUUGCAGAAGUAGUGGCGCAAAUUGUGCCUUGUAAGACACGAAAUCGUAACUUCAAGAGUGCAUGUAUUGCUGUAUCUGGCGACGACGAAGAAUGUGACCAUGAUUGCAGGAGAGUAGGAGGCUGGUAUGGUGGUUCUUGCAAAAAUCAGAAAUGUGUUUGUGACUGUUGAACAUCUCCUACAUAAAUAAAUAAUCUAGUUAUAGUAUGAUUCAUAGCUAGAUUAUGUUUAUGGAAUAAAUCAUUGAUCAAUUCUCUUCCCUUGAGUGAGAAGAGAAUUAAUUAAUAUAUAGAGUAAUAUGUGUGACAAGAUAGCAUGUUGUCUUAUUAAAUAAACGGAAAUGAUUAUCAUAGCAAGACAUUGCAUCGUGAGGAUUUCCAUAAUGAUGUGGCAACAUAAUAUCUUUAUUAAAUUGGCUGAACAGUGUUUCGCGGCCGUUUCAUGAUUUGAGGAAUGCUAGGGUUACACCCUCUAACUCACCAUUUAACACACUCCAAUAGGUCACCUCAUCCAAUUUUUUAUUUUCCUUUACCUAUUGACCGGUGAUACAAGUUGAACAAAACAACAUUUCUUUUCUCACACACAAACAAACAAAAAGGUUGAACAAAAUUAUCAUGGCUCCUUCAAGGUUCUCCACAAAUCAAACUGCUCUUCCCUGUCCAUAACUCAUCUCCUUCCGAUCUGGUGCAAGCACAUCUCUGUUAUACGCCGAUGUAUCGUACGGUCGCGAGCUCCGGUGCUCUUAUUUACGAGCUCUGGUGGCCGUCGAUGAUUGGGUUUUCAGUUGGAUUUAAUUCGUUUGUUGUAGCAUUUCCAGAUCCAGGAUCCAGUUGGGUUAUAUACAAGGUUUCCAGAUCUAAUUAUAUUUGCUUUUGAGAUUUUAGUGGAAAGUAAUUUUUAUUAUAUCUAUGAAAAGACGAUGAUAGAGAAGAAAGAAAACCAAAUUAUGAGCAAUUUUUUAUUUUCCUUUUGAUUUAAUUUGGGUGAAAAGCGACAAUUCCUUCUGGACAUACAAGAACUUGGUCUUGGAGAAGGUCGAGCGAAGAAGAUAGAUAUUAAACUCCAAAAAAUAAAAAAUAAAAUAAAUGUUCAUAAAGGUGAAACCGGUAGCUGUAAGGAAAAUAAAAAAGUGGACUACAUGGCUUAUUUUGAUUGGAGUGUGUUAAAAGGGUAUGUUAGAAGGUGUGACCCUAGCAUUCAUGAUUUUUCAUCUUGGGAUGUAUAGCAUCGCUGUUAAAUAAAAUAUGUGUUAAUUAUGUUUGUAGUGUUAUAUUUCUUUGUUCAAAAUUUAUAGACCAACGUAGUGUAACAAAACUAAUUAAGAGUUAAGAACAAAAAUAUAAAUGGACAUGUAUUCGACAAAAUACAACAAAAAUAUGUGGUUUGCAAUUGCAGUUGCGCACAUUCAUGUUGGUCAUAUUCCAAGAAGAGAGAAAAAAUGAUUAAAAUUUCGGAAACCGUAAAACUGUGUCAGGUGACAAGUGUUUGUUAGCGCAGCAAUGGAAGCAUUGUUCAACAAACAAAAAUAACAGAAAUAGUUAUUAGGGUUUCUAGGUUUUUCUAGUUUUGAUGAUUUUGUGAAUUAGAGAGGAUGAGAAGAAAGAGCAAGUGAAUAGAAUUGAUAAAAUGAAUUGUAUUAUUGAGAUAUGAAAAAUUGUACAAGGAAUGAGCUUAUAUACAAGCAUGUGUUAGGUUACUUGAAGCACAAACUCUAACAAAGUUGUAACAAACUUCAAAACAAACUAAAAUCAAAGUGUGAUUAAUCAACUAAACAUGAUUAUCACUAAUGUAAACUUGAAUUAACAACUAAACUAAGAGUUUUGACAUCUAGAAAACAUUUAUAUAAGAUAUCCCGUGGAAUUUGUACCGAAAAAAUAUAGGACCCCCCUGCCCGUGCCUAACAAAUCAAAUUUUUGAGCCCCCGCUAAUCUCUUUAUGAUUCUAUAAAAACAAAGUCGCUUGCAUGAACUCUUUGAGCUAUAAGGCUUUUUCUACCUUAAAAUUAAAACACAUUCAUCUUGCCUUAAUUUCAAUACCAAAAAUGAAGUCAUAGCUAGAGUCUUCAACUUCUUUGACCCUUAGCAUCAUCUAAUUUCAUUUUCCGCUGUUGAUGUGAUCAGUCUCAUUCUGCUUGUGCUUAUUAGAUAUCUGAAUAACAAAUAUCCAACAAAAUAACUAAUAAACAAAUUUGAAGAAAUUCAGAACCAAUUGUAAAGACUUAACCCAUCAAUCACUUGCAACCAUUUAUACAAAGAAUAAAGAAGUAAGCAACUCAAGUAUGCAAGGAAAUUGAAAAAGUUUACCUCAUGGCUUCGAAUAUCUUAAUAUUUUUACGAGACAUCACAAGUAAACUCAUAUCAGUAUCGACAUUUUCUUGGCCAUUCGUUGUUGAUUCUUCGGUCUGUACCACACUAGAAGAUAUUUCUUUUUCAACAUUAGAAUCUGCUGAAAUAUAUGUAAUAGCACCCUGAAGUGAAUCGUCUUUUCCAACACCAGGAAGCGGAAGAAAUUCCUCUGUGGCAGCAGAUUGCAAGUGGUUGAUAGUCUUUGCAUUGUCGGAAAUGUAGCCUUCUUCAUCGUAGUUAACAAAAGGUGACAAGUGAGGUGGAGGAGUCCUGUUAACAAAAGAAACGCAAGAAUAACAAAAAACAAUGAUUCCCUUUGUACUGGAGUAAUUAGGCCAAAACAGUGCAAAUAAUGACAUAGAAAUCAAUCAUAUAAAUGAUUUCAUAAAUAAGUUCAAGAGAUAUAGCAUCAAUAAAAAAGUCUAAUAAUCUUUGUUGUGUUACGUGCACAACAUCCCCUUAUUAUUAAUUUUUUUACUUUCUUAUAAAUUUAAUUUGAAAAGAAACUUGAAAUAAAAUUAGGAAAAUAAUGUGUCUCAUACUUCCCAAUUAUGACAGAAACAAUACUUUCAAAUAAUUGUGUUUGUCAAGACUAUCAAAAGGUCUUACCUCCCUAAUCAAGAAGAAUUUGAGAUUUUUGAAGAGAUUUUUACAUUCUCUUGUAUCUUGAUCCUCUUCAUCUUCACGGCUAAGUCUUAAACCAGGUGCAUCCGUGCACCAGGUUCAUUGUGAAGAAGAUAGGAUAUUACUGUCUUCAAAUUUGCACUUUCUUAAAGGAAAUAUAGAAGUUACAAAUAAUGAUCAAAUUUUUUACAAAUUCCAAGUAUUAUAUACCUUCGGAUUUUGUGUACAAGAUCUACAUCAAUUUUCUUGCUCUUUGACGCAUGUAAUGCUCCAAAGAGAUUUACCAUUGUAAGAUAGUCGUCCAUUUAUCCAAGUGGGUCCACAAAUCUUGGGUACCUAUAAUACAUAGAAAAAUCAAAUAAACUGGAAAAUUUUAUUAAACAGAAAACAAAAAGCCAAAAACAAAGCUAGAGACCUAAGGAUAACGGAAAGAAGGAAGUCUGUAUCUGUCUCUAUAAAAAUUAUCUCAAAAAAUAUAAAUGGACAUGUAUUAGACAAAAUACAAAAAAAUAUAUAUGAACAAGAUUUCUGAGAAUUCAAACUCUUGACAUAAAAUUAUGUGGUUUGCAAUUGCAGUUGCACACAUUCAUGUUGGUCUUAUUCCAAGAAGAGAGAAAAAAUUAUUAAAAUUUCAGAAACUGUAAAAUUGUGUCAGAUAUCAAGUAAUUUCAUGUAAUUUCAUUUUCCGCUGUUUGAUGUGAUCAGUCUCAUUCCGCUUGCGCUUAUUAGAUAUCUGUAACAGAUUUACAACAAAAUAAGUAAUAAACAAAGUUGAAGAAAUUCAAAAUCAAUGGUAAAGAUUUAACCCGUCAAUCACUUUGCAACCAUUUAUGUAGAGGAUAAAGAAGUAAGCAACUCAAGUAUGCAUAAGGAGAUGGAAAAGUUUACCUUCAUGGUUCGAAUAUCUUUCUAUUUUUAUUAGACAUCUCAAAUAAACUCAUUUCAGUAUCGAUAUUUUCUUGGCCAUUCGUUGUUGAUUCUCCGGUCUGUACCACACAAGAUGUUUCUUUUUCGACAUUAGAAUCUACCGAAGUAUAUGUAAUAGAACCCUGAAGUGAUUCUUCUUUUCCAACACCAUAAAGCAGAAGAAAUUCCUUUAUGGCAGCAGCUUGCAAGUGGUUGAUAGUCUUUCCAUAGUCGAGAAUGUAGCCUUCUUCAUCGUAGUUAGCAAAAUUUCCAUAGUCGAGAAUGUAGCCUUCUUCAUCGUAGUUAACAAAAUUGCAAGUGUGGUGGAGGAACAUUUUAAGUUUUUAACAUUUAGACAAUUAAAAUUUCAAAAGUUUUUUUUUAAGAUGAAAAUAAAAAAGAAGUUAUAAAAGAAAAUAAAUUGGUUAGUAGGUAGGUAGGUAAGGUUCAUAGCUUAAACCAUUUCUCCCAUUUCUCAUUCCCAUCACUACUGCCUUUACACUUUCCAGCGCGCGCACUCUCUCUCUCCAUUUCUCACUCUCUCUCUCCAUUUCUGACCUGACCCAUUUAGCUCAUUUCCAGAUCAAAAUCUUAGUGAUUAGUGGUGACAGAAACAUUUCGGUGGUGUUAGGUAUUGAUUUCAUUGAAACACAUCUCUUUUUUGUCUCAUGUUUUUCUUUUUUAUAUUAUUCUGUCUCUCUUUUAUUCCUUCUUCGUCAGUUAUUAUGUUUAUUGGUGUCAGACACCGAACACGUCUUUGAUCUUAAUUGUCGGUGUUACUGAACACGGCCUCUAUUUACUUGUUGGGUGGUUUUUUUUAGUUUUCUUUCUUACUUUUUAAAUUCAAAUUUUUUUGUUACACAAGGAAGAAUGGAAAGUAAGAAUUCAAAGAUGUGGGCAAUCCUUUCAACGAGUUUGCGUAUGUCUACAAUCCUUUCGGUGAGUACGCGUAUAAGGGAAAUCAUCUUAGAAAGAGUGAAGUUGAAGAGGAUUCUUGUCGUACUAGGAAGGUUUUGAAAUAUUUUCAAAAAGUCAAACACGAGUGUAGAGUGGAGCAUCAAAAGAGAGUUAUCUCUCGUUAUUUUCAAAACAAACGUGGUAGGAAGGAUUUUGAUGAUGUUUCUAGAUAUUUUUUAUGUCAGAGCAGAACAUUUGAUGAAAACUUGAAAGUGGAAGAGGAUUCUUGUCGUAUAAGGAAGGUUUCAAAAUAUUCUCAGAAAGACGAACAAGAGUCUAAAAUGGAGCAUCCAAAUAGGGUGGUAUCUUCGUGUUUUCAAAACUGUUCUACGAAGAGCAUUGAAGAAUUUUUAAAUCAGUUUAAAUAUCAGAAUAAAAGUGUGUCAAGUCUCAGAAAGUGUGUUAAGAAGAGUGAACAUGAAGGAACUUUUGAAGAGGAUUCAUCUCCUCUUCCUCCUAAGAUUUCCAAAGACUCCGAAAGAGACCGAAAGUUGAAAAGCCUAGAAAAUCCGAAAGAAAAACUAAACCUUUUAUAAAGGCUGAUAGAUGUAGGGAGGCUUACAAAAGGAAAACGCCGGAUAAUAAUUGGGUGAAUCCACGUUCUACACGUCCUAUCCUUGAAGAGCCUCUUCUUUAAGAGUAUCAUUUACAUGAUCCAUGGAGGGUGACUGUUAUAUGUAUGCUAUUGAACCGCACUAAAGGUGUUAAGGUACAUUCAUCGAAGUAUUUCCUUAGUUUUUCUUUAUUGCAUCCCUUAUAUUUUAUACCGAUGUUUUACUGUCGGUUUAUGAUAUUGUAUCUUUCUAUUUUAGUGAUUAAUAAAUAUUGUUUCUUAUUUGCUUUAGAAAGGUUUACUGCUAUUGUUCGUUAUUUUGGCUUUCUAAACUGUUAAUCGUCUUCAUAUCGUAAUGCUAUAAUGUCAUAUUUGAAAUUUAUCCUCUUGAGGGCCCUGCUUAGCAAAUUAUAAUAAAGAAUUUGGUGUUGAACUUCCGCUUCUGUUAGAAGCUUAUUGAUGACUACAUGUUGAAAGAGAUGCAAACCGUUAGCAUAUGUUGAGUUUUAUUGAAUUACUCCCAAUCCCUAUGAAUUAGUAAACACAAGUUAACAUAAACAGAAAAAUCCUUAUGAGUCAUUUUGAAUUCAUCGUAAAGAAGAACAGUGGCUUCCUUUUUCUCUGUUUUCCUGGGCUUUUCAACUUUCGGUCUCUUUCGAGAGUCUGUGGAAAUCUUAGGAGGAAGAGGAGAUGAAUCCUCUUCAACAGUUCCUUCAUGUUCAAUCUUCUUAACACACUUCCUAAGACUUAACACACUUUUACUUUGAUAUUUAAAUUGACUUAAAAAUUCUUUAAUGCUCUUCGUAGAACAGUUUAGAAAACAAGGAAAUACCACCCUCUUUGGAGUCUCCAUUUUAGACUUUUGUUAGCUUUCUGAGAAUAUUUUGAAACCUUACGAAUAUGACAAGUAUCGUCUUCCACUUUCAAGUUUUCAUCAAAUGUUCUGUAUUGACAUAAAAAAUCUUUAGAAACGUCAUCAGAAUCCUUCCUACUACGUUUCUUCUGAAAAUAACGAGACACAACUCUCUUUGGAUGCUCCACUUUAUACUCGUGUUCGACUUUCUGAAAAUAUUUCGAGACCUUCCCAGUACGACAAGAAUCCUCCUCAACUUCACUCUUUCUAAGAUGAUUUCCCUUAUACGCAUACUCACUGAAAGGAUUUUUGAAAUACGCAAAUUCGUUGAAAGGAUUGCCCACAUUCUUUGAAUGCUUACUUUCCAUUCUUCCUUGUGUAACAGAAAAAUUUGAAGUUAAAAAAUAAGAAAGAAAACUAAAAAACCACUCAACAAGUAAACAAGUAAAUAGAGGUCGUAACACCGACACUUCAAAUCGAAGACGUGUCCGGUGUCCGACACCAAAAAACAUAAUAAGUGACGAAGAAGCAAGAAAAAAGAAACAGAACAAUAUAAAAAAAAAAACAAGAAACAACCAAGAGACGUGAUUCAAUGAAAUCAAUACCUGGCACCGCCAGAAUGUUCGUGUCACCACCGGUUACCAAGAUUUUGACCAGAAAAUGAGAUAAAUGGGUCCGAUCAUAAAUGGGGAGAGAGAGAGCGCGCUAGAAUGUGUAAAUAGAGUAGUGAUGAGAAUGACAAAUGGUUAAAGCUGGGAUAUAAUGUGAAAUCAAUACCUAUUAACCAUUUAUUUUCUUUUAUAACUUCUUUUUUAUUUUUAUCUUAAAAAUAACUUUUGGAUUUUUUAUUGCUCCAUAAUGUGAUUAUAAUUUUCCCUAUUAACAAAAGAAACAUUUUAAGUUUUUAACAUUUAGACAAUUAAAUUUUCAACUAGAAACAAUAAUCAAACAAAAUGAAAAGAAAAAAGGAUGCGUGGAUUUGUGUUUCCACAAGAAGAUAUCCCUGGAAGAAAACACAAAUUUGCUCAGAAUAUAAUAUAGGACACUCCAACCAAGAUUGCUACAACAAAUAAGAACCCAAACGAACCCAAAACAAUAAGCACGGAAAAUGGAAACAAAUUACCUUCCCACUAUAUAAUUUUAUGUCGGCAAAAUUAUGCGUGUAUUCACACAAUCAAAUAUCCACUGUGGUUGGAGAUAUGAAAGCAAUAGCUUGGUGAAUACAAAAGGAAGGCUUGAAAAUUUAUGGUACAUAGAAGAUGAUAUGCUUAAUCACAAACCUGAUGAGUAAUUCUCUGGUCAGAUUCAUCGAAAGGCACCCCCUUUCCGACCCAAGAAACAGUACCACCAAAUGCAGGAAUAACAAAAAGCAAUGACUCCUAUUGUACCUGAGUAAUUAGGACAAAACCGUGCAAAUAAUGACAUAGAAAUCAAUCAUAUAAAUGAUUUCAUAAAUAAGUUCAAGAGAUAUAGCAUCAAUAAAAAAGUCUAAUAAGCUUUGUUGUGUUACGCGCACAACAUCCGUAUAUUAUUAAAAAAAAAAUAUAUAUAUAUAAAUUUAAUUUGAAAAGAAACAUGAAAUGAAAUUAGAAAGAAGUUGGUGGUGAAGUUGAGAAAGUCUUAGUUCAGAUUUUUCAUUUUCACCAUCUGUGCCUUUUCUCUUGUACUCCACUUGUUUAGAAUCAUCUAACUGAGAAGCUUCAAAUAUCAGUCCAGAGGGUUUGGUCACAUUGGCAUAUCUUGACAGUGCAUAUAGAUCUAUAGUUUGAAAAGAGAAUUGAUCAAUGGACUUAUAGAGUAUCUACACAAAUUCAAGUUUCUGAAGGUCCGUCUAAGUUAAGAAAAUGGUACCUGCUGCGAAAGCUUCCAAUCGAGUGUCAAGCCUGGGAGGAUACUCCAGGUUUAUAGAAUGAUAGAGGCGGAAAUUUACAAACUGAAGAAGAGGUUGUAGCAAUUCAUUAUGAAAUUAUGGAUAUUAGUAAAAUGUUAAAAGUCUUAAUAAUUAUGAUGACAUGAAUGUUGAUGCAUCAACAGAACAAAGACAAGAUAUGAACAUUAAUAUGAAACCAACCUCAUAAAAUUGCAAAAAAAUUAGCAUGGUAGGAAUGUCAACAUCAUCGGACACAACCUGUUGUAGUAAAUGAGGAGUUAACCAUGUUAUUGUCAGACCCUAAAAAAUUUGGCAUGGUAGGAAAUAUAGAAGUUACACAUAAUGAUCAAAAUUUAUACAAAUUCCAAGUAUUAUAUACCUUCGGCAUUUGUGUACAAGCUCUACAUCAAUAUUCUUGCUCUCUGACGCAGGUAAUGCUGCAAAGAGAUGCACCAUUGUAAGACAUAACUCAUCGUUAUUCAAAAAGUACACAGCGCAUGGAGGAUAUAUCUCAAAACCAUGGUGACUAGCCCAAAAAAUGAUAUGAACAACUAUAUAUUCUUGUCUCCUAAUAAACUCAUACGAGUGUGUUGUUUCUUGCGAACCAAACGGGGGUGUUGACAAUUUAGAAAUUGCGUGUUCAAAUCAGGUAUGUCUGUGAUAUUUGAUCAUCUGAGACAACUAACUCUUUGUUCUAUAGAUUAAUGCUACAACUUCACCUAACCCAAUGACACAUUCAUUCAUUAGAAAAAGAAACAACUAACUCUUUGUUCUGUGUUCACAGAUUUGAGUAUUCCAGCCGAAUGAAAAGAGAAAUAAGGCAGUGAUGGAAGUGAUCUCAUCUUUCCAAGUUAAGGGCUGCAGUUUUAGUAAAUAGAUCAAUGUAGGAUGAUACAAUCAUACAAUGGUAACUGUGGGACCUAUGGUCUUUGUACAAGUUAUAAUUAUCUCAUCUUUCCAUUUCUCCCUCUUCCUAUCUUCUUAUAACAGAUUAAUGAUCACUCAACAACUUGCUUCUUAAUCUUUGUAAAAAGUUAGGAUUGGGGAACAAAAUCGUCAAAACUUCGUGUUUAAUAUAAAACCAUUCAUGCAUUUCCACCUAACAAUUUAAGCUUUUGGGAAUGGUUCUUGAACAAAAGACAACUUGGCCAAAUAGGUAAAGAGCAAUAAAGAGAAAGUGCAACACACAAAAUUGUAAGUUGUAACUAUCUCUUGCCAUUGUAUUUUCUUUGGCUCUUUCUAUUUACUGUUAACAAAGGAAAUAUAAUCAAGUAGAAUCAAACAACACUGACAACAAAUAGGACUUGUAACAAUUCUCACUUUCAAUGCAAUAAAGCAAAAUAAAUUUAAAAGCAUCCAAACAUAAUCAUUACCAAGACACAAUGGUAGUCCACUCUAGAAUUUGUCCAUAUAAUAAUGACCAAGCUAUCAAACUAAAUGGUUGCAGCAUAUUAGAAAAGAAACUAAUGCAAUCAAAAGCUUUGGAUUUGAGGAGCCGGUAUAAAUGUCUAUUGUAAAAGACUCGCGUUUUGCAAAAUAUAAGUUGCAAUUCAAUCAAGACCCAAAAUUGGGCAUUUCCAUUCCUUAGAUGAGUUGGUGAGUUUGAACUAUCAAAGGGUUAAGAAAAUAACAUUUAUCAAAAUAUAUGAAGGAGAAAAAAAAAAAAAAAAAAAAAAAAAAAACAGAGAAGGGAGUGAAUAGCAAAGUGGGGCCACCGCGUGGAAAGAAGGGUUGUCAUGAAAGCUUGUUUAAUCGAAAGAAAUGAGAGUAUGUGACACAACAAUUCAUCUGGCAAACCACUGAUUCCAUCGACCAAACUAUUUCUGCCAUCACAGGGAGCAUCAUAAUUCACCUAAAACAUACAAAUAAAAAAAAAAUUAUUCAGAAAUAUAUUGAUUUCUUCUUAAAAAGAUCAGAAUAAGGAAACCCUAUUAAUUAACAAGAGAAUAAGGAAACCCUAAAAAAGUAGAAACGAUAAAGGCAGAAAAAAUUAUUACGGAAUAUAUCGGUGCUCUUUCUUCUCAGAUGCUCUAUACCUCUUCUUGAUAGCUGAAUCAACGCCGCAACCAACACAAUGCCUGUGAUCUCAAUUCUCCAACUUGUUACUGUUUAUAUAGUAAAAGGCCCAGCAAAGACAAAGCCCAACCGGUGCCCAAGUAUGUCAUACUCCCCUUGUGUCCCAAAUUGUAUAACGUUUUGGACAUUUCACACAUAUUAAAAAAUUCAAUUAAUAUUAUGUGGAAAAAAUAUAUUAUGGGUUGUUUUACAAAAUUUUCCUUAAUAAAUAAUAUGAGAAAUAUAAAUGAAAGAAGAGAUAGUAAUAAAUAGUUAAGGUUAUAAUAGGAAAAGUAACAUUAAUGUUGCAUUGGUAUUGCAAAGCACAUAUAAUUUGGAACAAAUUUUUUUCCCUAAAGCGACAUAUUUUAUCAUUUGAGUCGUACUAUUUUAUAAUUUUAUAUCUUUUUUUUUUGCUGAAGCUCAUGCAUCUUUAAUAUGGAGAAGUGGGGUGUCCGGGGUUCGAACCCCGACCCCUGCAUAUAUUAUGCAUUUAUCCCUACCAACUGAUCUAAGCUCACGGAGACUUUAUAUCUAUCUAUUCUAUAUAAUUAAAUGAAAUAAUGCGACUUUAAUGUACUAAUAUACAGUAUUACCGAGAAUCUCUAUUUUUGUGUUAACUUGUGACUUUUAGUUUCAUGUCUCCUUACUAUUUCAAAUACUUCGGUCAUUAUAUACUUAAUAGAUUUUUCUCUAGUGUACCAAGAAAAAAAAUUAUAUUUUUUUUAAGCAAAGGAGAUUACAGCGGCUGCUGCAACCCCAAAAUUCGUUCAAAUCAUAUUAUGAUAUGUAUGGGGAUUAUUGUUAACUAAAACACAGCAAUUACAAUUAGACUUAGGUGAUAAAUUUGGGGUUGUUUGGUGAAUGAUUUUGUAAAUCGAGAAAUCAAAUUGGUGGUACCGGGCUUCUUCAAAAAAAUGGGUUUAAUAGGAUGUUAAAAGUAAAAAAGAUUAAGAUUUCUGAAUCCACUCUUUGUCACUACUUGGUAAUAAAUAUCCUAGUUAUUUGGUUCAAAGUCCGGUUGCUAAUGGCUUGGAGAUUUCCUUUUGGAAUGAAGCGUGGUUGGAAAACGAGCCUCUUAAAGAUCUAUUUUCAAGACUUUUUUUGGUUUCUAGUGGUCAAGAUUUGAAGGUGGGGGAGGUGUGGUUUAAUGAUGCCUUUGCGUAGGGAGUUGUUUGCUUGGGAAAAGGAGCUUUUACAAAGCCUUUUUCUAAGGUUGGAAGGGGUGGAGUUGCGGGAAGGGGACGAUUGUUGGUGGUGGAAACCGGAAGAGGGGGGAAUCUUUUCCGUGAAGUCUUGCUACAGCAUUUUGCAAUGUUUGCGGCUAGUAGAGGGUGGUUUGAGUGGGGAGGUGGAGGUGGUGUUCCAGAACCUUUGGAAGAGUAAGGUACCGGCUAAGGUGUUGGCUUUUUUGUGGACUUUAUUUCUUGAUCGUAUUCCAUCCAAGGUAAAUCUUGCGAGAAGAAGGCUUUUGGCAAUUGAAGGCUCAAAGAGAUGUGUGUUUUGUGGCCUAGAGGAUGAAUCGACAUUACACUUGUUCUUACAUUGCCAAGUUACAUGUAGUGUUUGGUUGGAGGUGAUGCGGUGGUUGCAAUUCUUUCUUAUUAAUUCACCUAAUUUAUUCAUCCAUAUUGAUUGUUGGUUGGGCAUGUGGUGCAAGAAGAAAUGGAGGAGAGGGGCUUGGCUAAUUUGGCAUUCGGUUAUUUGGGUAAUUUGGAAUUCUAGAAAUGACCGGAUUUUCAAUGACAAGGUUAAGGAGGUUGAUGAAAUGGUUGAGGAGAUUAAAGUACUCUUGUGGAAUUGGAGUUUGAAUAGACUUAAAAUCUCAUCUUGCUUAUUUUAUGAAUGGUGUUGGAAUCCGAGAGAGUGCUUAGGUAGGUAGUUGAUGCAACUUGCUGUAGGUGGUAUUGGUGGCGUUGUUUAGGAGCAUUAGCUGUGUUGGCUUAGGUGCUGGUGUUUGUUAGUUUUUGGUAGCUUUUUGGUGGCGGCCUGCCGUUUUUUCUGCUGUUGGUUAUGACAGCCACCUUGUCUCUCCCUUGUAUGGGUAAUGUGAAGUAAUAUCCUCCUCUUGUGCCUUCAAGUUCAAUGGUGAUGAGUCUUAUAUAUGUAAUGUAGGCAUUUCAGCUUGUGGCAGACUUAUCAGGAAUCCUAAUGGCCGUUCUUUUAAUUUAGUAAUUUUACUUGUCAUAUCGGUCGGACCACUUUAGUUUUGGCUAAAAUUUGGGGCUUAGUGCAUGGUUUGAAGUUGAAAUGUAAUAAAGUCUUAAUCCUAUAUCAGUUUUAAAAUAAACUUCUCAUAAUGGUUAACAUGAUUUUCGCCUCAAAAGACUCGUAAUCUUCAUAUAAAGCUCCUUCUUGAAGAAGCUCUUUCUUUUAUGGAUUAAAUUGAUUUGAAGUUGACAUGUAACGCCGUUUACUCUAGUUUGCUUAUUGGUAAUGAGAUCGUAGAUAUGGAUGUACAAAAAUUAAAAAACCAAAAAUCGAAUCAAACUGAGAAACCGAACUGCACAAAAAAAAACCAGAAAUUGACAAAAUUCUUCCAAUAUUCUUCCAGAAUGUAAACAUAUUCAAAAAAAUUCUUUAGAACUGUAUAUAAGAUGAAAACUAAUCCAAAAUAUAGAAGCUUGAACACAUGAAUUAAGUUGUGUGGAACAAUAUUCUCGUCAUUUAACAGAAGCAAAAUUAUUCCAAAAAUCUACUUUACUGAAUGCUUGAUUUGUAAGAUAGAAGUGUCAUUGCACUAGAUGUAUGCCAAAAACUCCUUGCACAUUAACCAACUGAAGCCAUGUGUCGGAUCAAGUCAACCACGCGUGAGCUGUAUUGAGAGAAAGAAAGAAAAAAAAAUUAAAAACCAAAUUUAGGAUUCAAAAGGUACAUAACUUCAGGAAUAUGUGUAAUUGUAACCUUUAUCUACACUUUUUUUUAUCAACUUUAUCUACACUUAUUUAUAGUAUAUAUACCAAUGAUUUGAUCUUGAUUGUAAUGCAGUCUCGUUAAAUCAUAUUAAAUCAUAUUGAACUGCAAUUGAUUCAACCGGUUUUCUUGUUUAUCUGUCAUCUAAUCCAACCGUAGUUGAACUAAUUGAAACGUGAACGUAAGGUCUGACCAUCUGAACCGUAGUUGAACCAAUUGUAAUAUUAUUUAUUCUAUCACCUUUUACAAAAUUGAUAUUCGAAGAAAUUUAUUAAUAUAUUAGAGGAAGAAAAAGAAGAAUGUUAUAGAAAUUUGUCAUACCUGUAGCCCCAUUCAUUGUCAUACCAAGAGACAAGUUUCACAAAAUUGUUAUUCAAAGAAAUUCCUGCCUUUGCAUCAAAUAUGCUAGACCUGCAAGCAUAAUGUGGAUCAUAUGGUAAGCUGCAUGAAACUAACUCAUUUGCACAACUUUAAACUCAUAGCAAAGAAUUUUCAUUUUAUUUUUUCCUCAUAGCAAAAUUGUUAUGGCUUGAGAGCUUCUUAAUCCUACACGAAUUCCAUUCGGAUUAUUCCGUUAGACAAAGGUUCAACUAAGAAGCUCUCAAGCCCUAACAUUAGUCCUGGUCAAAGUUUGCAGUUUUGCUCUCCCCUUGGGAAUGAAGCUUAAUUGUGAACUUCACUUAAUUCUCUAGAGAAAGUAACAAUCUAGCAUAAUGGAAAUAAGUCCAUAAAAUUAUGAGGGUGGAGUCUCAUGUAGUCUGCGGUAAACCGGUGAUUAAAAAUCCGCUCAAAAUUUUGACAAUGACCAACAUCGUCAUCUUUAAGCAGAUGUGCAUGGUCUUGCAUGUUUUGACAUUUGACACAAUGACCUGGUCAGUAUUGAUUCAACAAAACAAAAAAAAACCUUAAUUAAAUUUUGAAACACUAACAUGCUCCUUUCUUUUUAAUUGUCAAACCAACACCAAUCGAGUCAUCAUCUCAGACGUAAGGACGAAUAAUACUAUGAGCUUCUACUUACAAAGAGCAAUAUUAAUUGUUGUAAGUUUCAAGCCAUUUUCAAGUACUGGUCUGCCAUGAACCAUGUGAAAUACUUCCUCAUUCUAGACAUCACCACAAGUCCAAAACAACUAUAUUAGGUGCAAAAUAUAAUUUGGUAACAAUUGGUACCAUCAUUACCUGCUGUCACCAACAAAAUCAGUAGACACAACAUCAUCCUCUGUGUAACCAAGGAUUCCCUUCAAAUCUCCCUCAGAUGCUUGCCUAUUAAAAAUGUGUAGACAAUAGAAAAUUAGCAUUCACUAUAGUAAAUACAUUAUAGGAAGAAAAAAAAAUAAACAAUAUAUAUUCUUGUCCCUUAAAAGCAAAAGUUUUUUAUUCUUACUUAAUUGCAGCUUUAAUUUCAUCAUAACUUGCUCCCUUUUCAAGUCUAACAGUGAGGUCAACCACUGAAACAUCUACAGUUGGAACUCUGAAUGACAUUCCUGUCAACUUAUUGUUCAAUGAUGGAAGUACCUUACCAACAGCCUGCAAAAUAUGAAAAAAAAAUAUAUAACUAAUUAUGAAAAAGUUAGAAUAAUAGAACAUAACAUAGUAAAUGUAACAAAUGAAAAAUUAACAACCUCUAUAUGUAAAGUUUCCAUUCAUUUCAUUGGCUUAAUUGACAUUACUAAUUUUCAAAGUUAUUAACAUGACUUGCAAAGAGUAGUGUUUGUAGCUUGUUCCAAUAAAUUGCUACUACUUAAUUGAAAAUGUGAUCAAAGGACCUAUAAGGCAUUGUGAGAGAAUAGCAAAUCCAUUUCUAAAAUAAGUAAACAAGAAAACAAAGAUCGAUAAAAAACUACGGUCUCCGACACUAGAGCGACUGAUGUUGUUUUCUAUUAUGCAAUAGUUAGAGUUGAAGAAUACACGCUCUGUUUAAAAACUACGGUCUAGAUUACAACGAUACGUGUAUGAGUCCCAUAACAAUAUUUUGUUCAAAUCUAUUUAUGCUAUAGCACUAUAGCGCUGGUAUGGCCGCUAUUUGACAACAGUGAUUUAUAUACAAGUCAGAUACCUUUGCAGCUCCGGUACUACUAGGAAUGAUGUUAACAGAAGCAGCUCUACCACCUCUCCAAUCCUUCAUUGAUGGUCCAUCCACAGUUUUUUGAGUGGCUGUAUGACAAACAAAGACAUGUUUGGAUUAACUUAUUUGAGUUUAUAUAGUAUCAUAAGCCCUUGUGAGACUGUUUGGAAGAGCUUAUGAAACAACUUAAGAUAUGUCUAUAAACUGUUUUCAGCUCAUUUUCAAAAGCUUUCUAAGAUUUCUUAUAAAAACAACUUCCAGCUUAACAAAGCAUAUUAAAUUUUUUAGAAGUAGCUUAUGCAUAAGUGCUUAUAUAAUAAAUGUUUCUGCAUACGUGCUUGAUUCAGUUGAUUAUUCAAAUAGAGUGUAAAUCAUGAAUUAUUUGGAGCUAAGAAGAAUGCAUAGCAUAACAUAACAUAGUACUUACCAGUAAUAGAGUGAAUAGUACUCAUAAGACCUUCAACAAUACCAAAUUUGUCAUGAACAACCUGAAUAUAUAUAUUUCAACAAGAACAUUGGAUUGAGAUUUUUGUUUUUUCAAUAUAUGAUAAAAAAAAAUAUUUAUUUCCAAAUUUAAGGAAUUAUGAGACAAACUACCUUUGCUAGUGGAGCAAGACAAUUGGUUGUGCAGCUAGCAUUAGAAACAAUAUGAAUAUCCGACUUAUAUUCUUUCUCAUUGACACCAACUACAUACAUUGGUGCAUCCUUGCUAGGGGCUGAAAUAAUUACCUUCUUUGCACCACCCUAAAUAUCAAAGGAUAUAACAACAAUUAAUUUAAUAGAAAAAGAUUAAACAUGAAAUCAAACAGGUUCUAAAUUUUAUGUUUUUAAUGUAAAUAUCUUGAACAAGUAGAUAAAAUAUUAGCGUUGUCCAUCUCAGAUGCAGAAAAUAACGAUUUUUCCAAAGUCCGAUGUGCUAUAGCAUCGCAAUAUCGGCAAUUUUACAACAUUGAAUGUAUGUAUAUUAUGUUUUUACAUUAUCACAUCAUAGGUAUUAUAUAAGAUUGUAAACAAAGCUUGCCAAAUUACUUGGUAAGAAAAAUAUAGAUUCUGCAGUCACAUAUAAAAUUAAUUUACAACACCAUAUGUUAUGUGAAUAUUCAUUGUCAAACCUUCAAAUGGGCCGCAGCCUUGUCUUUAUCGGUGAAAACUCCGGUAGACUCAACAACAUAUUCAGCUCCAGCCUCACCCCAUGGAAUUUCCUCAGGAUUCCUGAUAAAAUAGGAAUUAAAAAACAUAGCGGAUAACUUAUAGCGCAUUCAAUAGUACAAUCAAAAUAGUUAUUAGGCAACAGCUGUUCUCUGACCGUCUCACGUGCUUAUAGUGUCUUUUUCAGUUACUUAUAAUGCCUUUUUAGAUACUAAUCCAAGUAGCGUUUGAGUUUAUAGUUUCUAAAGUUUUAUAUUUAUCGAUUAGUUCAACCAUAAAUUUUACCAAACACUUCAAAUUCAAUCCGUUAAAUUAUAAGCUAUAAUUUCAUUCCUUAUCAGAUAGAUAAAUGCAAUGUGCUAUAUUUUACCAACUUUAGGGUUUAUUUACUUGUAAUAGAACAUACCUUACACCAAAAACAGUGACAGGACUACCACCAAAAAGAAGAGUUUUGGUGUCCUUGACUGUAAUUUCACGGUGUUUCAAAACCCCAUGAACUGAGUCAUACUUGAACAUGUAAGUCUGCAUGGAAAGCAUUUCCAAGUUAUUAUUAAUAUCGAUAAAGAAACAUUAUCGAUAAAGAAACAUGAGAGUCAAAAUCGUACGUUUGAAGUUAUUGUAUGCGAUUCCAAACAGAAACUAAUUAUUAUAAUAAUAUGUUUGGUUCCGCGUUUUCUACUGCAAUCUUGCAUCCCAAUGGCUUUUUUACCGUGCUUUUCAAAAGCUAAAAAUGCAGUUAUUUUCGUCAAUGUAAAAAGUCAUUGUGCUUUUGAGAAACAGCGACACAGUACCAAACGAAUGCUAAGUGGUUCCUUACCAUGUAAUCAGUGGUGAUGAAAGGAUCAUUAACUGCAACAAGCUCCACGUCAUCUCUCUCCAAUGCCACCCUGGCCACCAAACGACCGAUCCUUCCAAAUCCUUCAUUGUCACAAACAAGAUCAUUUACGAGUUAUUACAUAGCAUACAAAGCAUGUUCCGCGCGCGCGCAUAUACACCAUAUUAAAUAACUUUUUAUUAAUGUAAAAAUGUAUAAAAGUGUGACUCGAUAUCGUCCUAUAUAUGUCUAUAACAACCAAGAAAAAAUGUAAAAAGUUGCCUAUGUUUAUUUUAUUUGUGAAGUAAUAUAUGUGAUACACAUUGAUUUAAUGAUCCAAGUAAAAACAUGCUGAAACAUUUAACUAAAUUAUGUGACAUAAAAAAAAAAAAUAAUGUCAUUAUUGUAGUACCAUUGAUGCCAAUCUUGAUCUUUCCCAUGACUCUUUCUCACUAUGACUUAACUAACAAGAAACAAAAGAAGUGUAACAAUCAAAGAAGAUCAAAGAGAAGUGGCAGUGUUGAUGCAUAUAUAUUGGACAUAGCGUAAGAGAAAGUUGUGGUGUGAUGUGUUCCACAAAGUUUGUGGUUCAACCAUGCAUCCUUUGAUCUCGAGAGAAAUUAAGGUUCAAACGCACAAAACAUAACUGUCCCCAAAUAAUUGGACAAGAAGAAUCAGUCAAAUCAUGCACACGUAUAUUCCAACUUGUUAGCUCAAAAGAUUAAUUAGAAGGUACAGAUUCCUUAAAUUAAAAAUAGAAUGCACGAUUUUAUUUUUUUUUAAGAAAAUAAUGUACGAAUUAAAAACAAAUUAAAGUUAAAUUGUUGAAAAAAAAUAAACAUAAUUUAGAAGUUAUAGGAUCUAGCAGGUGCAUGUUGCACGUAUAUGAUCAAGUGUUAAUAUAUUAGGAGUGACCGGUGGCGGAACCACAAUAGGGCUCUGCUAUCAUCCCACCAAAACCCUAACGUGCCUUCACCAUCAGCCACUCCCAAUAUAAACACUUAAUCAUGUGUAAGAUGUACCUGCUAAAAUCGUAUAACUUCUAAAUUAUUAUUUUUUCAAUAGUUUAGCUUUAAUUUAUUCUCCGGUGCACAAUUGACACUUUCAAGUUAUUCUCCGGUACGUGUUACCUUCACACUUUCAAGAGAUACGGAAUGCGUAGUUAAUUAGUUUAAAUUUUUGUAAGUUAUGUAGUUUAAUUUUUUUAUGAUCAGGACGGUAUAAAUUUGUUGCACAAGAAUAUACUUUUUUAAGGAUAAAUAUGCAUCAUAAAUAUUGUAUACGGUUUCUUAGUAUAUUCUAAUAUUAUUUAAUGAUUUUCUUAUUCGAGAAAAAAUACUAAACAAUCAAAAGAAUAAAGGGGUUUGUAGGUUGAAUUAUUUUUUUAAGUGUGGACAACUUAUUCAAUUGAUCAAAUUAUUUGUAUUUGUUGUGGUCCUUUCUUAAGGAGUAUAUAGUGUUAACGUCUCCCCAAAACAUAGUGAGGGCCCUAGCCCACCCAAGGCUUAACAUAGUGUUGUACUUGAUCAACUAUUACUCCAUGUUUAUUAAAACAUAAAUUUCGUGAGCGUGUGAAGAAGCAUGUAAUCAACAUUUCUCCUCAAAACAUCAACUUUACUCACUAGUUUUUUUUUUUUUUAGCUUAAUGAUGUGUUUCGUCCUUGCAAUUAGGCGUCAUUUAAAAAUUAGUCCUUGUAAUCGUUAAUCCUGGCAAUUUACCCUUGCAUUAUUUAAUCAUUUAAAAUUUCGUCAUUUGACCAACUUAAUCACCGUCAAGUCAUCAAAUUAGCAAAAUGGCACGGGAAUGGACAAAAAUACCCUCGUCUUUAUUAUGAGAAGAAUAUGAAGACAGGGGUAAGAAUGUCAUUUCACAAAUGGAUGACGAGGGUAUUUUUGUCCAUUCCCAUGCCAUUUUGCUAAUUUGAUGACGUGGCAGUGAUUAAGUUGGUCAAAUGACGAAAUUUGAAAUGAUUAAACAAUGCAAGGGUAAAUUGCCAGAAUUAGCGAUUAUAGGGACAAAUUUAUAAAUGACACCUAAUUGCAAGGACGAAACACAUCAUUAAACCUUUUUUUUUGUUUUGACAAAGCUAAAAAUUCAAUAAAUGUUGUCAGGGGCAGCCUGAACCUCAUACAAAAAGUCUUAGAGACAAAAACAAAAAGAAACAAAUCCAACAAAAAGAAACAAACCCUCCUAAAACAGCAAGGAGGGAAGAAAAACAGCUAAAGCAUAGAAAAUCUAGUAAAGACAAUUCCCCUAAAAUUCCAAAGGAUGCACUUCAUGCUUGGUCCUUAAUGCGAACAUUAGUUUUCUUAUGUCUAGUUGAAACUCAGACAGAACUGUUACCAUCUAAGGUUUUAGCAGCUUUCUUCCAGCCUUUCCUGCCUGGUUUAAUAAAACCAUCUUCAGGAGUUUCCUUCAAAUUGGCUAGGGUACCAGUUGUGUCUAUAUCAUGCUCCAAUGAGCUUUAACAGUUGCUCUUGUGAGCCUCAUGGUCAGUAUCAGGUUCCAAUGUACCAUCAGUGGUAUCAGUGUCCUCAUCCCCCCAAUACUUACUCAAGAUUUUACCAUCUUUCAAACAGGUAGCAGUCAGAUUUUUAGGGCCAACAGUGAAUUGCACCUUUCUCUUAUCUUGGCCUAAAAUCUCAUCAUUGAUUGUGACAGGAGUAGGCUGCAAUGUGAUGGCAUCAUCAAAAAAGGGGUUUGCAGUUACUACAAGAGACUCAAUAGUAGCAGUGGGGAAUGACCUCCCAAGAGUGCUACCCUGAGCUAAGGAAGAGGGACCUGUAAUGAGGGAUGCCUUCUUCCCAUUGACCGGGCCCAAUAGAGGGUUACUUGAACUCAAAGCAACAAAGUUAGAGUUCCUUUUUACCAAGUUACCAGUACUAUCUAAGUUUGUGUUGUGAUUCAAGUCCUCCUUCCUUAGUGAAUUAUCUUCCACAUUUGGAUUUUUAUCACUGUGCAUAUCCAGUAAAAUGGGGAUCGAUUCUUCAUCACUUGUCUUAGCAUACCCUAUAACAUGCUCAGUACCACCUUCAAGCAGUUCAAAGGAAUUGUGAAGUGUCAACUUAGCUGAAUUACUCUGAUCUGGGACAUGAGCCUGAGGUGCAGUGUGAUGUGCAAUAUCAUUAUUUUCAGGAGCUGAAAUCUGACCUUCCUCAAAAAUCAUCAGCUGAGACAUAAGGCACCUCAUGAAUGUCACCAUGAACAGAAGCCUCAGCAGGUUUAAUAUCAGUUGCAUCAGUGUGAAGGGGAGCUUGUUUACCAACCCCAGUAGAGGCACCUUCAUUGACAGAGAACUUAGCAGUUUCCUUAUGAAUCAAGUCAGGUUUGGGUUGAAUAUUUCUCACUAGCUUUAUUGACUGGUAACGAAGAACUAAAUACAUAUGAAGAUGCAUGUAAUCAUCCUGGUUGGUAAGAUGCGAUGCAGGCUGAGCUUAAGGCUCUACAAGAAAAUCAUACAUGGAAGAGUUAGUUAGAGUAACUCAUCUAUAAAUGUGUAUUAUGUACUUUACUUUCAUUCAUUCAAUAGAAUCAAAUUUUCCUUUAGAUUCAUUUCUCUCUUUAUUCACUCCAGUUGAGUUUUCUAUUCUACAUUGUGAAUUUUUACAAUGCAAAAAUACAUUCAUGAUUGUCUUAAAAAUAUUAGAUUGGAGAGUUGCAAACCAUUCUAAACCCCAAUGGUUUUGAAUUAAAAACUAAGUUGAACGAUGAUGCAGAAAAAACAUAUCAAAAAUAUGUCGAACGCUUGUUGAUUCCUCGAUUUAUUCCACAAUUACGAAGACAUAUAUAGUUCAUUUACUUAAUUUGGUUUCCAAAUUUAUGAUUGAAUCGAGUAUAAGCUUCAAUUUUCAUCGACAAUGAGAAUUGAACAUUAUUUCUUAGGCACGAAGAAGCUUGGAGUCAAGUAUGUGAAGAAAGAAAAAACCAUGUUGGCUAGAUAUACUAAUAUAUUCAUAUAUUAUUUUUCCAACUACAUCAAACAUUUUAAUCUCCUUGUUCUCCAACUCCAUUGAAUAAUUUAUUUAGUAAUUGACCAUAACUAAUCAUGUUUCUCUUCAUACUUGGAGCAUACAAGACCUCAUAAAUGAUAGAUUCAUGGCCAUAUUUUCUUUUCACUCAGACUUAACAACUACUCGAGGCAACACUACAAUAUUAUUUGCAAAUCUACUUCUUUUCUUCCCAAUUUCAUCAUGUUUCAGGAACCACUCUUUGUUCCUUGUCAUGUGAUUGGAGCAUCCUAUAUGUCUAGGUACUAAAAAUUGGAUUUGUCACUUUCCUAUGUAGUAUUAUACAUUCUUAAGAGCAUGUUCAAUUUCCCUAACUACUACUCAUAUUUAGAUCAUGUAGGAGUUGUUGAAUCCAGGAUCCAAAUCGUGGAACUCUAACAUUAUUCAUAUAGUCUACCACUAAUCUAAUUCUACAAUUAUCCUAAAGGUGCAGCUGUUUGAUUCAGUUACUAUUCAAGCAAAUCAAAUUACGUAGUUAAUAUAGUCAUCGAGCAAAUUUAAGAGCUUGUAACCAACCUUGAACUUCCUAACUCUUUCUUGCUGUGAUUUAUACCUACCUAACAAGAAACAAAAGGGUGUAACAACCAAAGAAGAUAAAAAUAAAAAAUAAAAAAGUUACAAUGUUGUGCUGAUGCAUAUAUACUGGAUAUAACGUAGGAGAAAGUUGUGUUGUGAUAUCUUUCGUCCAAAGUUUGUCUCCAACCCUUUAAAAAAAGUUUUAUUUGAGUAAAAAGAAAAUAACCAUUAGAGUUUAUACAGUUAAAAGAAAAUGUUAAAAGUAAAAAAUGCAAGUAAAGAUUGAUUUGAGAAUCAAUGAGUAAAUAGUAUCUAAUGGAAUAAAUCCAUUAACAUUUGUUUGCAUGUUGUAGCGUGUGUUAAAGCGUCACGGGACCAUUUGGUCUUAGGGAUUUACCACCUCAGCUAUCAUGGUUAUCAUUAUGCCAUUAAUCUUAUGAGGUUCACACACUACAAAAAUCAAAUCAUGCAACAUAUAUUUUACGAAGCUUCACUGAUGCAAAGUUAUUUGUGUGGGUCUGUCAUCUAAGUGAUCAAUUUAGGUUUCAAGGAUAUGGAGUUCAAAACAAUUUGUUCAAAAGAUAUAAAGAUGCAAUAACAUACUAAGACACAAACAUGUAUUAAAACUUCAGUAUCCCUUACAGGUAUGCGCGGUGUUUUGACUUUAGAUCCAGUACACUCCAAUGUUGCAGUAUUCAAAUCGGUUGUUACAACAUCCUAUCCGAAAUUUAUCAUAAAAUUACUAAAAUUGAAUUAUAAACCUAAAUUUCAAUUGUGAACCGGAACCAAGGAGAAAUAGGAAUUGCAUGCACUCAAAAGCUACAUAAAGUGGGAGACUAAAAAAAAGGUAAAUAAACACAUAACUUGAGUUGGGACAAAAAUAGAAAGAUUUUUUAUUUGUUUUACAUAUUAUUGCAAUGAUUGACAAUAAUAUCAACAAAUGUGGACGUGCCGGAGUGGUUAUCGGGCAUGACUAGAAAUCAUGUGGGCUUUGCCCGCGCAGGUUCGAAUCCUGCCGUCCACGCCUUUUGCAAUUUUUAUUUUCCUGUUUUUUCCUUCUUUUUUUUUUUUCUCUUGUGGAUUUGACAAAGUCGGGGUAUGACAUUGUGUGGUGGUUGAGAGAUCCAACGGGAAGUGUUGCUUUUUGGAUUCCACGCGAGGAUUUCGGGGUAGAGAUUUUGUGGUCGAAAAUUAAUUACGUGGGGGGUUGGAUUAGUUAGUAGAGAAAAUUUAAUAUAACAACUGAGGUUACAAAGUAGUUCUUUUAACUAUUCUUUUCUUCAUUAUCUUUUUUUAUAUCUUUGUUUGUUUUUCUUUUAAGUUAAUUUGUUGUAAUUUAGUUAAUUAAGUUUUUAGAUUUUUUUUCCCUAUUAUAAUUUAUUAAGUAAUGGUUAAAGUGUCUAUUAAUUCAAAAGGCUAAACUAAUAUGGAAUUAAUAAGCUCGUAUUCUUCUUUUAGAAAACCAAAAAAAAAAAAAACUCAUUGUUCUUUAAUCAAAGAAUUAUAUUUUUUUAAUGAAAGUGAAUUAUAAAACUUUUUGUUUUAAAAGCAAGUGAAUUACAUAACUUACAACUACCAAUGUUAUUGUUGAUUUUUCUUAUUACUUAAUGAAAAUAAAAAUAUAAAACUUUCGCUAAUUCAAAUAUUAUAAUAACAUGAUUUUCUCUAUCUCUCAUCCUCUUUUUUUUUUAUUUUAUGUUAAAACAUAUUCUCUCUUUUUUAGUGAAACAUUCUCUUUUUUACUACUUAAUUUAUGGGAAACAUUCUCUUUUUCUCUACUUCAUUUGUUUUAAAAUAUAAAAAUAUAUUGAAAUAAAUAUAAUUUUAAGUUUUUUAAUGUCACAUUAAUUAUUAUUUUCUCGAUUAUACCUUAAAUUACUCCUACAUUACUUUUAGGUCAUUAUAUUUCAAUUUACUAUUUUCUUUAUAAAAUUGUGACAUUUUAUAAGUUAUUUACAUUUUUCAUAAUCUGUGUAAAAAAAAAACUAGGAUGAUAUUUAUUUUCAAAUGAAUGAAGUAUUUUCGUUUAUUCCUUCUCUGUUUUCAAUUUCUAGUGGCAAAUAUAUUUUAAUUUAUAAUUUUUCAAAAAAAAGUGGAAGAUACUGAAUUUUAUGUGUUUAUUUAAAAAAUAUAUAACAUUUAUAUCUCAAAAAAAUGGUAAAAUAUAAUAGAAAAAAAUAUUCACUACACAAAAAAUAUAUAUAAUUGUUAAAUCCAGGAUUAUGGAUCCGCCAACUGUGAGACCCGGGGCAAGUUUAUUUUUAUUGUUUCUUAUAGUUUUUCCUAUUUGUUUUUCCUUGAUUUUUUAAAACUUUAAAUCUUGUUAAAGAAAUUUGUAAAAUUGAUUUAUGAAACUAUGUAUCCCACAUAGUCACAAUAGGAUAAUUUGGAAGUGAUCAAUAAACAAAGUUUUUAAGUUUAUAUGGGAACAGAGAGAGAGAGUAGGAAAGACAUGGAAAAGGGAGAGUAUUUUCCCAUCUCGUUUUCUCCAUUUAAAGUAAAUAUUAUAUAUUCAUAAAAAAAUUUCUCUCUCUCUUGCCUGAAAAAUGCGCUCACAAUUUCAUACAUAGUCUGUUUAUACUCAUAAAAUUCUUCCUCUUUUAUAUUGAUUAUUUCAUACAUAGUCCGUUUAAAGAUUACACCAUUAAUAAAUUCAUGAUACAACCACAUAACAUGGGACAAUUUAUGUUAUAUCAUGCAAUUCUCAUUUAAGAAACCAUAUCUUGUGACAAAAUGCAUAAUCUCCUUAAAACAAUCACCAUUUUUUGUCCUACAAUUUGCAUUCUAUCAUACAAUUAUCGUUCAAUAAAAUUUAUAAUAAAGUUAACAUUCCUUCAUACGAUUUUAAUAUGACAAGAAACUUAUAUGCAUUUCCUUAGAUGCUUUUCCUUAAAGAUAUAAGAAAAUCGGUUACCAAUUAAAUAAAAAUAUAUAAAUAAUUUGAAAUAAAGCUUUAUUAAUUUUAAAAUACAAUAAAAUAAUCAAAUAUAUUUACAAUGGAAAAUUAUUAAAUAUUCAAUACAUAUUAUGAAUUUUCCAUCUACUCAAUAAUAAUUUUUUGGGAAGCCUUUCAAAAACAAAAAUUAUUGGGAAAGUUCACUCGACACCUAAGGUAAAAAGUAUUUUAAAUUUCGUUUUAUGAUGGAGUGGUGUUUUUAUUUGAAGAGCGUGUCGAAACACUUUGUCGUUUCAAACUUGAUUGAUUUGGAAGGAAAUGGAUCAAGAAAUUAGACUAAAGAGAGUAACUAUUAAGUGAAAGAUGACGCAUGUAAAGGAUACGAAAAUCAAAAUUUUAUUCACUGUACUUACAACUUACAUUGAGUGAUUGAUAAUACAUAAAUUAUUUCAAACCAAUAAGCAAACUCAACACAAACAAACUAACAAACUGAUUACUUGUCAAACAAAUCACUCAACAAACAAACUAACUAAUCUCAAUUGAAAAAUGAUGUUGACACCUUUAAAAAGGCUUAAAAACAACAUUAAAAAACGUAAAUGCCCUGACUGCAAUUAACUAUUGAGGAAAAGAACCGGAAGCAGUUAACUACCGAAGAAAACUUCGGCAGUUUACUGCCGUCGAUUCCAUCGACAGUUAACUGCCAAUGCGUCCUUUAUACAGAAACAAAAGCACCAGAAACAUAUCACUUUCAUUGUUCUUCAAAAUUCCUCCAAUUUCUCUCCAAUUAUUGUAACACCCGAGGCUGAUGAGAGCGGGGAGUGGUCCGACUCCUGGCAUGUUUCUAGGAAAAACUGAAUCACAUCGGAAUGAGAGGGAUCUCGAGGCCGUGCAGGUAUAGGACUGCAUGGUUGAAGGAAAACUUAUAAGAAUUGUUUGGUACUACCUAUAUCAACAAGAUGCAUCUUCUUUUCGGUAGCUCAUUCCAUAAGAACUCCACAGUUAUGCUUGCUUGACUUGGAGCAAUUUUGGGAUGGGUGACCUACCGGGAAGAUUCUCGGUAAGCAUGCGAGUGAGGACAAAACACGCUGAAAAGACUUGUGUUGGUUUGUGGGGUCAGUCGACAAUCCUGAAAGCAGUCUGGGAUGUUACAAAUGGUAUCAGAGCAGACCUCUCCCAGUACGAUGUGGUUCGAGGACGAACCAAGCGAAAGCUGGUGGGCAUGUAACGCCCGACGCAGAUGAGGGCGGGGAGUGGUCCGGCUCCUGGCAUGCUUCUAGGAAAAACUGAAUCACAUCGGAAUGAGAGGGAUCUCGAGGCCGUGCAGGUAUGGGACUGCAUGGUUGAAGGAAAACUUAUAUGAAUUGUUUGGUACUACCUAUAUCAACAAGAUGCAUUUUCUUUUCGGUAGCUCAUUCCAUAAGAACUCCAUAGUUAAACGUGCUUGACUUGGAGCAAUUUUGGAAUGGGUGACCUGCUGGGAAGUUUCCCGUUAAGCGUACGAGUGAGGACAAAACACGCUGAAAAGACUCAUGUUGGUUUGUGGGGUUAGUCGGCAAUCCUGAAAGCAAUCUGGGAUGUUCCAAUUAUCACCAAAUACAUUUUCACGAUUUGCAAGCCAGCAUUAAUCAUUGUAAUCAUAAUGUUAGUUUGUUUAGAUUUAUUUUUAUAAAAAAAAUUAAGUAGUUUGCAUGUGGUUAGGGUUGAUGUUGAAAUUGAACUUUUGGUAUAUUGCAUGUGUUGUUAAGAUGUUAUAGAUGAAUGCAGUUGUUGUAAUUGAUGUUUGAAUAAUUUUUAAGUAUAAAGUUAUAUUAAUUUAUUUAUUUUCCGUUUCCAUAAUGGUUCAACCGGUUAAACCCUAAAUCGAAAGCCUCGCCAGUCCGAAUUCCGAUCCGAUUUCUUAAACUUAUAACGGUUCAGCUAUAAAUUUAUUUUGUUUAAAGCUAUGUGAUUUGAGGAUUUUUUUUUUCUUUGCUGUCAAUUUCUUAGGCUAAUGUUCAUGGGAAUGUAGUUCUUGAUUAUGGAGAGUUUGUAGCUGUGACAAUUCACUUGCAAAAAAUGGAGAAUGACGACCAUUUCUGCAAAACAUUCAAGUUGUUUGACAAAUUCAAAUGACAUACAAUGUAUUUGUUUUUUGAGAGAUAUAUAAUUUAUUUGUUCUUUUCAUUAUCAAUCAAUUUUAGCUUGUUGAAAUCUUUGAAAUCAAAUAUAUAAAUGUUUUACUGAUUGAUCUACCUAGUCAUCACUAUUCAGUAACAUUUAUGCAACAAAAUUUGCUACAAUUGCACCUAAAAUUGUUAGCUAUAAAUUGGCUACAAAUUAGCUACUUAAUAAGUAACACUUUUUAAGUGUUACAAGUAAUACUUUCAAGUGUUAUUGAAAUCAUUUAGUAACACAGACUUUACCUAAUAUUUCUCAAAUGUUACAAGAUCUAAAGAGUAACAUUUGUUUUUGAUUUAGUUACAAUUUUGAAGUGUUACUAAAUCUCAUACAUGUUGUAGUGAUUGUGACUAACACAUGAAUUACUUGUGAUAAAAGUCCCUCAACUAAUAUAGAUUACUUUUUUUCUUAAAGGAAUAUGGAUUACUGCAUAACAAUUCAACUAAGUUGUAUGUUGACUAUAAUUAAUCCAUCCCUAUCAAUUUCUUCAAGUCAUCAAACUUGAUUUUCUUCAAAGGUUUUGUGAGUAUACCAGCUAAUUGUAUAUUAGUAUGUUGCGGUACUCAAGUUUCAACUUCUACUAAUGUACUUGGUCUCGAGUUUCAAUUUCUUUUCUAUAUGCUUGCUCCUACCAUGACUCACGUGAUGCUUGGCUGAAUCAAUUGUUGAUUUGUUAUCUACAAAUAGUUCCAUUCUUAUAGCAACAUUCCAAUCCAUAAUCUUUGACAUGAUACAAUUGAAGUUGCCACAUAUUUUACUUCGCAUGAGGAUAAAGCAACAUUAUUUAUCCUCAUUAGCAUCUUUAGUAAGCUUUGAUCCAAUAUCCAUUGGUGUCACAACUGCAUUUCAAUUAAUCAUAUUAAAUUUCUUCAACACAUUUUCAUCAUAGGAUAAGAGCAUGUAUUCAUAAAUUAUAGGAUAAGUACAUUAUAGACCCAAAUAAACUAGUACCAAAAGUAAUAACUCAUCACACAAUAUUAAUUUUGUUGAAAGUAGAGACAAAUAUCAAACUACAUAUUUAUAAAAUUGAUAACAGUGAGGGUAAGUGCAUGUCCAAAUUCCCUUAACUACUUCUCAUAUAUGGAAUAUGUAGGAGUUGUUGAAUUAUCUUAAGUAUCGUGAGUAACUAUGUAGGAUCCAAGUCAACUAUAACAUUAUUCAUACUAGCAAAAAGACGAGCAUUCACGUGUCAAUCGUUCCACCUCUUUUAUUGCUCUAAUGUUUGUAUAUUAUCAAUGAUAUUUUAUCGAAAUUUACGUGUAACUUACAAAUAAAAAUACAAUAUUUUAUAUAAUUUUUUUGAUAUAGAUUAAAAUUUCAAGUAUAGAUAUUUUUGACUUUCAAAUGUAACAAACUCAACAAACCAUAUUUAUCUUUUCAUAUUGACAGCAAUAAUAUAACAAAUAUAAUAAAAAAAAUCUUGUUUUUAACAACACCAACAAUAUAACAUUAUUAUAUGAAAACAUGUUUAAGGGUAUAAUUGAAAUAAAAAAAAAAAAAAAACUAAUAAAAAAAUCGAAACAUGUUAUUUUCUUUAUAUAUCGCGUAGAUAAUCUACCACCAAUCUAAUGCUAAAGAAUAUCCUAAAGUGUCUCUGUUUGAUUCAGGUACUAUUGCUGAAUUCUUCAAGCCAAAUCAAAUUACGUAGUUAAUAUGUUAGUCGUCAAGAAAAUGUAGCACCUUAUAAUGUAGAUAGGAUGAUUAUUUUUCUCUAUUGAAAUUAUAUGAGCCACUUUUAAUGAUCAAAGUUAAAACAAGUUGAAAAAUCUAACAAAGUUGUGCGACAAACGAAAAAAGAAAUAUCAUUAUUGGAGUAUCAUUGAUGUCAAUCUUGAACUUCCCCAUAACUCUUUCUCACUAUGAUUUACCUACCUAACAAGAAACAAAAGGGGUGUAACAACCAAAGAAUAUAAAAAAAGAAGCAACAAUGUUGUGUUGAUUCAUAUAUAUUGGACAUAACGUAGGAGAAAGUUGUGGUGUGAUAUAUUUCAUCCAAAGUUUGUGUUCAACCAUGCAUCUAUUAUAUUGAUCUAAGGGUGAGAUUAUGUUGGGUCAAAUUAGACUUUGUAAAGCUUAAAUUUGAUCGAUAAAAAAAAAAAAAAAAAGUCUAUAAUUUGUCACAAAUUUAUGUUUUAAGUCUGAGUUUCAUAUUUCGAAAAUCUGAUAUGAUUAAUUAACUUGUUUAAGAGUCUAUUUCAUAUUAAAAUAUUUAAAUAAGUUAUCUAAUUUAUGUUUUAAUAGAUUGACCAACUAAAAGAGCAUUGAGAUUAAAAUUUAUUUAGAUAUUUAACAUUUAUAUUUUAAAGAAGUUAACUAUAUGUGAUAUCAUAUUUAAUUUCAAUUAUAAUCUAAUUAGAUUCCUGACUAAUUAGUUCAUAUGUUUUUUCCUCUUCUUUCGUAAUUGAACAAAAUUAGAAUAAAGAUCGGUAGACACCUUUAAUGUGUACACCCUUUUGUAUCACUCUGAAAAAAUUUCAGUUAAUCAAAUAUGUGGUAUGUGUGAAGCUGAAAAAAUGUGGUCACGCAACUAAAAAAUUGUGGUCACACAGACGAUAUAUUUGAUUAACUGAAAUUUUUCAGAGUGGUAAAAGAGGGUGUACACAUUAAGAAUGUCUAUCUAUCACACCAAAAUUAUUUGUUAAGAGUCCAACAUUGGAUAGAAGUUGGCCUGACAAUGUGUUUAUAAGUGGGGGGCAAUCCUCACCUCACAAGCCGAUUUUGUGGGGUUGUUAGACCCAACCACGAUUUCUAAGAUUAUUAAGAAGAGUUGUUUGUUUUAUCCGCUUUUAACAUGUGAUGUUGGGACACAUGCCUCUUGAGUUAGAUUAUCCACCGUUGAUAAUAUUACAUCUAAAGGCUGAGAUUCUUCUCUUGUGACAUGUAAAAGAUGGUGAUCCAUGUGAUCUCUUUUCAACCAAUAACCAUUCAGCCUUUUCAUCUAUAAAUAAUCUCUUCCCACCUCUUCCUCACCAAUCAUCUUAUUAACUCUUCCCUUUCUCUCCAUUUUUUUUACAAGAUUGUACAACCACAUUUUCACCCACUAUCAAAUCACAGAAACGCCAAUGUCUUGUAUCAACCUGUCUUCGUUGUGUUUGUUCCUAAGUUGUGUUAAUAUGACAAGUUGCAACGUCUUAAUCUUCAACACACUGAACCUUAAAUUUGUUUUCAUUCUUGAAGGUGCAAGUCUAAGGUUGUAAGUGUAGAUGAUAAGGAUAGUAUGCCACUUGCAACAUUCAAAACUUUGUUGCAAAGAGAGUUUGUGAAAAGUGGAGAAAGUGCAAUAUCACAGCAGUAUAAGCUUUUCAAGGUAAAAAAAAUAAAAAUAAAACAAAAAUUAAAUAUCCCAAGAUUUUUUUUCCAUUAUCAAACAAAUCACAUUUCUCUUUUUUAGUUGCUUUGUAACAAUGAUAUAAUUUUAAAAGUAACAUAAUGACUUUCUAAAACCACCUUUUUUCUAAACCAUUUUGAAAGUAACAUAAUAACUUUCCACAACCAUAGUAGUUAUCUGCACAGACCUCCGAGAUGAGGCACUAAUUUAAAUGGAUAAAAUGGUAAUGAAAAGAAAAAGAAUUGAAAACAAAAUAUAAAGACACAAAAUGAGAAAAGUAAUGAAAACAAAAGUACUAUGCAAUAUUGUUAUAAAUUAUAUGUGAUAGAAUUACAAAGCAGUGGAAUGGUGUAAUGGUUGAGUCAAUUGUUAAAAAGGUAGGUUAGAUUCAUGCAUGCUUUCUGCAUUUUUCUUAUUUAGGUGAAAAACAAGCUUUUUUUCUUAUUUAGGUGAAAAACAAGCUUCUAGUACAAAACAAAAUCCUAACGUGAAAAACAAGUUUCUAGUACAAAGAAAAAUACUAUAAUUAUUAAUUAAAAAAUCAAAAGUCAUAUAUGGUUAAAUGCCAAUCAAUCUUUAAAAACUAGUAGUAAAAAGGAACGAGUAGUUAACCUUAAAAGCAAGAGUCCAGGUUUGAGUCAACCUGUGUGCUUUGAUAGAGUCUUGGUUCAGCAAAGGUGCAAGGUUAAAAAUUGAGGAUAUUCAAAUUAUGUAUAAACUACGAAAAUACCCAAAACUUUUACGGUUGUAGCAUUAUACAUUCUUAUUACUUUCACUUUACCAUGCUUGUAACUUCCACCUCCUUUAUUUAUAGUCAAUUCAACAUGAUUCUAUUCACCUUCAUUGAAACUUUCUACAUGUUCUUUCUUCCACUUUUCUUUACUUUUAUUGUUCCUCUUGUGCACUUUUUCUUGAAGAGCUGGCUAAGUCACUUUGUGUGUCUCUAAAGAUCCAUGAAGAUCCUCACAAUUUCAAAUCUGAAUAUCACUUUCAUUUGGGCGCACCAACGAUUGUAGUUAUCGCCUUUGAAUAUUGUAAUAUUUGUAGUCAAUUGUUGAUUUGAAGUUAAUUUUCAAUUUGUAAUUGUUCUUGAGUUUUCUGAAAAUGAUUGUACUAGUUUGUUGAAACACUUUGUUAUUUCACACGAAGGAAUGAAAAUGGAGAGAUUACUUGUUUAGUUAAAUAUGAAAACACAAUCAUUUUUUUCUCGAUAGAAGAAUCAGAAUUUUAUUUUAUUUUUUAAUGAUUACAAUGGACAAGGCAACACUAACUAAUUAACAAAUGGUUUACUUGUCAACCAAGUAACUUAAUAAACAGUCGAUGGACAAGUCCUACACUAAUAUGAAAUCUUUAAGAAUUUUCACAUUCGUCUAGAACCACGACAUAUAUGAACUAAUACCUUCGAUAUGGAGGAACUAUGUAUCCACAUGUUUUAAAACAAAUCGCAACCAGAUCGGCCAGUUGAACUGAUCCAACUAUGAACGGAUGGGGUGACUCACUUUAAGUGAAGUACAAAUGAAUUGAAUAAAAACUAGAUUGCCAUUCAUAAUAGAUAGAGUUUCAAUUAGGGUUACAAAAAAAUCAUCUCUCAAACCUAAUCUCUAAGAGAUUUAGCCAAGGUUGUCAAAAUCGGGGCUUUACUUCAGGUCGAAAGGGAAUAGCAGAAUCAGGACUCGUAAAAUUGCAAUCAAAAUCGAAGAAUUUUACUCAAGGACUUUUGUAGAAUCAAUAUAGGAAAUUGUAAAAUCGCAAUCAAAAUCGAUGGAUUUUACCAAAAAAAUAAUACUAAAUUUAUGUUAUAAAUGAUAUAUAGUCAUAAAUGACUUAAUUUAUAAAUGAUAUAUAGUCAUAAAUGACUUAAUUUAUAAAAAAUCGCAAAAUCCCAAUCAAAAUCGAUUGAUUUUGCUUAUGUUAGGAUUUUACUAUGGAUUUAAGUCGUUGAAGGUGAAAAAAGUCGCAAAAUCCUGAAUUUUAGAAUUUAAGUCGGGAUUUUGACAACAAUAAAUUUAGCUAUUCAUACUCAUGAAAAUAAACAACAUAAAAUAGAAGAAAAUAAACCCGGAAGCAUUUUCUUGUUGUAUGUUGUGUUGUUCCCAAUCUGUGCGUGCCUGGCCUUUUCUCCUUUCCUUCAAUUUCCUAACUUUCUUUUAGCACAAAACGUGAUUCUGUCGUACUGUGCGGCUAGCUUUUUGGCCAAUUCGUAAUCCUGUACAAAGCUACCUCAUACACAUGUUUCUUUCUCCUUUUAUAGAAAGAUUUCUGCUCUCCCUCUACACUUUUCCUUCGCACCCUACUGCCUUGUCCAAAAUGCCCCUGCGUGAGUUAACUCAUGCUAGAAGAAGCCAUAGCCAUAACCAUUUAUUAAGAGAAAACAACACACACAAAGAUAGAUUAUGAUUUAUGAAUACAUGUGGUUCAGAGAGAUUGUGUGUUAUUCUGUCAUGGGGCUCCAAUUCGACAGUGGCCAUAAUACUAGAACUUUGGAAAUUGAAAAUUGGAAAGUGUUACGAUCAUAGAAGAAUUGAAUAUGGAGUUUGCAGAAGAGGACUUUGGUAGGUUACUGUUUGCCGAGAACAAUCGAAAAGCAGCUGAAGAAAAUUGGAAAUUGGAACACGUUGGCUGCGGCCAGAGGCAUUUACCUUCUUGAUUAUUAUGUCAUCUUGAUGAUGAUGAUGAUGAUGAUGGACUAAAAUAUUUGCCUUUUUUGCUUGGUUGCUAAACAAAACGUGAGUUUUGGGUUGGGGGAUGUGCAACAAACGUAUUCACAUUUAGUACGAACUAGUGUGAGUUAACACAAUAACACAUGUGUGAGUUAACUCAUGUUGUGUUAGUUAACUAACGCAUAAAUUUUCACUUGCGUUAGUUAACUAAUGCAGGGGCAUUUUGGACAAAGGUUGUAGGGUGUGAGCGAAAACAGCAAGGGGAGCAUAAAUCUUAUAGAAACUCCACUCGUUGUUGACUUGAAGUGCAUGUCACCACUCUAAUGCUAACAACAUCCUAAAAGGGGCCUAUGCUUGAUUCAAUUAUUAUUGUUGAGUGUUAUAUGCUUCUUCAAACCAAAUUAAAUUACAAUGAGUAAUAUGUUAGAUGUUAAGAAAAUGUAGCAGUUUGUAAAUUACCUAAAAUGACUAUUUUCCAUCUUGUCACCAUAUUUCAGUUCUACUGCUUUUGUGAAAAGUUAAGUAAAACGAUCCAAAGACUUUUGGGUAUCAUAAUCUUAUUUUGCUGGAAUUCAUUCAAGAACAAUAUCACAACAUUUUUUUCAUCAUCAAGCAAGUCACAUUUCUCUUUUUUAGUUGCUUUGUAAAAAUGCUACAAUUUUGAAAGUUACAUAAUAACUUUCCACAACCAAGAAUUCUGGCGGAUCCAAGACCUUGAUUCAAAGGGUGCAAUUUCUUAAUUCAAUAAUGAUUAUUAUAUUUUGUAAAGAAAAAUUAGUAUUAAGUUAUAUAGACUAUCUGAUUCAAAUUCAAAAUACAAAGUCAUAACAAGAUAAUGUUAUUUUUAAUCAUACGAUAUAUAUUGACGGUUGCAUGAUUUUGUAAAAUUAUAAAUUAUAAGUCGCUUUAAAAUUCAAAUAAAUUUUAUUUUUCAUAUUAUAUCUUUAACUAUUUAUUACUCCCUCCAUCUCAAAAUAAUUAUUUUUUUUGCUUUUUUUUUCUUUUUCUCAAAAUAAUUAUCACUUUAGAAUAUCAAUGCAACAUUUAUUUAUUUUUCACUAUUAUACCAUUAUUUAUUGAAUUUCAUUCAAAUUAAAUACUUCACUAACUACAAUUAAUAAGAUAUUUUAGUAAAUGGUUUUAAUUUUACCAUUGAAAUCAACAAAAUUAAUCAUUUCUUUAAAAAUCGUGCACAAAUCUUAAACGGAUAUUAUUUUGAGACAGUGUAAGUACAUUCUCAACUUUCAAUUCUUUAAUUUAUUUUUUCAUAUCAUUAAUUAAGGACAAUUUUGUAAAACAAAUUAUAAUAUUUUAUUGGCAAAAUUACAUAAUUAGUCCUCUAACUUAAUUUUAGGUAACAAUUCAGUCCUUUAUCCUUUUAUUUUCCCAUUUUAAUCCUAAAUGUUCUAAAAUGUUACCGUUAUUAUCCUUUUUUACAUAAAAUUUCCCAAAAUUCCAAAAAUUCAAACUAUUGCAUCUUCACAUUCAACAAAACUCUUAUCUUCAUCCUAGAACCCAUAUUUUAUUAGUUUGUCGGAAAAUCUUGUUUCUAAUGGAAGAGGAAUUUCAACACAUAUAGGGAAGUUUGAAAUAUUCAACACAAUUUUCUGAUAACCCAUAUCAUCUUUCUGGUUCAUAUUUUAAUUUUAAUGUUCAAUUUGUUUCAUCAUUAUUUUUUAAAAAUCCCAAUUUUGAGAAAACCUUCCACAAGAUUAACGUUGUUGGAGUUAGUUCUUCAAAACCCAAAACCUGAGAUCUUGGAAUAUGGCAACAACAAUAACAAUGUUGAUAUGCAACAACCAACAUCAAUGAACACCGAUUUUGUUUGAUUACAAGUAGCAACAACCAACACCAAUUCAUAUCUUUGAGUUUUUGUUUAUAUUUCAGUUUUGGAGAUUUGGGUUUCUUUUUGGGAAUAAUAGAUUAACUCUUUGUAAAAUAAAAAGUUGAAGAUUUGAGUUACUUUGAAAAUAUGAGUUUGUUUUGAAUAUUUGGGUUUUAGAUUUGAUGAAAAUUUGGGUUUAUUUCAAGAUGAAUUUUGAGUUUUUUGGCUUUUCUUAAUGAACUUGAGUUUUUUUAAUGAAGAUAUGCAUUUUAUGAAGAGUUUUCUGGAUUUAUGGAUUUUUUAAGCAAAAAAGGAUGACAGUGUUAAUAUUUAAAAACAUAAAGGAUUAAAAUUUAAAAAAAAAAAAAAAAAAAGAUAAAGGACUGAAUCGUUACUUAAAAUUAAGUUAGAGGAUUAAUUGCAUAAUUUUGCCUAUUUUUUUGUCAUACGUACUUAAUUACAUUAUACCCAAAAUGUCAUGUAAUAUAGGACGAAGGUAGUAUCCACCAACGGACAUUUAAUACUUUCCAACAAUUUAAAAAAAAUAAAUCAAAAUGGUUAGUUUUCUACCAAUAAAUGGUUUGUUCACGUUCCACCGAUACAUCUCGUGGUUCUUACUCAAACUCUCAUAUUGUUUCGUGCUUCUAGCCAUUAGUUCUUCUUAUUAUUCUAGAUUUCAACCUCAUUCAUCUUUUGCCUUUCCAAUGUCAAUAUUGAGGGUAAGUGGGAUGAAACCGCUAUUAAAGAUUGUAUUAAUGCUUUUGAUUUUUCUUCUCCCUCUUAUGUGGCUAACGUCAUGCUGGAAAAAUUGAUAUCUUUGAGGGCAAUGAGGCAAUUGGUUCACAUCAAUUGGAAAAUACAGUAUGAUAAAAAUCAGUAAUUCUUGUUACAUCCACCCACCGAUGACGACCAAAGUUUUUGGAAUCUCAUAGAUGCAUGCAUUUUUGAACUUAAGAAAGACAAAAUCUCGCAAAGUACAUCUUUAGACUUCAACAUCAAUAAGGAAGAAAAAUAUGAGGAGGUUAAGUUGAGUUGUUGUCAUCGCAACGUUAAAGCAACAACUUGCAAAUCGUAACUAACAAAUGAGUAUUUUGUGAUCAAACAACACCAACAAAGAAUUCAAUGCAAAUUAAUAAAACUAAAAGUAACUAUGAUCAAGAUAUUAUAUUAAAAUUAAAAUUUUAUUUAUUAGUGUCUAGUUUUGGCGAUAGAAAAAUAAAUGCCAACCCAUAGAGAUUAGUUUCUGACUCGGCGAUAGUGCAUAAGAUAACCCACGUACAAUGUGUGAAAGACCACGAAUCCUCAGCUUGGUCCGUUUCACAUGGGUUAAUAGGUCUUUAUCCCCUGUAAUAUAGGUCAUUUUUGGUUUUCCCCUGUAAAAAAAAUUUUGUAUUCACCCCGCUGUAAAAAAAAAUUAUUUUGAUUUACCCCCUAAUAGGCCAAACAAAAACGAAAAUUUCUUGAGAGAAAAAAAAUAAAAUUAGUCUUUGUGUGGCCUAUAACAUAAAAAAAUUUACAGGGGAUAAAUAAAAAAAAAUAUUUACAGGGACACAAAUCGAAAAUGACCUAUAUUACAGGAUGAUAAAGACCUAUUAACCCUAAAUCACAUACUCCUUAAGGCAGUUAAAAUUUUCCCGUCUUACAAUUUGCACUCAAUCAUACAAUUAUCAUUUAAUAUUUUCAUGUAAGAUCUAUGAUAAAAUUAACAUUCCUUGAUACAAUUUUCAAUAUGACAAAAAUAUAUGCAUUUGUUUUGGUAUUUUUCGUAUGACUCUUAGCUUAACUACUCACAAUUUUUUAAAACAGUAAUUUUCUCAUUUUUUGUAAGAAAUAAAAAUAAUAUAUAUAUAUUUGAAGUUAAUAAUCAUAUUGGUAAAAAAAAAACUUAAGAAUCAUACGAAAAACACCGAAAAAUGCAAUUGUUUUAUUAUAGUUUCUAUAUAUUAUCAUAUUUAGGAAAAAACUAAAAAUAUAUAUAUAUAUAUAUAUAUAUAUAUAUAUAGUAUAAUGUUUUUACAAAUUCCUUAAAAAAAAUAAAGUUGUUAGAAAUUAAAUAAAAAAAUACAAUUAGAAAGUUGUAUUAACUUAAAAACAUAAUAAAAUAAUGAAAGAUGAUAAUAUGAAAGAACAUUAAAUAAUUCAAUACAUUUUUAUAU
rnacentral:lncRNA from 1 species